UUUUUUAUAUUGAAAUCUAAAAAUUUUAAAUUAAAAAAAAAAGAUAAUGAGGUAUUAAGGUUUAGUUUGUUAUUGAGAUGGAUCUAACGUUAGUAGAUAGAAUGGAGUUGAGAAAAAACAUAUAGGAAUAUGAUUCUACGUUCUCCGAUAGAACCGCAUAAAAUAUAUCGUAACCGACUAAUCGUAAUAUGCGGAACGCAAUAUUACGUACGAAAAUAAAUAAAGUAUAUUUUCAUCGUCCUUUCUCACCGCACAUAACGCAAUCUCCUUUAUCGCCCUUUCUCACUGUUCAUAACGCAAUCUCCCCGCAAUUUCAAAUGAAAUCUAAGAUUCCGUGUAGGAGACGUGGUUAGGAGGAAUUCUAUACUGUCACACUUGCACCACGUCAUUAAUAACAAGCCAAUCACAUUCUUUCUUUUCAAAUAAAAAUACAAUAAAAAUAUUUUUUUAAAAUCAUGAUGGGACAUAUAUUCCUAAAAAAAAAUUAAUUAGUUUAUUAUGUCACAUCAUUAAUAUAUUCUUUGCAUUCUAGGAUUUUUCGUGGUUCAGAGCUCUCUCUUUUUCAUGUACAUUUUUUUCCAAAAGAAAAAGGGAAAAGUUUAAUCGAGACAGAUUCGUACGAGAGAAUUUGAAGCCGAGAAGAGUGCCACGUGGCAGUGGGCGGCGCGCGCGGAUUAGUCCGUACACGGUCGGCGACGUACUUUGCGGUGGGCCCCGCGUUCUAGAAACGCAGGCUAAUUACGCCACGCACACCAAAUUUGAUCUAAAAAUGAUUAAUACGUUUUUUUUGGGUUACGGAGGAACGCGACAGCACUACUUUAAAAUUAAUUAUAUAAAAAAAAUUAUAUUUUAAUUUUUAAUUUAUUUACUGCCACAUCACAAAUGUAAUAUUCAAUACCAAAAUAAAUAAGUAAAUUAUACUUUUAUCAUACUUUUGUGAUAUGUAAUGCAAUUCUGUCUCAAAAAUAAAGUCUAACAGUGUGUGUGUGUAUGCACCAAUAAUUUAGUACUUUUAAAAAUAUACAAGCUCAAUUAUAUAUAUAUUUUUUGUCAUUGAAUUAAGGAAUGUGCGGUUAUGAUGAUGUAGAACUCUUAGGGUUGAGUGGGUGUUGGUUAAAUAGUAUGAUCUAAUGAAUAAAAAUGAUCAAAAGAGUAGAUUUAACGGUAAACAAUUUACAAGCACCAAAUACUUGGUGUUUGUAAAUAUAAAAAGCACCGAGCACUUGAUGCUUGUAAAUUUUUUACCGUUAGAUCUAUUUUUUGAUCAUUUCCACCCAUUAGAUCAUAUUAUUCAAUCGAACGAGUAAAUAAAACAAAAAUAAAAUAAAAUAAAAUAAAAAAUAUUGUAUGUUGUGUAACCCGUUCAACUCUUCUAAAGCAUUUUUUAACCCCUUUUUUUAAUUUUUCGGAAAAAAAAAGUUGUUAAUUACCCCUAUGAAUUUUGUGUAAUUGGUGAGAGGAAUGCAUGCAUUUAUUUUUUCACAAAUAUUUUUUUUUCGUAGGCUCUCAUAAUUUUAAAAAUUAUUUAAUAUGUUAGAACCAAAUUAUUUCUUCGGCGGCAAAAAAUAAAUGUAUUUUUAUUUUUUAUUUACAAAAUUUUUUAAACAAAUUAUCAUUUUUUAUUAAGUCAGAAUGCACUGUAUUUAAACGGAAAAAAAACUAAGUGCAUCCAAACAGUCAGAUUUUUUAAAAUUUUUGCGCAUAAUAUUUUUAUUAUGGGUGAUUAUUUAUGAUGAACUCAUAUUAUUUAGAAUAUCUUUAUAUUAUUUUUUAAGUUGGGAAAGUGAUCUAAAAUUGUAUUGAAGUGUAGAUGGUCUCGGACAAAAAUUUUAUGGGCACAGUUCUCAAACAACUUGUUUGGGGACGAUGACGGUGGGCGCCGUGUGGUGUGCGGGUGUCCAUCACGACCCUAAAAAAUAAAAAUAAACAAAAUUUGUCGGCUCCCAUUGUUUAGAGAGAGAAAGAAGCAGGUGAGAGAAAGGGACGGUCGCGAUGGGCGCCCGCACACUACGCAACGCCCAUUUCACGAUCGCAUACCACGCGGCGCUCAUCUGCUCCGUCUCCAAACAAUUUGUUUGGGGACGGGUGCCCACAAAAUUUUUGUGCGGUGGCCUCACACCUUUAAUCAUUUAUCCUUUUGAUUUAUCAUGUUUUAUUAAAUUACGUAUCUAAAAUUUUUGUGCUCGAGGUGAUCGCAUACGAAACUCGUGUAAAUAAGGAGGCCCGCCUUUCACGUCAAUCGUACAACACCAAACACUGCUCAUAUCCGUAGGAAUCCAACACGUGUACAAUAAUUUGUGGUAGGUGUAACGGUGAAAAUGGUACGGAUAAUUUCGGAUUCAAUAUGAUGCUGAUCGAUGAUAAAAUUUAGUAUUCCACUCAUAUUUGUAUUUGAAUUCAUAUUCAAAAAAAAUAAGUUAAAUAUAAAUUAAAUAUAAUUUUUUAAAAAAUUCGAAUGCAAUCGACCAAUUCAUCCUCAGGAGAUAAAAGAAAUAUUAGUAUAUAUUAUAGAGAGAUAAAAUGAUUCUUUAUCUUUUUUUCUUCGUUUACUUUAUUAUGAGUUUUAUAUUAAAGUUGCAUUUAUAUUCGUCAAAUAUUAAAUUUUAUUAAAUAAAUAUAGGUAUACAAAGUUUGAACUUGAAUGUGAACCUUUAAAUGCAUUGUGCGUCUAAUCCGUACUAAUUUCAUUUCAUAUCGAUUUAUGCAUAUAAGUGUGUAUUAUUAUCUGAAUACAAAUUCGAGCCAUAUCUGAAUACGAAUAUGUUUUUAGUAGGCAUAGUAAUGAAAAUUUGACAUCCAACACAUAUCAGCAUCCGAAUUCGCAUCUAUAAAGUAUGGAUGUGAAUAUGGUUUUGUCAAAAAAUUUGACCGUAUUCAAUUGUUUUCAUCCCCAGGUGGGUGAUCCUUUACUUAUCAAUCUUUUAGUUUAUUAUAAACUUUAAUUUAAAAUUUAUUGAUUGUUGUAAUUAAGUUCUAUGGUAUAAUAUAAUUGGUUGAAUGAUAAUAUAUUAUUGAUGUGGCAAUGAUGCGACAUAUUAGUUAUUAUAUCAUUAUCACAUCAGCGGUACAUCACUAUCUAUCUAGCCAACUAAAUUAUAUUGUAUAAUUUAAUUACAGUGAUUUAUAAAAUUUAAAUUAGAAAUUGUAAUAAAUUAAAGUUUGAAAAUCAAAAUAUCACAUAUCGCUUAGUUUGCAAACGAAUAGUGUAAAUUUAGCGUUUACAUAAUUGGCACUCUUUUAUCUUAUAAUUUUUAACUAAAUUUGUAUGGUUAAUUAAUUUAAAUAUUUUAUUAAAUUUUGUAGCUCAAUUAUCUAUUGAACAUAAUUAAUCUCCUUUUACCCACUAUAAAGUAGUUUAUUAAGGUCUUGUUUGGCAGCAUUAAUUAUUAUUAUUUUUUGUAUAAAUAUAAUUCAUGCAUGAAAUAAUAAAGAAGAAGACAAUUGAUUGUUUGCCCUCAUUUCAUUCAAAAUAUUUGUUAACAAUAAAAAGUAAAAUUUUGAAGGCAAUUUUUCCUCUUAAAACUUUUUAAAUAAUAAGUUAUCAUUCAUCAUUUGAUCAAAAUGUAUUAGCAUGCUAACCAAUAACAACAACAAGUGAGAUUUUUUUUUUUUUUUUUCAGUUGAUAAUCAAAUUAUAUAUACUAACAAAAUAAAAAAUUACCUUAUAUUUUAUUAUAGCUAGAGUGAACAUCUUACACCCUAUUAUUCUUCUACUAGGAUAUGAAAAACUAUUUUUCGAAAUUUUGUACUUAAAAAAAUAAUAUGACAAGUAAAAAAAAUCUUAGCCUUUUUAAAGGCUAAGGUAAAAGUUUUACAAAUACUAUAGAUGUUCAUGUAGCAUUGCUCUUUAUAAUUAUAAAUGAAAUUGCUAAAGUUUCUAAUUUAUUAAAUAAAAAUUAUUGGGUCAAUUUCAUUUGUGUCCCUCUAAACUUCAAAAAUAUCAUAGAUGCCCCUAUAAAUUUGAUUACAUCACAAAUAGCCCUACAAAUACUUACUAUUUUUCAAAUAUGUCCUUAUCCUUACUAUUCAUCUUUUUAUAGAAUGAUAAAAUAUUUAGAUUAUUAUAAAUAUGGUCGAAAUGUCCAUUUUGUCCUUAACUUCUAAAAUUUUUUACAAAAAUAUUUAGCAUGAUAAUAUUUAUUUUAAAAUAUUAAAAUAAAGAGUAAUAUAUAUUAUUUUACCACUGUGUGGUUUGUAAAAUAAGAUACUUUACAUCAUUUAUUUUAAAAUUCUAGAUGCUAAAGCACAGAAAUUUGUGCUAGUUCAAAUAACUUAAUUUACAUCAUGCAUAUAUAUUUAAAUUAUAUUUUGAAUGAGCUGUUUAACCUUAUUUUAAUGAGUCAAUUGAUAUUUUAAAUAAUUUUUUGCUAAAUUUUUUUCAAAUUUUUUUAUUUUUUUAGCUUAACUUGUCAGGAUUAUAUAUAUAUAUAUAUAUAUAUAUAUNGUUAUUAAAAAAUUGAUAAUAAAUUAGUGUAAAGGUUAGUUUUGAAAGUUUCUCUCUUUUAAAAGAUUAUUUAUGAUAUUUUAAUUUUUAUAGGGGCAUUCAUGAUAUUAGAUUUAUUUGGAAGGGUAGUAAUGAAAUUUUUCCAAAAUUAUUUGGUUUUAAACAGAAGUCUAUACAAUUGGUGUAAAUCUUGCAGUAGUCUUGAGCUUUAAAUCUUGAGGUACUCUUGAGGUUUCUAUGUCUCACAUUUGCUUAUUUGUUUUAUCAAUUUAAUUUUAUAUUAAAAAUUUAAGAAAAAAUUUUAAAUGUUAAAAUGUAUAAAACUUAUUUCAACUAUCAUUUAUUUUGAUCUAACUAUCUUAUUUUAAAAAUUUUAAUUUUACUACAUAAACCCUUUAAUUAAUUUUUAUUUGGGCUUGUUGGUUAUUGUUUAACUUCAAAAUUUGAAUUCGCCGUUUAUCUUUAUGGAUUUAGUUAGUACAUUAUAUAUAAUUCAUAUAAUAAUAAAUUUAUUAAAGUAAAUUAUUAAUUUACAUUUUGUAUUCAAAAUAUUAUCAAAUUAAAUAAAUUAAAAAAAUAGAUAUUAAAAAUAAAAUUUUAAAAUAUUGGCUACUCAAAUUAAAAUAGUCUGUAGAGAGAGAGAGAGAGAGAGUUGAGCUGAAAUGUCAUUAAUAGCAAACGGGUUCGUUGCUACUCAUUUGUUUUCGAUGAUAGAGCCUCCAAAUCAAUGAUCGGCAUCGUUAAACAUGAUUUAUACCACCUGAAUCAUCUAGAAAUUAAAUUUUAUAUUUUUUCGAUAUUAUUUUCUUAUCCAUCAGGUUGACAAAAAAUAAACGGCUGAAAAUAAAUAUAUUUUAAAAAGUAAUAAUAAAAAUAUUUUAAUUGAGAUCAAGAGUAUAGAUCUUUGUUUUAAACAGCUUAAAGAAUUUUUUAACCAAAAUUCAAUUGAUUUGAAUAUCUUUACGCCGUUAAAUGAGAAAAUGUCUUAUAUUGACGAGUAAACUUACAAUUUUUGAUAUUAUUUGAUAAUUAGGUCAAUAAUGUCGAAAAAAUUUAAACUUUAGUUUUUAUAUGUUUCAAAUAGUAUAGAUUAUAUUCAACGGUGCCGAUCGUCAAUUUGGAAGCUCCAUCAUAAAAAAAUAAAUAGAUGACAAUAAAAUCCGUUUGCUACUGAUAACAUUUCAGCUCAACUUUCUGAUUCAAAAUCGUGGUAUAACAUGUAUCUCCCUUUGUUCCGGCCAUGGAAUAGAUGAAAUAAAUCAAAAAAUGGAUUCUUGUUCACAAUAAAAAAUAAACCCUAUCCCAUAGGUAUAGGGUUUGAUUCAAUAGAGAGCCUUUUCUUCUGUUAUAUAGUUGGUUCUCAUCCUUCAGAGAUUACGAGUGUAAUAGGAGCAUCUGUUGACAAAAGGAUCAUCCUAAGAUGAUCAUCUCAUGACUAUUGAGAACGAAUCAAAUCAGGUAGUUUUUUUUCUGUCCGAAAAAUUUAUCGAAAUAAUGAGUCGCCCCUUCCAUUGAUAUGAACAAAAUUGAGAUCAACAAAUGGUCGGGAGUAUUUUUAUAUAUAUAAAAUUUAGAAUUAUAAGUUAGUAAAAGAUGUGAACUUAAAAUAGAGUUAACGGCGGAGUUUUCAAAUUAGCCUGUGGUUGGAGAUAAAUUAAUUAGUGCAGUUAAGUAUGAAUGUGUGUCGGACACGUGGCAGCUUAAGAAGAGGAAUUUUGGACCCGCACGCCGAGGACCGGUGGGGCCCACCCCAGUGCGGGUAUACGUGGCCGUCCGAACGGUUUCGGUUGCUUGGGCAAGUUAAAAAAAAAAAAAAAAUCAAAUCCACUCGUGGUUCCACACUUUCUUACUUCAGUACUCUAUAAUUUAAAAUAUAUCAAAUUAGUAUUCUAUAAUUUUAUUUUUAUAUUUUCGUCAAUUUUUUUAUUAAUAUUUUGUUAAAUUAUAUACAAAAUUCUUCAGAUAUUCUAUUUAGGUUUACCGAAUAUUUACUUUAAUACCUUUUUUUAUUUUGAGAGAGAAAGGUAUCACGCUAUCUUCUUCAUUCAUUAAGAAAAUGAAAUUAGUUAUAUAAAGUAAGACAGCUAGGGCCUCAAGGAAGGGGGCUCGAUAAAAAUAAAAAUAAAAAUAAAAAUAAAGAUGAAAUUAAAAAUAAAAAUAAGAAAUAGCUUUCACCCUACUCUACAAGACUCGGCCCACUCUUUUGCAAACACUCUAAUAAUUCAGACGUCGCCCUGCUCUACAGGACUCGGCCCACUCUUUUGCCAACACUCCAAUAAGAUUAGCUGUUCGGGAAACGCCGCUGGGUAGAUUUCUGAAGAUGAUGUUAUUUUUAUCGCGCCAGACCAACCACCAAGUGGCCACAACCAAGGUCAGAGCCUUCGAAGCGUCGCACUGCGGGUGUCUCUCUAGUAGCCCCUCCCAGACGAUGUUGGUAUCUUCAAAACACGGGUAUCCGAGAUACUUUAAUAUCUUUUAGUUUUAACUUUGUCACUGAUGUAACGAAAAAAAUUAGUGGAAUCGAAUAAAAGAUAAAAAUAAAUCACAGAGCACUAAAUUGAUAUAUUUUAAACUAUAGGGUAAUAAAAUGAGAAAGUGUGAAACCACAAAAGUGGUAUUUGAAGUUUUUCCGAAAAAAAAGAUUGAGUGGGAAUUAUUGUACCAUUAUUAAGUGAAGUUAUCCGAUCAUUGCGAUGGGCUAAUACUAUAAGAGAAAAAAAAUUAAUAAAUUAAAAUCUUAAAAUUUUAAUUUAUUAUAAAAUAUUAAUAAAUAUAAAUUGUAGGAGAAAAAAAUAUAAAAAAAUUUUAUUUUAUUUGUUUUUUUAUAAAAAUGAUUUGUUUAGGCUAUAAUAAACUAUAUGAAGACAUUAAUUAAAAGAUGGGUAGGUGAGAAAAUAAAGUAUCGAACGGAGAUAAGGAUGGAAAGAUAAAUUAUCAAAAAGUGAGGAGAGGAGAAAAGAUAAGGAUGAAAAAAGAACUGUUAAAUGAUAAAUUUUAUAAAAAAUAAUAUAUAGAUAUGUGUAAAUAAUUCGUUUCUAAGUGUUAAUUUUUUUAAUUAUUUUUAAAAAUAAAGUUUUAAAAUUUUAGUAUUUAAAAAUAUUUAAUAAAAUUAUUAAAUGGAAAUAAAAUUAAUACUCAAUGGGCCCCGGAGCAAGACGUAAAUGAGCAGUCGUCAACGACGGCGUGGCAUCACCCGUUCACCACCACCAACCGCCUUAUCCGAGUCCGAUCGGACGGCGCACGAUGUUCGGACGCGGAUCGCCAACCCGCAAUGAUUAGCUCACGCCGUAAAAAAUAAUUAUUGUAGUAAUAUGUAUAUUUAUUUAUUAUAGCUAAAAAUGAAAAGGAGGUAAAAUUGUAGGUAAAAUGCUUUUUGGGUUCCUCCCACUUGUGGAUAAUGCUGUUAAUAUUAAUAAUAAAUAACUCUUUUUUUUUUGAUAUCGCUAAAAAAGAGGAAGAAAAAUUGGACCUGUACACUUUAUUCUGCAGUAUUAAUUAUUCUUCCAAAAAUUUAAAUUUAUUUAAAAAUAUCUUGCACCGAAAAAAAUUUAAGAAGAAACAUUCUGAUAUAGAAUUUGUAUUUUAUUGGCUCACCACCUAUUUUAGACGAUUAUUUGUUUAAAAGGAAUUAAUUUUCGAUUUCCAUUUCACUCUGGAAUGGAAAUGAGCAAAUUCAUUUAUGGCCAAAUCCAGUUUUGAAUUUCGGAUUUGCCCAUUUCAAUGUAAACUGCUCAAAAUUUUUUCUUACAUUUCACCUCCGCCUCCUCUCCUUUUACCACUCUCUUUUUUCUUAAUCAAAACUCUCUUUAAAAAAUAUUGGAUUCUUAUUCCGAUUUUCAUUCUAAUAAUGAAUCAGAUAUUUUUGAUGAUUCGUCAUUCUAUUUAUUAUUUCAAAGCAUUUAAAUUUUAUUUAUCAUUUCUAUUCUAAUCAUGAAUCAAACAUGCUCAUACGUAGGCAUAAAAUGAACCAAACAUGUUCUAUACGUACGUCUAAAACUAGUAUUACUCAAACUUGAGCAAUGUUAUUUGUAUUUACACCCCACCAAUUUAAAGGUCGAUAAUUUUUUACUAAUUUUAUUAAUUAUUUUUUUUUUUACUUCAAUACUAAUAGUUUUAUAAAUCUUCGACAAUUUUAAAAUUAUUUUAAACACAAAAAUAAUGCAUUUAGCCAUCGUAUUAUCAAUAUAAUUUUGAAAAAUGCUAUCUACAUCCUUAUUUAUAGGUAUAAAUCUUACAAUUCUUGUAUCUCAGGCUUCAUAAAAAUUCAAAUUGGUUUUAAUAAUAAUAAUAAUAAUAAUAAUAAUAAUAAUAAGAUAAGUAGGGAGUGAGAGUCCCAAUUUUUUACUCCUACUUAAUUCGAGAUUAAGAUGUAGUAAUACACCUGAAAGUGCACAAAAAGCAUUUACGUAAAGAUAUGUUCACAUUAGACUAAAAAAAAAUCUCUCAGUAACAUACAUGAGUCCUUCAAAAUUUGUUAUUUGCAUAGUGGUUUCUUAAAUCACAAUAAUAAUUUGUGCUCGCUAGUUCUUUCAUAAAGUUUUUGUAAUUUAACUGGAUUACAUAUUUUUUUAGCACUAAUUACCACUAUAAUUUUAUAGUAGAAAAAUAGAAUAAAAGGUGCUUUUGUAAACUAAGGCUUAAUAAGUUAGUAGAAAAAAAAAUCAGUAGAAAAUAUCAAGCAAUUUAGUCCCUUUUUAAUGUUGGCUUCUUUUAAUUAGUAAUACAAUUAUUAUCUCCAAAUGUAUAAGAAUCAAUUAGAAAGUUUUAAAAGGUAUAAAUAUACUAAUUAACAAUUGGCAUUAUAAAGUAUAAACUAACAUUGUUAAGGUGUAUAUCCAAAAUAUUCUUCUUAAAUACUACUAAAAAUAAUGAUCUGACCAAAUUGCGAUAUACAGGUGUGUCAGGGACUGAUGAUAUUUUUUACCCAAUGAUUAAGAUAGACAUCGUAAAAUCCUCGAGGGUGGACCUUUCAACGGGGUUUGGGUUGGGGGGCGGGGGCUGAUCACUGCUUAUUAAAUCCUCUCUCCCUCGCCUCCUUUCCCCGUCUCUCUUCAUUCUCUCCCUCUUUCUGCUUUGGACUUUGGAGUCGACAAGCCAUGGCGGAAUCGAUGGAGCUCCCGAGUCGACUCGCGAUCCUCCCCUUCAGGAACAAGGUCCUCCUCCCCGGCGCCAUCGUCCGGAUCCGGUGCACCUCCCCGAGCAGGUGUGGAUUCCUCGAUCCCUUUCGAUCGAAUUCGACCCCUCCCCUUUAAUCCUCGGCUCGCAGAACCUAGGGUUCUGGACGAAUUUCGCUUUGAUUGAGCUUCGAUUCUUGAGAUUGGGCUUGUUUUUGGCAAAGAAUUGGUCUUUUUUUUUCUUUUUGUGGGUUUCUUCGAGGGUGAUGGUGAGGUUUUGCGGGUUUUUCUGGGCUUUAAUUUGGCUUUCUUAGGUAGUUUUGAUCAAGUGGGAUGAUUUGGGAUGCUUUGGUGUGCUGUGCUUGUUGAUUUUUUGUUUUUGUUUUGAGCUUUGUCUAUACGCAAAUUUUCGAAAUUAAAAUAGAAUUUGGGUGCAGUGUGAAGUUGGUGGAGCAAGAACUAUGGCAAAGAGAAGAGAAGGGUUUGAUUGGGGUGCUCCCGGUGAGGGACUCGGAAGCUGCUGCAGUGGGUUCCUUGUUGGCUCCAGGUAAUUGGAGAGCUAGGGUUUACGGUGAUUUGGGUAGAGAAUACGUGAUUUCGAAGGGAAAAUUGAGGGAAUUGGUGCUUUUCUUGUAGGUAUGGGAAGUGAUUCUGGGGAAAGAGGUCUUAAAGUGCCGUCCGAGGUUGUGGGGGACUCACAGAAGCAGGAUACGAAGAACCAGCAGGAACUCAUCCAAUGGCACAACAGGUGCAUUUUCUCAAUUCGUGUUCUUGUUUCAAUUCCUGUGGUUAUUGCAUCAAAUUUUUGUGUGAAACUGAAAGAAGAAGCUAUUUGAAGAAACGGCUCCAUUGAAGUGGUAGUUAGAGAGAGUGGAAUUCAGAGAGGUUUUUCAUUUCACGUCUUUUACCUAGAUAUAUUAUAAACUGGUCGGAAUGGAAAGAAAUUUCAAGACAUAUAUCGAGCAUGAUUUCACUAGAUAACUCUUGUGUGGAGUAAUCUUUCCAUAACAUCACUUCGGGAGACUAUAUCUAGCUCAAGUAUCUUACUUUCAGGGGAGUUGCUGCUAGAGCUUUGCACCUCUCAAGAGGAGUGGAAAAACCAAGUGGAAGGGUCACAUAUAUAGUUGUUCUCGAGGGCUUGUGUAGGUUUAACGUUCAAGAACUCAGUGCUAGAGGGACAUAUCACGUCGCCCGCAUUUCACGUCUUGACAUGACAAAAGCUGGUAAGAUUUUGUUUGCUUUAUUAUCUGCUAGUUUUUUUUUGGUUUCUCCAAUCUCUACUUGUACUGCGUUCUUAUGAUUUUUUUUUUUUUCUCAACAGAGAUAACUCUUCCUUAUGUUUUGAUUCUUUUAAAUUGUAUUCAUUGGUCGUGGGUGUAUCUUAGUUGAUUGCUGCCCACCGGCCAACUGGGGUCACAUAUAGGUCGACUACACCUGACUAUGAAAGGCAGAAAAAGUCUCUGUUGAAACUAGUUGACUAACUGAUUGACCAGACUAUUGGACUGUUCGUCCAACGUUGCAGUGUAUGGCGGCCUAGGUGAAGGGUUGUUUGGAUCUACAACACCCUGACCAAGCCAAUGAAGUAUAGCACUCGACUCAGCUUGCUAAAAAUUAUGCCUUAGCCUCUAAUAUUGAAUCAAGCCGACAAUCUUUGCAAUGUAGUCAUUUUUAUUUUUCUUCUUUUGCUUGUUUUGUCCUAGCAUUGGCAAGGUGGUUAUGUAAAUUUUAAUGUUGUUAUUUUUUUUGGAUAAAAAAAAUACUUGCACAAAAAUGAGAAGGAUACUAUUUGUUGAAUCUUGAUCUUUUUUGGCUGUUAGAGGCUUAUAAUUUAAUAAACUUUAUUCAACAAAUAUGAUGUGUCAAUGGAGCCAUCUGAUGUCGCCAUGUAUGUUGGAAGUUGUGUAUGCUUUACUGAGGAAAGUCCAAAAUUUUAUUCUUCUGAUUUACUUUUAUACAACUAAGUCCUUUGCUAUUCGUAUAGCUUUGCAGCUGAAAACCUUAAUGAGAAAAUCAUAUAGAAACUUUUGGUCUAUCAUCAAUCUGCAAAUGAUGUCAUGAUAUCCUCUUAACUACAUGCUUUGUACUUCUCAUUUAAUCAAGCUGAGUACUCAAAUUACCUCAAUGCUGUUGUAAUUUGUCAGAGUUGGAGCAAGCAGAGCAAGAUCCAGAUCUUAUUUUGCUAUCUCGCCAAUUCAAAGCUACUGCCAUGGAGCUAAUUUCUGUCCUUGAGCAGGUAAAAUAUUGAUAGAAUUUCAGUGAGUCCCAUUCGACAUUGCUGUUGUUUAUUCCAGACAUUGUGAUGCUAAAUAGUCGGUCCUGCAAUAAAACAAUUAGGAAGAAGACGCGGCAGGAAAGAAUGUAUUAUUGUUGGAAAUAUUGUGUACUGUUUAGUUACCUAGCUGAAGUAUUGGGUUUUCUAAUGUUUGAGAAGAUCUCGAAAUUUCAAGCAUUGCUUAUAUCUGUACUUUCUUUUUUAUGGUCUCCAUAUGUAUUAUGAGUCAUGCUCCUGCUUUUGCUUCUGUUUCUUAUGUUGACACAUCGCUUUUUUAUGUGUAAUUAAUUAAUCAGUUAUAUAUAUUCCAUUGCCUAUCCAAGUAAGUUUGAUAGUCUGUAGAAGUAUUUGACAUAAAAUGAGUUGCUUCAUGUUUCUAAUUGCAGAAGCAAAAAACUGUUGGUAGGACAAAGGUUCUCCUUGAGACAGUUCCUGUGCACAGGCUAGCUGAUAUAUUUGUUGCUAGCUUUGAAAUAAGCUUUGAGGAACAGCUAUCCAUGUUAGAUUCAGUUGACCUGAAAGUUAGGCUUUCAAAGGCAACGGAACUCGUAGACAGGCACUUACAGGUAAAAAUGUUCUCAAAUGGCCUUAUUUAGUAGUUAUCGUUUAUUUCCAACCUGUCCUGAUCUUACUGUGAUGUUAUGUACUUGUUGCACUCUUUCGGUGUUGAGCAGUCAAUUCGUGUAGCUGAGAAAAUAACUCAAAAGGUCGAGGGGCAGUUAUCAAAAUCACAGAAAGAAUUUCUUCUGCGUCAGCAGGUUCGUCCUCCCACUUGUGUCAUUCUUGCAUUAUGUACUGAGCCUAGGAACAUUGCAACAGUGAAUAGGAAAGAUCUGUCUCAUUGUACAUGAUAUGAUAAGAUUUUUUUUUUUUUUUCAUGCCUUUUCAAUUCUGUUAAUCAUGCAUAGGAAUAUAUGCAGCAAUGCCUUUUCUUGCCUCUUGACAGAUAGUUUAUUAAAUUUGACUACUAGAUCCUCUUAUUUCAAACUGCUAACACACAUUUCCAAGAUUAUGCAAAGUUUGACUAAAUUAAGCGAGAAAAGACUUGAGUUUGAUUCUACUUGCUCACGUUUACUCUGCAGAUGAGGGCUAUUAAGGAGGAACUUGGUGACAAUGAUGAUGAUGAGGAUGAUGUAGCUGCUUUGGAAAGAAAGAUGCAGAGUGCAGGGAUGCCUCCUAAUAUUUGGAAACAUGCUCAAAGGGAAUUGAGGUAACUUUCAUUCUGUAAUUUACAAAACCACUUGUCAUGACAAGAACAAAAUAUAUUCUUGGACUAUGUAUUAAUCAGUUUCUAUCAACAGACGAUUAAAAAAAAUGCAGCCUCAGCAGCCUGGGUAUAGUAGUUCCCGUGUGUACCUGGAACUUCUGGCCGAUCUCCCUUGGCAGAAGGUGAGUGAAGAACCUGAACUCGACCUAAGGGCUGCCAAGGAGAGCCUUGACCGUGAUCAUUAUGGAUUAACCAAAGUCAAGCAACGGAUUAUCGAAUAUUUGGCUGUUCGCAAGGUUGUCUUUUAACUCAUCUGUGGCAUCUCUGCACGUCCUUUAAAGUUACUACAUUUACUAUUUUGACUGAAAUAGGCCAAUCAAAUUGCAGCUUAAACCUGAUGCCAGAGGCCCAGUUCUUUGUUUUGUUGGCCCGCCAGGUGUUGGGAAGACAUCGUUGGCUUCGUCAAUAGCAGCUGCUUUAAAUAGAAAGUUCAUAAGGAUUUCUCUUGGUGGUGUGAAGGACGAGGCUGAUAUUAGGGGCCAUCGAAGGACCUAUAUUGGAAGCAUGCCAGGACGGCUUAUUGAUGGGUUGAAGGUCUCUUAUUGCAUGAUAUCUUUUUUGUUCUGGUGUUUUUCUAGCUUCCAUAUAACUCAUAGUUUAUAUUAUAGCAUGCCAGGACGGCUUAUUGAUGGGUUGAAGGUCUCUUAUUGCAUGAUAUCUUUUUUGUUCUGGUGUUUUUCUAGCUUCCCUAUAACUCAUAGUUUAUAUUAUAUUGCUUGCUUGAGAGUACUUUUUUGCUAUCUAUUGUUACUUGACCUUUCAAUAGAAAGCUAUCUUUAGAUCUCUUAUGAGAUGUCUCAAAUUGUUUGGUUCUUUUUCCAACUAAUGUUAUGCUAUAUUUUGCCUCCAAUUGCUUGACCAAAUAUUUGCUCUCUAGUAGGUUACAAACCUAAAAUUACCGAUACAUGAGAAUAUCCUAUCCACGGAAUAUGCAUCUAAAGCUUUUAAAUAUAAGCCUUUUGGUGCUUGGAAAGUCCCACCACAUUUUAGUUUUUGGGCUCAAUUUGCAGUAAUGCAGGUUGCUUUAUUGGACACUAUUUUUCUUAUUGAAAGAUGAAUUGGAAAAUUUAAUUUUUUCCAGAGCAAGAAUAUCGGGCCUCUUAAAGUCAUUGGAUUAAGAAACUGGUGGUAGUAUAAUGGUUAAGCACAUGGCUUAGCCUUUCAAUUGGAUAGUGACUAAAUCAAUGUUUGGACCCUCAUAAGAACUCUUUUCUGCCUUUGCUGCCUCUUUUGCUGCUUCUGAAACUGUCAAAUCACCUUGAAAGAGUUCUUGGCAUAGAGUUAGCAUCAUCUACUAGGAUUACUGUCAUGACGAUUUAAAUUCUACCAAAAAGACAUGUCUCAAGUAUAAAUGGGUGCUGAAAUUUUUAAACUUGGAUCCACUAUUCACGUCUUUUGUACUUGUAAAUGCAGAGGGUGGGUGUUGGCAAUCCUGUCAUGCUUCUUGAUGAAGUUGAUAAGACAGGUUCUGAUGUUCGUGGGGAUCCAGCAUCAGCACUAUUGGAAGUUCUUGACCCAGAGCAGAAUAAUACAUUCAAUGACCAGUAUCCUUUUCUUUUACUGAUAAAACGUUCUCAUUUAAGUGCUGGCUACUUUAAAUUUGUUCUUUCAGUUAUUGAUUAUUGAGCUUACAAUUACCUCCUGUUAUUUUGGCAACAUUUAUUCAUGUUUUUCCAUAUACUUAAGACUGUUUGUUUGUUGAGACAGUCAGCCUGGAGUACUUCAGUAUUGUGGGCUUAUGUCCCGAACCCUGUGGCCUCAUUUGAGCAAGCCUCCAUGUCUACCCCCUCUUCAAACAGGGUGAAUCCCUGUUUAAUCAAAAAAAUAUUGUGGAUUUAAAUAUUUGAAUAGAAAGUCACUGUGUACUUGCAUCUGCCUUUUGUAUAUUGAUAUUUUCCUCAAGUCUUUAGAAUCGACAUAUCAAUUCUUUCAGCUUCUGUUAUAAAGCAAACCUUACAUUAUGUAAAUGCAAUCAGAAAUAAGAUACCAUUAGUAUUAAAUUCUUUAAUCUUUUUGAGUACAAAUAAUUAAGUGGUAAGAAUAGAAGCAGUUUAAAAAAUGAUAAAUUGAUAGGGAGAUAAGUCAUUCACUAUCAGAUUUCAGAGGGAAUACUGAGGGUUGAGUGUAUAGAUGAUGAUGUGACAGGUAAGGGAGCUCUUCACUUGCUGCGAGAGGGGAAUAGGUAUUAGGGAGUAGAUUGGUUGUGAUAUAACACGGACCACAUUCUUAUGCCUUUGGAGGGUGGAGGAUCAAGAUAUGAGAUUUAAUUAUUGUUGUUUCGGGAGUAUUAGUAGGAGUGUUGUUGAGCAAGAGGGUGAUGAGAUUAGCUGAAGCAGUGCAAAUCAAAUAGGGUAUGUGUCGAAGGAGAGCAAUUUCCAUACACAUUUCCACCUUCAUGAGUUUAGCCGUCAGUUGGCUAUCUGCUAUAAUCCUAUAAUUUUGAAAAGAGAAACCUAAUUUUCAUGUUAUAGGAGCCUUUAUCCAGAGAUUUCUUUCGGAAAAUGUAAUUAGUGUGAAAGAUUAUGGUGCGAAGUACGUUAAAUCAAAGUUCUUUCCGGACAAGGUUAAAAAAUCUUUACAUUUAGUAACCUGUAAUAUGUAGUCUUUUGUCAUCAUGACAGUUUUAAUCAUAUAACUAGCUGAACUCUUGAUUCGCCAUGUUCCUUAACUUGUGAUACAGCUAUUUGAAUGUUCCAUUUGACUUGUCGAAGGUGAUAUUUGUUGCAAUGGCAAACAGGGUGCAACCUAUUCCACCACCCCUUUUGGAUCGGAUGGAAGUCAUUGAGCUUCCUGGUUAUACACCUGAAGAGAAGCUAAAAAUGGCAAUGAAACAUCUUAUACCAAGAGUCCUAGAUCAACAUGGUUUGAGCUCUGAAUUUCUUCAGAUUCCUGAGGUAUGUUCCGAUACACCUUUGCAGAUUUUCUCCUCUUGAGUUGCAGCUGAUAUUUGCUUUCGAUUUCUCUAAUCUUUUUCUAUGCUGUCAUCCUGUCUAUCAGUGAAAUUGCUCCUAAAAUUUCUAGGCUAGUUUGAUAAAACAUCUAAUAGCAAUAUGUUAGUUAAAAGUACACAGGUCUCUAAUGACGAGUGGUGAUUAUUCCCUUCCUUUUCAUUCUAUGAUAAGGAUUUUCCAAAGGUGAGAAUUGUCUUGUGGCUCAAUUGGAACAUCAAAAGAUCAAAAACUGUGAAGUCUGGAAGUUACAAAUCAUCAUUAUGACAAAGUUUCAAUAUCUUCCCUGAAUGAGGACUUGAAACUUUAAACUGGACUGCCUUGUUUUCUUGGUUGGUUGUUUAUAUGGCUUAUAAAGGGCAAAGAAGUGCGUGAUCCUUGGUAUUUGGGUAAGCAGACAUCACAUAUUCGCCCUUGCGUUUGUCACAUUUGUCUAAUACCAUAGAAAACUGAGGAAUGUUGUCGAGUCUUGUUGAGCCACUUAAAACUUGGAUCAGGAUAAUGAUACUACUUUCAUUGUUUGUUGUUAGGUUGUCAGCUGUCUAUAUAUGAACUUGUAUUUCUCUCUAGAGCCUUGGUGAAUUUGAGUUGUCUUCUUUCUGGCCCUAAAUAGGGAAAGGGCCAUAAUGCUUAUCUAUUGACACUUUAAGUAAUUUAUUCUUUCCAUCCAAACAAUAAUAUUCUCACUAUCAUCGUUUACAAUUAGCAUGACCACAAUUUGUUCUAACUGUAUCUUUAUAUAGGCCAUGGUAAAACUCAUUAUCCAAAGAUACACUCGAGAAGCUGGUGUGCGUAACCUUGAGAGGAACUUGGCUGCUCUGGCCCGUUCAGCUGCUGUCAAGUUUGCAGAGCAAGAGAGUGCAGUUCAAGUUGGCAAAGACGUACAACCAAUGACAACGUCCCUUCUUGACACCAGGCUUGCAGAUGGUGCUGAAGUUGAGAUGGAAGUUAUUCCUAUGGGCGUCAACAGCCAGGAGAUAUCAAAUUCUUUUGAAAGUGCCUCACCUAUUAUCGUAGAUGAAGCUAUGCUGGAAAAAGUGCUUGGGGUAUUCGCUUGUAUUUCACUUUUCAAGCUCAAAACACUUUCCUCUCGGCUGUUUAAUUUGCAUUUUGUUAAUCAAAUAUUUCAAUGUUAAUUGUUUAUUUGCGAUAUUGCAGCCUCCUAGGUUUGACGACAGAGAAACUGCAGAACGAGUGGCAACUCCUGGAGUAUCAGUUGGACUAGUCUGGACUUCCUUUGGUGGGGAGGUUCAGUUUGUCGAAGCCACAGCAAUGGUGGGAAAGGGUGACUUGCAUUUGACUGGACAGCUUGGUGAUGUUAUCAAAGAAUCUGCACAAAUAGCUCUCACAUGGGUAUGUCUCUUUGCACACUUAUUUGGUUUAUCUUGCAGGUAAAUGAUCAAGUUCUCAUUAUGUUCCAACCUGUCUCCUCUAGUCCCUACUAAAUUGGUUUUGCUUGUUUGGGCUUUCCCAUUUAGUUGGUUGGAGGUCAAUCUUAGCUGUCCCUCUAUGCACAACUCUGUUAGAAGGGGUUAGUUCCUUUUGGAGAAAAUAAUAGGCUGCUUAGUUUGUUCGUUUAGGCAUGUUACACUUAGUUGUAUAAUCUUUCAACUUUAGAUGGAAUGUAUAUUCAGAAUAUAGUUGCAAGCAUAUCCAAAAAUUUAAAUGUGCAGUAGUGAGAUAAUUGGAUAUCUGUUGUUGUUCAUAACUUUAUUUUAUUAUUAUUAUUAUUAUUAUUAUUAUUAUUUGUUUCCUCAGGUAAGAGCAAAAGCAGCAGAGCUGAAUUUGUCAGCUUCUUCGGGGAUUAAUUUAUUGGAGAGUCGUGACGUUCAUAUUCAUUUUCCUGCUGGUGCCGUGCCAAAGGAUGGACCAUCGGCAGGAGUUACUUUGGUGACAUCGCUUGUUUCACUAUUCAGUCAGAGGAAAGUUAGAGCAGACACUGCAAUGACCGGAGAAAUGACUCUGAGGGGCCUUGUAUUACUAGUUGGUGGCAUCAAGGAUAAGGUAGGUUUUUUUGCAUGGUAUACUAUGUUGUGGAAAUAAUGCGAGAGAUACUCCAUUAGGAAUACGUUCCUUGUAAAUUAUGUAUCUUUUAAUUUAUUUAUACUUUAAUUUGCUCCUUCAGGUAUUGGCAGCUCAUCGUUAUGGCAUCAAGAGAGUAAUCUUGCCGGAACGGAAUUUGAAGGACCUAACUGAAGUCCCAUCGGCCAUUCUAUCUGGCAUGGAGGUAUUUUUUCUGCUUUUUUGCUUGGAACUUUUUUAAUGUAGAUUCUCUUGUAAUUAUUUUAAUAACGUUUGAAGAAUUUGAUAAUAGAUGACAGCACUUACUGUACUCACCGACUGAUCAUCAUCUUGUCAAAAUGCUCACUAAUUUGACGAACCAGUUCUGGAUCUGAGCACUGAGAAAAUUUGAAUAUUGAUGAUCUAAUGAAACUAUUAUCUCUCAUAACAGUCAUAACUAAGAAUCAUAUCUUCUGUUUGAAUAUACAGUCGUUGAAUUAUCGAAGUGCUUUUUCUGUUUGAGUUAAUAGAUACUGGCUCCUCGAGUUAAAAAUAUUUUUUCUUGGAGUAAUUUGUUUGAUAAAAGCAUCAAAUUCCUGAAAUAGAUGGUUUAGGUAUGUGGUGAAAGAUUGUAUGCUAACUGGCUAGUUUGGAGAUAUCUUCCAACCUAGCUAAAAUCUUCAAAUAUCUGUUAAAAUCUGCAUUUAUUGUAAUUUAUUGGUACAUCAAAAUCAAGUGAAGCCCUUACAGCAAACGGCUAGAAUAUUUAAUGAUGAUUGAUCCCUAGUCCUGUGGUUUUUCUUUUCUGGUUAGAUUUCUUGUUAGAUCUUCUGUACUUGUAAUAUUACGUCUUACACUUUGAGAUUGUACGAUUUCUUAUCCACUUUGAGAUGAUAGUUUCUCUUAUGGUGUCCAAAAACACAUUAAACUACUGCCGAUGCGCUAAAGAAAUUAGUUAAAAUUUAAUGAGAACCAUUGAACCAAAAAAAUAUCAUGUUUAAUCUCCUGCUUGAAUGAUCUUUCCAUAUAUUCCUGCUUAGUUUCUGACUACCAGUUAUCUUAACUCUUCUGUGGUUCCUAUUUUUAACAGAUUUUGCUUGUGAAGCGUAUUGAGGAAGUACUGGAACACGCAUUUGAAGGUGGAUGCCCCUGGAGGAAACAUGCUAAGUUAUAGCAUUCUCCAGUGUUCUCCAAUCGUGGAGUAAAUAUCGAUGGAAUUGCCGUUUUCGACCAGAUUUAGGGCAACCUGAUUGACAAUAGCAGAUGCGAUCGUAUCAGCACGCAUCCAAUAUGCGGAACCGAGCCAUUGGAUAAGAUAUCUACUGGAAAUAUAAAAUACGGGCUCAGUAUUAGCCAGUGUAAUGUCUUCGAAAGAUUGACCUGAAUGAGUUAUAUAAUCCCCGCUUUAGAGCAUUAGCCGUUUCUAGCCGAUCCUAUAAUUAUAUUUGGGAUCAAAGGCUUAGUUAUCGUUGUUAUUGCUGCCGCUGCGGCCACAGAGCAUGUGGCUAUCGUUGUGCUACGAACUCCCGAUUUGGCUCAGCAAUUUGUGUAAGGCUAGUCUCUCUGAUUCUGUAUUAUGUAUAAUUUCAAACUGGAAGCGAAAGUCUCUCCUAUUUAACAUAAAUUGUCUCAAAAACAUUGAUGUGUAUGCCACUGAGGGAUAGGAGCGUUAGUCUCAAACAAAUGAGGCUAACUUUGCCUUGCUCUGUUUCAAUCUUCUCCCUUGGUGGUGGUUGUGUGUAUUCAUAUUUCUUAUUCUUUUCCUUUUUAUGUUCGGAUUCUCUCUCGCUUUCCUUCCUAAAAAAUUUGGCUUCUCUCUUACGAGUUUGGAAUCAAGUUUGUAGUUUAGCGGUGGUUUCCACUGCCACUUUGUAGAAUCAAAGGGGGGGAAUUUAAAUGGUUGUUUGAAUUUUCUUGGAUCCUUCAAAGCAUCCAGGGUCGCGAAACGGGUCGAAAGGGAGAUUUUUGUUAGUCACUAGAGAUGUCAACGGGUCGGAUUCGGGUGAAUUUUUAAAAACCCGAAUCCGAACCCAACUCCAAACCCGAGACCCGAAUCCGAACCCGACGGAUUUUAAAAAUCCAUAUCCAAACCCGAACCCGACCAAAAAUCCGAAACCCGAAGCCGAAUUCGAAAAUUUGAAUCCGAAACAAUUAUUUUUUUUUUCAAUAUUUCAAAAUAAAUUAUAUUAAAUCUAAAUUUUUAAAAUACAAAUUUAAAUAUAACAUCAAAUUUUUAUAUAUAUAUUAUAUAUAAUACAAAAUAAAUUUGGGUUCGGGUCGGGUUUGGGUCGGGUACAAUCAAAAUUCAUAUCCGAAUCCAUAUCCGUCAGGUUUCUAUUUUAAAUAUCCAUAUUCGAAUCCAUAUCCAUCGAAUAUAUCCGUUUCAUUCGGGUUCGGGCUCGGAUAAAAUUUCGGGUAUCCAUACCCAUUGACAUCCCUAGUCACGCUUAGCAGCAAAACCGAGGUAAGCUCAGUGAGCUAAAGUAAGUUCGAUUUUAACUCAAAAUUGUAGAUAUAAAAUGGUUUAGUUCAUAAGAAUUAUAGAUACCGAAAAUUAAUGAUUUAUAUUAUAUAUAAUUUGUAAAUUUUUCAGAUAUCAUGAAACAUGUUUAAUCAAUUAAAUUUUAAUUAUUAUUAGAUCUCUAUGCUAGAAUUUUCACAAUGGACAGAACUUUGAAUAGUCGAGACCAGGAGUGCACUAGGUUCAUGCAACAAUUUCGGAGUUGGAAUCUUAUAAUCCACUAUUGUAAGGUUUUGGCUGUUUAGCCAACCAAAAUGAUAAAAUUAAUGUGAAAAAAAUAGUCCCGAUAAAAUUAGAGGAUUGCAAAUCAAAACGAAUUGCCAUAGGAUGGCAAACAAUAUAAAGAAUACCUCUACAAAAUUAUGAAAUUUGGUUUCUAAAUAAUUCCAAUAGCAUAAAUCAUGUCUAACGGAGUCGAUCGCAGGAUCGGAUGCUCUAUUAUCGAAAACAACUUACAAGCACGGAUGCUUCCGUAUUUUCGAAAGCAUAAGAGCCUAGCUCUCUCUCUCUCUCUCUCUCUCUCUCUAUAUAUAUAUAUAGGGAAAAUUUCAUAGGUACUCCUAUAGGAGACUGAAAUUUCAUUAAUAACCUUCUAAAAUUGAAAAAAUCACGAAUGACCUUCUCAAUUCAAAAAUACUCAUGAAUGCCCUUACAGGUAAAGUGUCGUUAAAAUCUAACCGAACAGAUUAUAAAUGACAUUUCUAUUCCUGUACGGUUCAUUAAGUAUAGGAAGCCGUAAUGGUAUAUUAGCACUAUUCACAAAUGCCCUCUUAUUCUCUCCACAUAGCAAUGAGCCCACUAAGUUGUCGAUAUUUUACAACACCUCAUAACACAACUCCUAAUUGUGAUUGUCGUAAACCAUGCCGAAUUUAGAUGUCAAAACAACCACACAAUAAAGGUCGAUGAUUUUAUUGAUGUCCAAAUUGGAGGGUAAGUUGAUGUGAUACAUUAGUGUGCAUAUAAAGGCUAAGUUACAUAAAACCUUCAUGUCAAAAUUCGAUUUUUCACUUUCCUCCUCUGUCAUUUGAAAACCUACACUUUGCCCUCUUGUAAAAUGAAAAUUGUUCACUUCGCCUCUUGCCGUUAGUAAUCUGUUAGAGUUCCGUUUAUAAAAUAUUAUUAUAUAUUUUUUUAUGCCAAAAAUGCCAUCAACCUUCUCUCCUGUGAACAUGAUGAGAGGCAAAAUAGUGAAGGGCAAAAUGGUUAUUUUAUCAUCACAGUUCACACCGUACUCCUGUGAACAUUUUUUAUUUUAUAAGAAGGCAAAAUGUAGGUUUUUAAAUGAUAAGAGGGAAAGUGAAAAAUUAGAUUUUGAUAGGGGAGUUUUCUGUAAUUUAGCCUUAAUUAAAUUUCAAAUAUAUAAUGCUGUAUAUUUUCUAUAGAUUUAGGAAUAAAGAUAAUGCAACUUUGGGUAUUUACUUUUCAAUGCAGCACAGUUAACCUUGAGUACCAAAUACAUAUGCUGAAAAUAAUAUAGGCCGAAGAAUUAUGAAAUUGGAGGAGAAAAUCCUCCUGUGUACUUUAUAUACUAGUUUUUAAAUUUUUUUAUCUUAGCAUUAAUUAGUUAUUUCCCGCCAAAUAUAUCAUUCUAACUUUUGGGGAAAAACUUAUCAUUCUAUAUUUUAACUUUCAUUUAACUACAUUUUAAUUCAGGUAGAGCGACGUAUCCUUAACAGCAAGGAUAGUUAUGAUAAUUUUAUAUGUUUGAAGAGGUGUUUAUUAUAUUUGAAAGUUUAGAGGAGUAUUCAUGAAAUUUACAAGUUUGAUAAGCUUACUAAUGAAAUUGCCCUUUUCUUUAUAUCAAUAAUUAAUUAUAUCAAUAAUUGCAUAUAAUUUAGGGUAAACUUCAAAUACUAAUCCUGUGGUUUCGUACUUUUUUACUUUAAUAUCAUGUAGUUUAAAAAGUUUCACUUUAGUACCCUAUGAUUUUAUUUUUCUCUUUCCACCAGCAUCUCCCUUAACUCUCCAUUAAAUUAUAUACAGAAAAAUUUCAGAUACCCCGCCCUAUGAUUUAUUGAAUAUUCACUUUAGUAUCCUGUGGUUUACCGAAUUUUUACUUUAGUACUCUAUGGUUUUAAUUUUAUCACUGAUAUAAUAGAAAAUUAAUGGAGAGGAUAACAGAAAGAGAAAUUUAUUAAAUUUAUUAAAAUUAAUAAUGAAAUAAUAUAAAAGCUCAAAUAAAAAAAUAGAGGUUAAAGGGNAUUCAUUUUCCUGCUGGUGCCGUGCCAAAGGAUGGACCAUCGGCAGGAGUUACUUUGGUGACAUCGCUUGUUUCACUAUUCAGUCAAAGGAAAGUUAGAGCAGACACUGCAAUGACCGGAGAAAUGACUCUGAGGGGCCUUGUAUUACCAGUUGGUGGCAUCAAGGAUAAGGUAGGUUUUUUUGACCGGUAUACUAUGUUGUGGAAAUAAUGCGAGAGAUACUUCAUUAGGAAUACGUCCCUUGUAAUUAUGUAUCUUUUAAUUUAUACUUUUAAUUUGCUCCUAAAGGUAUUGGCAGCUCAUCGUUAUGGCAUCAAGAGAGUAAUCUUGCCGGAACGGAAUUUGAAGGACCUAACUGAAGUCCCAUCGGCCAUUCUAUCUGGCAUGGAGGUAUUUUUUUCUGCUUUUUUGCUCGGAACUUUUUUAAUGUAGAUUCUUUUGUAAUUAUUUUAAUAACGUUUGAAGAAUUUGAUAAUAGAUGACAACACUUACUAUACUCACUGACUGAUCAUCAUCUUGUCAAAAUGCUCACUAGUUUGACGAAACAGUUCUGGAUCUGAGCACUGAGAAAAUUUGAAUAUUGAUGAUCUAAUGAAACUAUUAUCUCUCGUAACAGUCAUAACUAAUAAUCAUAUCUUCUGUUUGAAUAUGUAGUGGUUGAAUUAUCGAAGUGAUUUUUCUGUUUGAGUUAAAAAUAAUUUUUCUUGGAGUAAUUUGUUUGAUAAAAGCAUCAAAUUCCUGAAAUAGUUGGUUUAGGUAUGUAGUGAAAGAUUGUAUGCUAACUGGCUAGUUUGGAGAUUUCUUCCAACCUAGCUAAAAUCUUCAAAUAUCUGUUAAAAUCUGCAUUUAUUGUAAUUUAUUGGUAUAUCAAAAUCAAGUGAAGCCCUUACAGCAAACGACUAGAAUAUUUAAUGAUGAUUGAUCCCUAGUCCUGUGGUUUUUCUUUUCCAGUUAGAUUUCUUGUUAGAUUGUAAUUGUAGGAUUUCUUAUCCACUUUGAGAUGAUAGUUUCUCUUAUGGUGUCCAAAAACACAUUAAACUACUGCCGAUGCACUAAAGAAAUUAGUUAAAAUUUAAUGAGAACCAUUGAACCCAAAAAAUAUCAUGUUUAAUCUCCUGCUUGAAUGAUCUUUCCAUAUAUUCCUGCUUAGUUUUUGACUACCAGUUAUCUUAACUCUUAUGUGGUUCCUAUUUUUAACAGAUUUUGCUUGUGAAGCGUAUUGAGGAAGUACUGGAACACGCAUUUGAAGGUGGAUGCCCCUGGAGGAAACAUGCUAAGUUAUAGCAUUCUCCAGUGUUCUCCAUUCGUGGAGUAAAUAUUGAUGGAACUGCCGUUUUCGACCAGAUUUAGGGCAUCCUGAUUGACAAUGGCAGAUGCGAUCGUAUCAGCACGCAUCCAACAUGCGGAACCGAGCCAUUGGAUAAGAUAUCUACAGAAAAUAUAAAAUAUGGGCUCAGUAUUAGCCAGUGUAAUGUCCUCGAAAGAUUGACCUGAAUGAGUUAUAUAAUCCCCGCUUUAGAGCAUUAGCCGUUUCUAGCCGAUCCUAUAAUUAUAUUUGGGAUCAAAGGUUUAGUUAUCGUUGUUAUUGCUGCCGCUGCUGCCACAGAGCAUGUAGCUAUCGUUGUGCUACGAACUCCCGAUUUGGCUCAGCAGCUUGUGUAAGGCUAGUCUCUCUGAUUCUGUAUUAUGUAUAAUUUCAAACUGGAAGCGAAAGUCUUAAAUUGUCUCAAAAACAUUGAUGCGUAUGCCAUUGUGGGAUAGGAGCGGUAGUCUCAAACAAAUGAGGCUAACUUUCCCUUGCUCUGUUUCAAUCUUCUCCCUUGUGGUGGUUGUGUGUAUUCAUAUUUCUUAUUCUUUUCCUUUUUAUGUUCGGAUUCUCUCUCGCUUUCCUUCCUAAAAAAAUUUGGCUUCUCUCUUACGAGUUUGGAAUCAAGUUUGUAGUUUAGCGGUGGUUUCCACUGCCACUUUGUAGAAUCAAAGUGGGGGAAUUUAAAUGCUUGUUUGAAUUUUUCCUUCAAAGCAUCCAGGAUCGCGAAACGGGUCGCAAGAGAGAAAUUUGUUAGUCACGCUUAGCAGCAAAAACGAGGUAAGCUCAUUGAGCUAAAGUAAGUUCGAUUUUAACUCAAAAUUGUAGAUAUAAAAUGGUUUAGUUCAAAAGAAUUAUAGAUACCGAAAAUUAAUAAUUUAUUUAUAUUAUAUAUAAUUUGUAAAUUUUUCAGAUAUCAUGAAACAUGUUUAAUCAAUUAAAUUUUAAUUAUUAUUAGAUCUCUAUGCUAGAAUUUUCAGAUUGUGGUCCACAGUGCACUAGGUUCAUGCAACAAUUUCGUAGUUGGAAUCUUAUAAUUCACCAUUGUAAGGUUUAGGCCGUUUAGCCAACCAAAAUGAUAAAAUUAAUGUGAAAAAAAAUGGUCCCGAUAAAAUUAGAGGAUUGCAAAUCAAAAUGAAUUGCCAUAGGAUGGCAAACAAUAUAAAGAAUACCUCUACAAAAUUAUGAAAUUUGGUUUCUAAAUAAUUCCAAUAGCAUAGAUCAUGUGUAACGGAGUCGAUCGUAGGAUCGGAUGCUCUAUUAUCGAAAACAACUUACAAGCACGGAUGCUUCCGUAUUUUCGAAAGCAUAAGAGCCCAGCUCUCUCUCUCUAUAUAUAUAUAUAGGAAAAAUUUCAUAGAUAUUCCUAUAGGAGACUGAAAUUUCAUUAAUAAUCCUCUAAAAUUGAAAAUAUCACGAAUGACCUUCUCAAUUCAAAAAAUACUCAUGAAUGCCCUUACAGGUAAAGUGUUGUUAAAAUCUAACCGAGCAGAUUAUAAAUGGCAUUUCUAUCCCUGUACGGUUCAUUAAGUAUAGGAAGCUGUAAUUGGUAUAUUAGCACUAUUCACAAAUGCCCUCUUAUUCUCUCCACAUAGCAACGAGCCCACUAAGUUGUCGAUAUUUUACAACACCUCAUAACACAACUCCUAAUUGUGAUUGUCGUAAACCAUGCCGAAUUUAGAUGUCAAAACAACCACAUAAUAAAGAUCGAUGAUUUUAUUGAUGCCCAAAUUGGAAGGUAAGUUGAUGUGAUACAUUAGUGUGCAUAUAAAGACUAAAUUACAUAAAACCUCCAUGUCAAAAUCUGAUUUUUCACUUUCCUCCCCUGUCAUUUAAAAACCUACACUUUGCCCUCUUGUAAAAUGAAAAUUGUUCACUUCGGCCCCUGCCGUUAGUAAUCUGUUAGGGUUCCGUUUAUAAAAUAUUAUUAUAUAUUUUUUUAUGCCAAAAAUGCCAUCAGCCUUCUCUUCUGUGAAUGUGAUGAGGGGCAUAAUAGUGAAGGGCAAAAUGGUCAUUUUAUCAUCACAAUUCACACCGUACCCCCUGUGAACAUUUUUCAUUUUAUAAGGAGGCAAAAUGUAGGUUUUUAAAUGACAAGAGGGAAAGUGAAAAAUUAAGUUUUGACAGGGGGUUUUCUGUAAUUUAGCCUUAAUUAAAUUUCAAAUAUAUAAUGCUGUAUAUUUUCUAUAGAUUUAGGAAUAAAGAUAAUGCAACUAAUUUGUUUGGGUAAUUACCUUUCAACAUAGCACAGUUAACCUUAAGUACCAAAUACAUAUGCUGAAAAUAAUAUAGGCUGGAGAAUUAUGAAAUUGGAGGAGGAAAUCCUCCUGUGUACUUUAUAUACUAGUUUUUAAAAUUUUUUAUCUUAGCAUUAAUUAGUUAUUUCCCGCCAAAUAUAUCAUUCUAACUUUUGGGGGAAAACUUAUCAUUCUAUAUUUUAACUUUCAUUUAACUACAUUUUAACCUGGGUAGAGUGACGUAUCCUUAACAGUAAGGAUAGUUAUGAUAAUUUUAUAUGUUUGAAGAGGUGUUUAUUAUAUUUGAAAGUUUAGAGGAGUAUUCACGAAAUUUACAAAUUUGAUAAGCUUACUAAUGAAAUUGCCCUUUUCUUUAUAUCAAUAAUUGCAUAUAAUUUGGGGUAAACUUCAAAUACUAAUCCAGUGGUUUCGCACUUUUUUACUUUAAUAUCAUAUAGUUUAAAAAGUAUCACUUUAGUAUCCUAUGAUUUUAUUUUUCUCUUUUCGCCAGCACCUCCCAUAACUCUCCGUUAAAUUAUAUACAAAAAAAUUUCAGAUACCCCACCUAUGAUUUAUUGAAUAUUCACUUUAGUAUCCUGUGGUUUACCGAAUUUUUACUUUAGUACUCUAUGGUUUUAAUUUUAUCACUGAUAUAAUAGAAAAAUUAAUGGAGAGGAUAACGGAAAGAGAAAUUUAUUAAAUUUAUUAAAAUUAAUAAUGAAAUAAUAUAAAAGCUCAAAUGAAAAAAUAUAGGUUAAAGGGGGUGUCAACAAAAAAAAAAAAAAGUUGAUGGGCCUAUAUCAAAAUCGUUUAUAGUUGAGGGGGUCUCCAUACAUUUUACCUAUUGAAAUUAAAUUAUUUUAGUUAUUUCAACUGAAAAGUUGUGUUAAAUUUAAUAAUUUUUUUUUAUACUAUAUCUCUUAAUUUUAAAAAACUAAAAUGUAAGGGGUCUUAAUAAAAAACUGCAUAGUUAAAGAAAUUACUUCAAAAUAGAAUAUAGUCGAGGAAUCUCCGGUACAUUUCUCAAAUAGUAAUAUAGUACCAAGCAAUUAGGGGUAAAUUCGUCAUUUUAUUACUUAACCCCUUAUUAAUUAAGGUAAAUUGACGGUAUUUUAAUAGUAAGAAUAUUUAUGAUAAUUUUUUAUAAUUUAAUUAGGGGUAUGCAUGAUAUUUUAACUUUUGUAGGGGUAUCUACAAAAUUUAAAAAUUUUAGAGGGUCCGGAUGAAAUUGCCCCAUAUAUCUAUAUAUAUAUCACCCCACCCCCACUUCUCUUUUUCCGCUACCUCUCUUCCUCGUCCUCGUCCUCUUCCCCUGCCCCACCUCUCUCUCUCUCGCGCGCGCGCUCUCUCUCUCUUCCUUCAUUUUCCGAUCGGUCAUUGAUGAGGCUUCGUGAGCACAAGUGGUACUCCAAUCCUCGUCCUGAUCGUACGUUCACGUAAGCAAAUCUCCCUCUUUCCCUCUAUCUCUCUCUCUAUCUCAACCUUAAAAAUAUAUAAAUUUCGGGACUAAAAUUGGCAUGUAAGAGAAAACUAAAUAGACGAUGGUAUGAUAAUAUUGUUAAUUCUAAAACCUUCUUUUAGCAGUGUCAUUUUAUCGCGAUUAAAUCCAGAGAUUUAAAAUUUUAAUUUCAAAAAAAAGAUUAUAGACCAAAAUAAAAAUAGUGAAAAAGUCGGGGAGUAGUGUGCAAUUAUUUUUUAAAAUAUGGUAUGUGGCCCCACCCUUUUUUCAAAACGGUCAGGGUUCAUAUAUUGAAAACUAGUGAAGGACCCGGACGUUGCCGCGGGACGAUUCUGUAAAAAUAAAUAAAAUAAAAUAAAAAGAGUUAAGGAAUUAUGUAUUAAAAAAUUUGAGAGAUAAACUACUAUUACUGUAAUAAAAAAAUAAAAAAAUAAAAAGGAUUAAAAAAAUAGGGUAAAAAUCAUACAAAUAAUAAAUUAUAUUUAUAGCAACAAUAAAGGUUGAUGACUAAAAUGAUAUAUCUCAUAUUUCAAGUCAGAAAUUAUAACUAAUUAAAGUUUGAUGAUGAAAGUAUCACAUGCCUCAUAGUUUAAAUCAUAAUGUAAAGUCCGAUGAUUAAAGUCUCACUCGAGUUAUAGUUUUAAGAAUGAAAAAUAUAAAUCUAAUCUUUCAAAAUUUACUUAUAUAUAUGAGAUUUGAGUCAAUCAAUAAUACUUUAACUCUCUCUUUCUCUUCCCUCCAGUAAUGUGGGGUUCGAAAUUCAAACCAAUUCUCUUCUUUCUCAUAGAAAAUUAAAAUUUAUAUUUAAUACAUACAAUCUAAAUAUUUCAAAAUACACAUAUAUUUUAAAUUUUAAUAAUAAUUGAAAAAAUUAUAUUAAUUUUUUAAAAAAAUUUGCUUUUCAAAAUUAAUAGAAGAGAAUUAAAAAUAAAAAUUAAAAAUAUAAAAAGGGGUGGGCCCACGCUGGGCCACCCCCUCUGCCUUCCGCUUUCACGCUGCCCGGCCCCCCGCUGCAGCCGCUGCCACGCCACGGCGCUCGGCGUCGCCCGCCGCGCACUCCGGCGUCGCCUCAGUUGUCCAAUUAAGGAUUCGUGUUAUAUAUAUAUAUAGUAAUAUAGAGAGAGAGAGAUGAGAGAGGAGAGAGAGAGUGUGAGUGAUGCCUACUAUGCUAUCGAGCACAGAUUUCGUGCUUCAGCUGGUUUUCGAUGUUGGGACUUUCGACUCGGUCGAUCAGCGGUAUAUAUAAUUAUAUAUUAUUAUAUAUUACUUAUAUUAGAGAGAAGGAGAGAGGAGAGAGGAGAGGGGAGAGAGAGUGAGUGAUGUACUAUAGCUAUGGAGAUGGUACUUCCUGCUUCGUCGUUUUCGAUUGUUGAUGAUUUAGAUCGUCGAUCGCUCCGUUUAAACUUGAUUCAUAGAGUAUUUGAAGUACCUAGAAAAAUAAAUUUUUUCGAUUUUUCGAUAUCAUUUGCCUAGAAUGAAGGGGCUCAAAAUCAAGGCAUCUAAUAGAAAUAUUACAAUAAUGUAUAAUCAUGACAUUUAAAUUUUAAAGAUCGAAAAUUGAUCUUGUUUAUAUAGUAUAAGAUUUUCUAUUCAAGUUUCGUGAUUGGUAUUUGCACGUUAAUUUGCAACGGCUCACACGGCAUUGAAAUUUGUUGAUUUGGACCCAUUCGUCACUAGGCAAAUGAUAUCGAAAUAAUAAAAUUUUUUUUAGGUCUGCCAAUACUUCCGAUCAAGUAACGGAGCACCGAGCGACGAUUCGAAUGUAAAUCGAAAACGAGGUGAAGCCGAAGGCUCGUGCUUCGAUAGCAUUGUAGCCUAAACUAUUUAUAUAUGUAUAAUAUAUAAAUUAUCCUAUAUAUUUAUAUAUCUCUUAUAGUUAUAUAUUAUUGGAGCUCUAUUUAUUUUAAGUAUCAAGGCAUUGUACUUGUAGUUUGGGAUCUUGGGAUUAAAGUCAUGUGCGGUUAGGAUGAUGUGGCCUUAGGAUUAGUGGGGUGUGUUGGGUUGAAAGUAUAUUUAAGGGUGAAAUGAUCAAAGGCAGAAAUCCUAACAGUAAUUUACAGCACAAGUGUUGGGUAUAUUUUCAAGCCAUGCGGAUAUAUUGUAAUAUAUUAUAUAUAUAUAUAUAUAUAUAUGUAAGAUUAAAUGUGUAUAAUGGUAUCACAGAAUUAUUUUUAAAAUCAAUUUUUUAAUAAUAAAGAUAAAUCUCUUGAAGGUGAAAAAAUAAAAAAUACUCUUCUACUAAAUUAUAAGUUCCAAAAUCCUUUUAAAAAAGGAUAACUUAUUCAAACAUUCAAAUAAAAAGAUGUAGAUUAAUGAGUUCAAAUCAAUCAACCAGAGCUUUUCGGGUGCAUUCAUUUUAUUAGAUUUGCCGCACUUUAGGAUGCACAAGUUUAUGUUAGGGCUGUCUAUGAAUUGAACACGAGCGAUGAUUAAUAAAUAUCAAGCUAAAAAAUCUAGUUUAUGCUUGACUUGUUUAUUAAUGAGUCGAACAAGGACUGCCUUGUGAAAGGCAAGUUAGAUUAUCAAUCCUACUAUAUUUUUAAUCUAAUAAUUAAAAUUCACAAAAUAUAGGUCUUCUGAAAUUUGGAUUGGCCUAAAAUUCAAUGAGUAGAAAUUUCUAAUAUAUAUAUAUAUAUAUAUGAUUUGAGCUACAAUACUAUUAAUAGUAUUUGNUAUAUAUAUUUAUAUAUGAUUUGAGCUACAAUACUAUUAAUAGUAUUUGUCAUUUAUUGCUAUUAAAUUUUUUACUUUUGGAUCAAUUCCGUUGAUUAUUUCUAACCAUUUUAAAUAUUAUAACUCAGUGGGAACCACUCAACCCUAGGGGGACCACUCAAUCCUAGGUAAGAGACUAAUAUCAUCCUAACCCUGCAAUUUCUCAUUCAAGAGUUAAAUAUUUGAUAGCAAAAAAGACCAAAUAUUAUCAAUAGUAUUUCAGCCCAACUCUCUCUAUAUAAAUAUAUAACUCUCUCUCUCUCUCUCUCUCUCUCUCUCUCUCUCUCUCUCUCUCUAUAUAUAUAUAUAUAUAGUUGAGCUAGAAUACUAUCGAUAGCAAACGGGUUCGUUGCCACCCAUUUAUUUUCGAUGAUGGAGCUUGCAAAUUGACGAUCAGCACCGUUAAACAUGAUCUAUACCACUUGAAGUAUUUAGAAAUCAAAUUUCAUAUAUUUUUGAUAUUGUUCUCUUAUCUAUCGAGUGGACACAAAAAAUGAACGGCUGAAAAUGAUUAUUUUUUAAAAAAUGAUAAAAGGAGUCAUGUAAUCAAGAUCAAGAGUAUAGAUCUUGUUUUAAAUAGUUUAAAGAAUUUUCUAACAAAAAUUUAAUUGAUUUGAAUAUCUUUACGCCGUUAAACGAGAAAACGCCUCAUAUCGACCAUUAAAAUUACAAAAUUUGAAACUCUUUGAUCAUUAGGCAAAUGAUGUUAAAAAGAUUUUAAAUUUGAUUUCUAAACACUUCAAAUGGUAUAGAUCAUGUUCAACGGUGCCGAUUGUCGAUUUGGAGGCUCUAUUAUCGAAAACAAAUGGAUGGCAACGGAAUGGAAUACUUGCUAAUUUAAAGGUGUAAAAGAAUCGAAAUCGAUUAAAUUUAAUAUAAAAAAUUCUAUUCACUAUCUAGAUAAUGAUAAAUAAUUUUGAUUUUAAAUUAAAGUAUCUGAUCAUUCAUUUUUAGGAUAUCGUUCGAUUUUGACUUUUCAUUUUAUACUCACUUAAUGGACUUUAUUAUAAUUUUGAAAAAUGAUUAAAUUUAUUUUCUAGAAGUUUGAAAUACUCUACAUCAUAUUUAACAGUAUGGAUCAUCGAUUCGGAAGCUCAAUCAUUGAAAAUAAUUUAUGACUACGACGGGUUCUAUACUCACAAGACUGUAGAAGUCAGAUGUGUGUGUGUGUGUGUGUGUGUGUGUGUGUAGACAAGGUUUUAAGUGCCCGUCGGCAUAGGCCAUAUCCAUCGUGUCGUACUGUGUCAACAAGAUAUCGGCACGAUACAGAUCCUGUGCUGAUGGCACAGCUCAAAAUCCUCUAUUCUUUAAAUUAGUAAGUAGUUUUCUCAAUAAAGUUCAAAAGAUGUGAUAAAAAGAUAUAGUAAACAGUUAGAAUAUUUUGUUGCUAAAGAAAAUAAAUAUUUCAUGCUAUUAUGUGUCGGCAUACAAGAAUUUAUUUAACUGGCACGGCUCGGCACGCACCGUGCCGUACCGUGCCGACAAGUUUUCGGCGUGAUCCCGUGCCACGGCACUUAAAUCCUUGUGUGUAGAGCUACUAUGCUAUCGGAAGCAUAAAGUAGUUGGUACUUCCAAUUUUUAGCCCUUAGAUCAAAAUUCUACGGUUGGGAUGAUAGCGGUCCCCAUUGGUUAAUAAUAUUAAUCUUAUUGUUAGAAAUGAUCAAUGGGAUUAAUCUAGGGCUAAAAAAUUGGAAGCACCAACUACUUUAUGCUUCUGAUAGCAUAGUAGCUACACACGACUACUAUAUAUAUUAUGAUAAGUACGAUCGCCUUCAUCUUCGUAAGUCAUUUUCAAUGAUAGAGCUUCCAAAUCGAUGAUCCAUACUGUUAAACAUUAUCUUGAGCAUUUAAAGUUUCUAGAAAUCAAAUUUUAUAAUUUUUUAGCAUCAUUUAUAUUACGAUCAAAAGAUCUCAAAAUUAAUAAUUUUUAAUGGCCGAUAUGGAAUACUUGCUAGUUUAACAGUGUAAAAAAAUCGGAAUCAGUUGAACUUUUGAUAAAAAAUUCUAUUCACUAUCUAGAUAAAAAUUAAUAACUCUAAUCUUAAAUUGAAGGAUAUGAUCAUCCAUUUUUAGGACGUCGUUCAAUUUUGACCAUUUAUUUUAUGCCCGCUUGAUAAAUUUUAUUAUGAUUUUUACGAAAUUUAUUUUUUAAAAGUUUCAAAUACUCUAAAUUAUAUUUAUCGGAGUGAAUUGUCGAUUCGGAAGAUCCAUUAUCAAAAAUAACUUAUGAGUCCGAACUCUCCCCCCCCCCGCCCUCCGUCUAUAUGUUCUCAGCGCUCGUUCUCCUCGGCGUCUCGUCGCCCGCUCCUUGUUUCGCCGGUCUCUCGUCGUCUAUUAUAAGUAUAUAUAUAUAGUAUAAUAGUAGUAAUAUGAGACUUCAGCUCAUGUGCGUUGUUAAAAGUACUGAAACACUUUGGUACUUGUAUUUUUAUCUUUAGAUUAUCCCUUGAUCAUUCAACCGUUUGAUUAUACUAUUAACUCACCGCCACUCAAGUUCUACUAUCGGACCACGCAACAGUAUCCUAACCAUAUCAUCCUCCUAAUCCACAUGUCAAAAUCUACAAGCACCAACACUUGGUAGCUUUUAAAAAUCAUAGGAGCUCAAUUCGAUAUAUACAAUAUUAAAAUAGUAUACCUAAUAUAUAUAUAUAUAUAUAUAUAAAGCUGGGGCUAUACUAUAAUUUUAUGAGCUAUAGAUCCGUUGUAAAUCAUAAAUGUUUUAACGCGUUGCAUUGAUGGAUGUGUGGGUUUAAGGAUGGAUGGUGUCCCACCCUUUAAAAUGAUAGUAGUCCUACGGGUUGAGUGGGUUUUGGUCAAAUAGUAUGAUCUAACGGAUGAAAAAAUGAUUAAUGGAUGAUAAAUGUAAGGCCCGGAAAAUUUAUGAGUUAAGGAGUAUAUCAAUACCGAACGAACACCGUGGACAGGUUCCCGCUUUCGGCCUUUCGUACAGCCAAUGGGCUCAUACUACACGACAUCGCUCAGCCCCGGCCCUCAGCACGGACUUCGCCGCGACUCCGCUUCCGCUGAGCACAUCUCAGCAGCCCCCCUCUCUACCGGAUCUUCUUCCUCAUAUCGUCUUCUCCCGUCUCCUCACCCAUUACCUCGUGUCCUUCGUCACCUCUGCUCUCUUCCUCCCAGGUCUACUCUCGUGCUUCUCCGUCCUCCUCAUCCGCUCACUUCUCCCUCUCCCUUCUCCCCUUGUGGACCUGGCCCGGCGCGCGCGGGACCGGCUGCGGGCACUGCUCUACUGCUCCUUUCUCCUACGCCUCCGCGAACCUCCUGCGUCGGCGCACUCCGCUCUCUCCCCACCGUCGUCCUUUCUCCUCUCGGCCGCCCUUUUUCCUCUGUCUCUCUCUCUCGUCUCUCGCCCACCGCGCCCUCCUCUCUUCGUCCUCGUCUCUUCUCCUGCCCUCAGCUCCGUCUUCGGCUUCUCCUCUCCCCGCGCAGGCUCCCGCCUCCGUGGCCCCCUUCGACUCUCGCAUCCUCCCUCGCUCAGCCUCUCUUUCGUUCCGCCGGUCUCCCUUCCGAUCGCUCGUCCCCUCCGCCUCUCCUCUCCCUCGUCGUCCUCGUCUUCCCUCCGCUCCUCCUCUCUUCCUCGCUAUAUAUAAUAAUAAUAUAUAUAUAAUAUAGGUUAAUAAUAUUAUAUAUAUAUAUUAAUAGAUAGAGCUAGGCUGGUAUACUAUCCGGAUAGCUACGGAGGCCCUCCGUGCUACAAGUUUGUUUUCAAUGAUGGCUGGCUUUCAAAUCAGACAAUCGGCUUCGUUAACUUGAUCUACACUAUUAAAAGUUUUGGAAACUAAAAUUUCAUAAAUAUUUUCAGACAUCAUAUUGCUAGUGAUCAAAAGGCUUCCAAAAUUUUAACAAUUUUCAAUGUAGAUAUGAUGCAUUUUUAAUGAUUCAACGGAUGUAAGGAAGUAUCAAAUUAGAUGAAAAUUUAAUAGAAAUUCUACAAUUUAAAUCAAUACACGAAACCAAUACUUUUGAUUUGAAUUUUGAAUUCUUUAUCACUAUUUUUAUGAGAUUUUCAUUUUCAGCCGUUUAUUUUUAAACUACUCGUUUGAUAGGUAUAUAGCCGGAAAAAUUAUGAAAUUUAGUUUCCAAAUACUUUUAAUAGUGUAGAUCAAGUCUAACGGAGCCGAUCGUCGUUUAGAGCCGCAUCAUUGAAAAAAACUUGGUAGCACGGAGGCCUCCCGUGCUACCGAUAGUAUACCAGCCUAGCUCUAUAUAUAUAUAUAUUAUAUAUAUAUUAUAUAUAUAAUAUAUUAUAUAUAUAUAUAUAUAUUAUAAUAGUCAACUGUGAUACUAUCGAUAGUACUAAAGAUUUGGUUUAUCAAGUUUUUCACCGUUAGAUUUAACCCUCUGAUAUUUUUACUAGUUAGAAUUAUACUAUUCAACCAACACACUCGCUCAAUCCUAGAGGGCCACCAUCAUCCUAACCAUCCAUUCUCAUCUAAGGGCUAAAAAAUCAAUAGCACCAAUAGCUUGGUGCUAUUGAUAGUAUUCCAGCCUAGUUCUAUAUAUAUAUAUAUAUUAUAUAUAUAUAUAUAUAUAUAUAUAUAUAGAGAGAGAGAGAGAGAGAGAGAGAGAGAGAGAGAGAGAGAGAGAAUUGAGCUCCUAUGCUUUUAAAAGUACCAAAUUAUUGGUGCUUGUAAGUUUUCUGCCCAUGGUUUAAGGAAUGUGCGGUUAGGAUGAUAUGGGCCCCGUAAGGUUGAGUGGGUGGUUGGUUGAAUAGUAUAAUCUAAUGGGUGAAAAUGAUCAAAGGUAUAGAUCUAACGGUAAAAAAUUUACAAACACCAAAUAGUUGGUGCUUUUACAAGCACCAUAGCUGGACUCUAUAUAUAUAUAUAAUAGAGCUACUAUACUCUUAUGAGUAUAGAGCCCUUCGUACUUAUAAGUUGUUUUCGAUGUUGGGGCUUUCGAAUCGACGAUCCACAUCGUUAAACAUGAUCUAUAGUACUUGAAACUUCUAGAAAAUAAAUUUCGUAAUUUUUCGAAAUCAUAAUAAAGUCCAUCAAACAGGUAUAAAAUGAACGGUCAAAAUCGAACGUCGUCCUAAAAAUGAAUGAUCGGAUCCUUCAAUUAAAGAUCGGAGUUAUUGAUCUUUAUUUAAGUAGUGAAUAAAAUUUUCUAUAAAAAAUUUAACCUAUUCCGAUUCUUUUUAACCAUUAAACUAGCAAAUAUUUCAUACUGGCCGUUAAAAAUUGUCAAUUUUGUGAGCUUUUGAUCGUAAGGUAAAUGAUAUCGAAAAAUUAUAAAAUUUAAUUUCUAAAAGUUUUAAAUGCUCUAAAUAACAUUUAACGAUAUAGAUCGUCGAUUCGGAGGCUCUAUCAUCGAAAAUAACUUGUGAGUACGAAGGCGAUCGUACUCAUAAGAGUAUAGUAGCCGGACUAUAUAUAUAUAUAUAUAUAUAUAUAUAUAUAUAUAUAUAUAUAUAGAGAGAGAGAGAGAGAGAGAGAGAGAGAGAGAGAGAGAGAGAGAGCUAGGUUGGUAUACUAUCGUUAGUACGGAAGCCUUCGUGCUAACAAGUUGUUUUCAAUAAUGCGGUUUCCAAAUCGACGAUCGGCUCCUAUAUACUUGAUCCACACUAUUAAAGAUGUUUGAAAACUAAAUUUUAUAAUUUUUGACAUCAAUUAUCUAUCAAAUGAGUAGUCUAAAAAUGAACGACUGAAAAUAAAAAUUUCAUAAAAAAGAUGAUAAAAGACUUGAAUUUAAGAGCAGAGAUGCUGUUCUUACUCUAAAUAGUGAAAAGAAUUUUCUAUAAAAAUAUCAUCAGAUUUGAAUUGGUUUACACCGUCAAAUUCACAAACGCAUCACAUUUAUCAUUAAAAUUAUCAAUUUUGAGACCUUUUGAUCAUUAGUCAGAUUAUGGAAAAGAGAUGAGAAUUAUAAAUGUGAGUAAUUCGAUGCUAAAUUGACUGAGUUGUUUAACAUUCUCUGCUUGAGCUUAUAAUUUAAACUUUUAAUUAUGUACUAGUUAUUUAAUCUAUCAAAUAUUCUUUAUACUUCAAAUAAAUAUCUUGGUAUACAUUAUGUACAUUUCACAUUUUUUGAACCAAAUUACUUCUCAUUCAUAAUAAAAGGGGGCCCUUUUUUUUUUUUAAAACAAAAUAGUCCUCUAAAACGCGGGAACUAGAAGUGGUAAAAAUGCAACGAUCACUAAAAAUAUAAAGGGAAAACUUCAAAACCCCCCCUGUGGUUUCGUGCAUUCUCACUUUGCUACCCUGUGAUUUAAAACGUAUCAAUUUGCCCCCCUGUGGUUUCGUUUUUAUCUUUUUAUUAUCAAUUUUAUUAUUAUUUUUUUUUAAAAUCAGUGACAAAGUUAAAAUUAAAGGAUACUAAAGUGACUAUUCGAUAAAUAUAGAUGGUUAUCUGAAGUUUUUUGUAUAUAAUUUAACGAAAUAUUAACGAAAAAGCUUCCGAAAAGAUAAAAAUGAAACCACAGGGGGGUAAAUUGAUACGUUUUAAACCACAGGGUAGCAAAGUGAGAAUGCACGAAACCACAGGGGGGGUUUUUGAAAUUUUCCCAAAUAUAAAAGAAAAUAUAAGCAAAAGAAAAUUAAAGCAUCAAAUAGUAAUUUUAAUUUCUAACUACAUAUAUAUAUAUAUUUGCGUGAUGAACGUGAAAAUACUAAAAAAAAAACUCAAAAAUCUAUGAUAUAUAAUUAAUUGGUAACUUUCCUUUCAAAGAGUUCAUGAAUAUACCACAAUGAAAUUUUAUUACAAGGACCAAAUUAAAAUCAUCAUUGCGCCAAAAAAAAAUAAAAAAAAUAAAAAAAUAAAAAAAUCCUUGCAUUAAAGCAUGCAUAAAAAAGGUUUUUUGAGUUAGGUUGUUGUACUCGUAGCAGGUAUUAAUGGUUCAUUGUAACAAAACUUUAAAGGAAAAAAAAUAAUUGCUUGGACUUUAAGUAUUUGUACGUCUCAUGUACUAUAAUAAAUAAUUAAAUAAUAAUUAAUUAUUUAUUUUUGAAAAUUUAAAUUUAUUUUAGAAAAAAUAUAAUUAUAAUAUAUUUAGAGUCAAAACUAUAAAAAAAAUUUAUUAUAAAGAUGAUUUUUAGGCUAAUAUGGCAUAUACUUGCGCUUCAAAAAAUGUCGUCCUACCAAGCUGUAUCAAAUUAAUUUAUUGAAUAAUAAAUUUUAUUAUUAUUUUUUAUUUUUUGCUAUUUUAAAAUAGGAAAAACUUCAAAAAUUUUUCUGUGGUUUCGUAGUUUUUUACUUUGCCCCCUGUGGUUUAAAAUGUAUCAAUUUGCCCCCAUGUGGUUUCUUUUUUUUCUUUUUCUUAUCAAUUUCAUUAUUUUUUUUUCUUAAAUCAGUGAUAAAGUUAAUUUAUCUCAAGUGAAUAUUUAAAGGGUACUAAAGUGAAUAUUUGAUAAAUCUAGAUAGCUAUCUCAAGUUUUUUAUAUAUAAUUUAAUAAAAUAUUAACGAAAAAGCUACCGAAAAGAUAAAAAAUGAAAUCACAUGGGGACAAUUUGAUAUAUUUUAAACCACAUGGGGGGGGGGAGAAAUGAGAAACUACGAAACCACAUGGGAUUUUUUUAAAGUUUUUCCAUUUUAAAAUAUCAGGAUUUUAAAAAAUUCUAUCAUUUUAAAAUAUCGGAAUACAUUUUACAGACAUUUGGUAUAAGUGUUGAUAUAUACUUUGCAACUUUUUAUUUACCAACGUUUGUACUGCGGCUUUUGAAUACAACGAUAAACUAUUUUAAAAUGCUUUUAAGUAUCUUUAAGUGCUAACAAUUAUCUGAGCAUUCAUUAGUCCUACAUUAAACACCGAUUGAUUUAUAAAAAUUAAGUGUUUAAAAUUUAUAAUUUCGAUUUAUAGAUAAAUUGCAUCUGGGGAAACAUUCAUCGAACAAUGCAUGAUGCAAAGGUACAUGCGAUAGUUUCUUUUAUUUUUUUUAUAUUUUUUAUUUUUAAAUGAGUUGUUAAGCCGUCCAUCUAAAUUCCCACCAACCCCCCUCAAUUUUUAAUAUUUCGAAACUAGUACGGUAAAGAUAUUGCUAUUUUAUACAAAGGACGAGAGUAAUAAUUAAACAAAAUGGAUUUAAUUAGUAGUCGGCGUGUAUUGUUUCAGUGAACUCGGCAACCAAUAAUAAUAAUACACGUUGCCCAUUACUCCAUGUACAUACAUGGAAAGUAAUUAUUUUAAUUAAUUAAGUGCAUUAAAUAUUUCUAAUUUCUAGAUAUUUACCAUGCAUUGUUGGGUUGUACUCGCAUUAAAAACUAGGGAGUAAUGAGUUGUUUUAUUAGUCGGUGCAAUGAUGUGAACAAUAAUAUAAUUUGUAGAUAAAAUAAUAAUUAUGAUAAUUAAAAAUUAAAUAAAAAUCUACGAUAUAAUUAUACUAAAACUAUUGAGGAAUUAUCUUAAGUGGGAAAAACUUUAAUUAACUUUUGAGCGAUUUAGCAUAUUUAUAUUUUGUUACUGGGCAAUACAAUUUAUUUACUAAUAAUAUAAUAAAGUAAAGUGAAAUUAAUAUUAUCUUAUAUUUUGUAAGUUAUAAUAUUUUAUGAUCUAUUUAUAUUUCUCAUAAAAGUAUUUUUUUAAAAAAUACAAAAUUUAUAAAAUAAAAAUAAAAUAAACCACACAAAAGCUGAUUAAUAAAGUUUCCCUAUUUUAUAUUCCAUAACUUCUAAAAAAGCGAUUUUACCUUUUCAAACUCUCUCUCUCUCAUCUCUCUGUUUCUCCACGUGGUCUCUUCUCCAUAUCCCUGUAAAUUUGAACGUUAUGCUUAUUUUUGGACGAGUAGUGUACUUGGAAUAGGACUCUGCAUUAAAUACGUACACAACACCAAAUAUGCCGUUUGGUUCGGGUAUAAAUAGGAACUAGCUAUUACAGAAAUAGGUACAAGUAUAGAGAUAAAAAAAAAUAAUGUUUGGAUGAAAAUUGGGUUGUUUUUGGGGAUAAGAACAAUUUUAGAUAGUUUUAUAUAGAAAAUGAAAGUGUUGGUGGGGAUAACCGAGAACUACUAUUCUCGGAUAAAAAAUUAGCAUUUGGAUAACCGAGAACUAUAUAUAUAUAUAUAUAUAGAGUGAGGCUACUAUGCUAUCGGAAGCACGGAGCCUUCCGUGCUUCCACCUCGUUUUCGAUGUUGCGACUUUCGAAUUGUCGAUCGGCUCCGUUAAACUUGAUCUAGAGUAUUUGAAGUACCUAGAAAAUAAAUUUUAUGAUUUUACGAUAUCAUUUGCCUAGUGAACGAAGGGGCUCAAAAUCAACGGCUGAAAAUAAAAAUAUUACAAAAUGUAAUAAUAUGACAUUAAAAUUUUAAAUCAAAGAUAUUGAUCUUAUUUUAUAUAGUAUAAAGAAUUUUCUAUCAAAAUUUCACGUGAUUUGGAUAUUUCUACACCGUUAAACUUGCAAACGGCUCACUACGGCCAUUGANUAUAUAUAUAUAUAUAUAUAUAUAUAUAGUAAGGCUACUAUGCUAUCGGAAGCACGAAGCCUUCCGUGCUUCCAGCUCGUUUUCGAUGUUGCAACUUUCGAAUCGUCGAUCGGCUCCGUUAAACUUGAUCUAGAGUAUUUGAAGUACCUAGAAAAUAAAUUAUGCAAUUUUUUGAUAUUAUUUAUUUAGUGAACGAAGGGGCUCAAAAUCAACAGUUGAAAAUAAAAAUCUUACAAAACGUGAUAAUAUGACGUUAAAAUUUUAGAUCAAAGAUGUUGAUCUUGUUUUAUAUAGCAUAAAAAAUUUUCUAUCAAAAUUUCACGUGAUUUGGAUAUUCUACACCGUUAAACUUGUAAACGGCUCACUGCGACCAUUAAAAUUAUUGAUUUUGAGCCCCUUCGAUCACUAGGCAAAUGAUAUCAAAAAAUCAAAAAAAUUAUUUUCUAGAUAUUUCAAAUACUCUAGAUCAAGUUUAACGGAGCCGAUCGACGAUUUGAAAGUCGCAACAUCGAAAAUGAACUGGAAGCACGAAAGGCUCCGUGUUUCCGAUAGCAUAGUAGUCUCACACUAUAUAUAUAUAUAGAGUAGGGCUACUGUGUUAUUAGGACCACAGUAACCCUUGUGCUCCUAAGUUCUUAACCGCUCAUCAAAUUUGAUGGGUUGUUAGGAUGAAAGGGAAAAAAGUAAUUGGAGAGAAAUUGGAUUUCUCAAUUUCUCUUCUCUUUAAAUUUCUCUUCAAUAUCUUUUCUCUCUCAUUCACCCUAACCAUCCAUCAAAUUUGAUGGGCGGUUAAGAAUUUAGGAGCACAAGAACUGCUGUGCUCCUAAUAGCACAAUAGCCUUACUCUCUCUCUCUCUCUCUCUCUCUCUCUCUCUCUCUCUCUCUAUAUAUAUAUAUAUAUAUAUAUUUUACUAUAUAUAAUAAUACAAUCCUCCUUAAUCUAUCUUCUCUUUCCUUUCCUUCUUUUAAAUUUAUAUUUAUACAUCUCCACACCCUUCACCCACCUCCCAAAACUUAAACACUAAUCUCUCUCUCUCUCUCUCUCUCUCUCUCUCUCUCUUUCUCUCUCUUCAUUAGUUCCCAGAUCCUCUUCAAUGGCCUCGUUAAUGCUGUUGCUGCUCCUGCUCCAAUCUCUUCUCCCUCUACUAAUAUUCUCCCUAUUCUCAGGUAUAUAACUCUUCGUUUCGUAUUCAUGAUUUUCUCAGUAACAUGCGUGAUUCGCCUUACGUUCAUUCACGUCAUUAGUUAUAACUUAAAACUUGUGUGAUGAUUAUUUUUGGGUUAUUUUCUAUGACUGCGCAUUGAUGGGGUGGUCCAGGGGUGUCGGCGGUGGCGACGUUCACGAUCGCGAACAAUUGCAGGUACGCAGUGUGGCCGGGGAUUCUGUCGAGCGCCGGCGCUGCGCCGCUGGCGACGACGGGGUUCGCGCUCGCGCCGGGCGAGGCGCGCGCCGUCGACGCGCCGGCCGGGUGGUCGGGGCGCAUCUGGGGCCGAACGCUCUGCGGCGGCGGCGGCGGCGGCGGGGCCUUCUCUUGCGCCACGGGCGACUGCGGCUCCGGCGCCAUCGAGUGCUCUGGCGGCGGCGCCGCGCCGCCCGCCACGCUCGCCGAGUUCACCCUCGACGGCAGCGGCAGCAACGACUUCUACGACGUCAGCCUCGUCGACGGGUAAAUGCUUAAGCUACCAAAAAACAGUAAUAUCUUUUUGGUAGUAUUGAUUUUAUAUCAUGCAAAUAUAUAAAUCAUUGUUUUACCUAAUGCACAGAUUUUAAAAUUUAAUAAACAUUAUUUUUAAGUAUUUAAUAGUUACUAUAUUUUUGUUUGUACUUUGAAAAAUGAUUGUGAAUAAUUAUAAUAUAUAUAUAAUGCAACAGAUCAUAAAGUAAUGAUUAGGUAAUCGAUUAUUAUCAUCGCUCAUCUGAAGGUUUACUUUUUAAUGUAACUUUUGUUCCUCUCCCCAAGUUCAAACAACAAAUUCAAUUAUACUUUACCUUGAAAGAGCGACAAUUUAGGCAAUUAUUUUUAUAUAUAUAAUACAUAAAUUUUAAAAUAGUAAUACAUAAUAAAUAAUUUGUCAUUGAGUUUUCGUGUCGGCAGAUGAUUUUAAUAUUUUAUAUUCAACAGGUACAACAUCCCGAUGCUGGUGGCCCCGCAGGGCGGCAGUGGGCCCAAUUGCAGGCCCACCGGGUGCCUAGCGGAUCUGAACGGGGUGUGCCCAUCGGAUCUGAAGGUGGUGGUGGGCGGCGAGGGGGUCGCGUGCCGGAGCGCCUGCGACGCGUUCGGGGCGCCGCAGUACUGCUGCAGCGGUGCGUACGGUAGCCCCAGCACCUGCGGGCCGACGUCGUACUCGCUCUUCUUCAAGAACGCGUGCCCGCGGGCUUACAGCUACGCCUACGACGACGCCACCUCGACGUUCACCUGCGCUGCCGCGACCGCCUCCUCGUACAUCAUCACAUUUUGCCCCAGCACAUCCAGGUAGCUGAUCGAUUGACUUAGCGAGCAACUUCAACUAUCUUUAGUUUUGACGUACAUGCAAUCAAAGUGGUCGGAGAUUUAAUAUCUUAAUUUGAUCCUCUCCUUUGUAUUUUUUUUUUUAAUCUGGAGUUGUUUUUUUAUAUAGAAUAAUUGAUACAAGCAAGACUUUCUCAUUACGUGGAAAAUCAUUUUUCGUUUGCUUUUGAUUUACUUUUUUAAACGUGGCCACGCAAUAAGUAAGUUGGAUGCUGGGACUUUUCAAUGGGGCUCUGCUUAUGUUGGCUUCGGGUCCCAGUUUAUCUAAAUGACAAAUUAAAAAGCGUAAUUAACGCGUUACGAGCCAACUUUAGCUGUAAUGCGUGUCUUGUCCUUUAUAAUUAUGUGUUUAAUUAUGGUUUUAAUUAACAACGAGCUAAGUUUAGAGUAAUAAUCGUGCCUCUUCGGUGUAAACCCACCUCAUCAUGUGUCAGGUCGACGCGGCAACACAUUACUUUUUAGCUGUUUGCAUUUAAUAUACAUCAAUAUGAUAGAUUCAAGAAUAAGGCUUUUUUAGUUUGUUUAUUAAAAUUAUUUAUUCUGGAUAUAAAUCAAAAUAUAUUACUUUGUUUAUGAAUGUUUUCUUAAAAAAUCAUAUUUAAUGCAAAUUAUCUUUACAAAAUAGUGAGACGGUAAAAUUAAUGCUUGUGCGCUUCAAAUGAUGCCAAAUAGUUUAUAUAUAAAAGUCGAGCCAAAUCAAACGUAGGUUUGAUUCUGAUAUAAGCUUAUUAUGGCGGCAAAAAAUAGACUUUUUAGUAUAGACACAUUCUUUAAAUCGUCAAAUCUAAAUUGAAUCAAAAAUGUAGUGCAUGCCGAGAUAAGAAAAGCUUGUGUUUUUGCUGCAGCUUGAAGUCGUCGAGCGCGAACCCGGAGGCCGCGGGGCUGCCGCUGAUCAACAACACCAUGGUCUUUGUGAGUGGUGCUGCUGUGCCGGGCCGUGCCGAUCGCCGUAGUGGGCUCCACCUCUCCCUCCUCCUCGUCGUCUCUGUACAUAUGCUGACGUGGCACUUUUUCCUAUUCUCACGCCCCUUUUAGUUAGAUCCACACGUGCUCCUCCCCACGUGCGCGCGGGUUGCUAUUCUCACGCCGCUCUCCACGCCAUUCGUAGUGCGGAACCCCUCAAUUACAAGCAAUUUUGAACUAGGCCCUUCACUUUUUUUUUUUUUUUUUUUUUUACUUUUAUUAGUUGUAUUUUCUUAGCUUCUAAUUUUUUUGACUUUAAACAAUUGUCAUUAAAUCUAGUGACUUUGUUUCAAUAUUAUUUGCAAUAAAAUUUCUAAAUUUAGUUGCACCGAAAUAAAUUAUUUAUGGAUUUAAUAGGCUAAAAUUGUUUCAUUUCGAAAAAAAAUCAAGUAAAAAAAAAAGGAGUAAUGGGCCGAUUUCAAAAUAUCCUCACUAGUUGAGGAGGUAAUAGUUUUUUAUUUUUAAACUGAGAAUAUAACUUUUAUAUUAUUUUAUAUUUAUUUUUUUUUUUUUGGAAUGAGUAAAUGAUGUGGUGUGGGGCGGCAUGGAUUUGCACGGUGUAGGCACGCCGCUAUAUCCAGGCCUUUUCCGCGCGAUUGUUAAAUGAGAUACGUCGACGUCGAGCCACGUGGACUUUGGAAGUUGUGACGUAGGAUCUCUUGAUUUGAUCGAUCAGUUGAUGUGAUUAUAAUAGUACUAAAUUGUUCGUACAAAAUAUUUUAAAAAAUAGAUAAAGUCGUCCUAAAUUUUCAAUUUUGAAAAUUAAUUAUUUUUAAACUAUAUCAAAUAAUUUAAUGUCUUUUUUUUACGGGUAAAUUUUAAAUAUCACACCUGUAAUUUUGUACAUUCUUAUUUUAGUACCUUAUGAUUUAAAGUGUAUGAAGUUAGUGUCAUGUUGUUUUAUUUUUCUCUUUUCGUCAGCUUUUUCGUUAAUAUUUUCUUAAAUUAUAUAUAAAAAAACUUCAGAUAUUCCACAUAGAUUUAUCGAAUACUCUUUAGUUUUAAUUUUGUCAGUGAUUUAACGAAAAAAAUUAGUGAAAUCGAUACUAAAAAGAUAAAAAUGAAACCGUAAGGCACUAAAUUGAUACACUUUAAACCACAUACUACUAAAGUGAGAAAGUGUGAAACUAUAAGGCACUACAACAAAAACGGUCUAUAGCGACACUUUUAAAUGUAGGUACAUGUCAAAAAAGUGCUGCUAGCUAAAAUUACCGACACUUUUAAAAAAUGUUGCUAUAUGUGGGGUCGCUAGGUAUAUAGUGACAGUUAAAGAGUGUCGCUAUAACCUAAAAGAGUGCUGCUAAUUUACGAACACUUAUUUAAGCAUUUAGCAACCGCCGAAACUUUAUCUCGUUGGCUGCGGUGGCGGAGGAGGACGACAGGAAAGACUCUUCGUCUAGAAUUUCAGUGGAUUGAGUGAAGAGAGAAGAAAAGAUGGCAAUUGAUUUUUCAUUUUUUUUUCUUUUCUGUUUGUAAUCGGGCCAAAUGGACUGGGUGUGGUGGGGUGAGUAGAGUAAUCUUUUAUUUUUGGUUGGAUUGAGCUUUAUAUUUAGGCAUUAGCAGAUAUUUUUUUAAGUUUUAGCAUAAAUGGGACACUUACUCAAAAGUGUCCCAAAUAUGUGUCCCUAUAACCUAAUUCUGUUGUAGUGAGGGUGGUGUUUGAAAUUUUUCCAGUUUUUAUUAAUUAUAUAAUUAUUUUGAUCACAUAUGGUGCGCGUAAUUUUGCAAAGCUUCAAAUUAUAAAAUUUUGUUUUUUUCCUCUUAUUUUGAUAAUUACGCAUAAAAUUUGAAGAAUAAGUUAGAUUUUUAUUAUUUUUAUUUGUAUUUUAGAAUAUAAUUUUUUUUUUUUACAACAUAAUUUUAGCCAUGACAAACUAUUUGAUAUAAUUUUAAAAAAAAAUUAAUUGUCAAAUUGAAAGUUCAAGCUCUUUUUGCAAAAACGCCCUGAACUUUAGGGAGUUUAUACUUCUUUAUUUAAAUUUUGUUCUUGAGAUGUCUAUAUCAGUUGGAAUUUGGGCCUAUGAAAUGGUAUUUUUGUCGCGAUAAAUGCAAGUUUACGUAUAUUUUUUAAAAUUUUAUGCGUAGAAUUUUUAUGUACACAGUAUAAUUGAUAUAUCCCACCGAUUAAAAAGGCUACACAAUAUAUAACGAGAUCGAGCAGAGUAAAAUAUUUUAUACAAAACUUGCAUUUAUCGCGACAAAAAUACCAUUUCAUAGGCCCAAAUUCCAACUGAUAUAGACAUCUCAAGAACAAAAUUUAAAUAAAGAAGUAUAAACUCCCUAAAGUUCAGGGCGUUUUUGCAAAAAGAGCUUGAACUUUCAAUUUGACAAUUAAUUUUUUUUUAAAAUUAUAUCAAAUAGUUUGUCAUGGCUAAAAUUAUGUUGUAAAAAAAAAAAAUUAUAUUCUAAAAUACAAAUAAAAAUAAUAAAAAUCUAACUUAUUCUUCAAAUUUUAUGCGUAAUUAUCAAAAUAAGAGGAAAAAAACAAAAUUUUAUAAUUUGAAGCUUUGCAAAAUUACGCGCACCAUAUGUGAUCAAAAUAAUUAUAUAAUUAAUAAAAACUGGAAAAAUUUCAAACACCACCCUCACUACAACAGAAUUAGGUUAUAGGGACACAUAUUUGGGACACUUUUGAGUAAGUGUCCCAUUUAUGCUAAAACUUAAAAAAAUAUCUGCUAAUGCCUAAAUAUAAAGCUCAAUCCAACCAAAAAUAAAAGAUUACUCUACUCACCCCACCACACCCAGUCCAUUUGGCCCGAUUACAAACAGAAAAGAAAAAAAAAUGAAAAAUCAAUUGCCAUCUUUUCUUCUCUCUUCACUCAAUCCACUGAAAUUCUAGACGAAGAGUCUUUCCUGUCGUCCUCCUCCGCCACCGCAGCCAACGAGAUAAAGUUUCGGCGGUUGCUAAAUGCUUAAAUAAGUGUUCGUAAAUUAGCAGCACUCUUUUAGGUUAUAGCGACACUCUUUAACUGUCACUAUAUACCUAGCGACCCCACAUAUAGCAACACUUUUUAAAAGUGUCGGUAAUUUUAGCUAGCAGCACUUUUUUGACAUGUACCUACAUUUAAAAGUGUCGCUAUAGACCGUUUUUGUUGUAGUGACAGCCGAUCUUUUCAAAUUUUUUCACUUUGGCUCCUAAUUUUACUUUUUAUUAUCAUUAGGUACCUAACAAGGAUAAAUAUAAAAAGGCGAAAACACGAAUAAUAACACGAAGGCCCAAACAUUGGCAGUAUCUGAUCAAUCUCAACACCGAGGAUUGAAAUUCCAAACAUUAUAAAAGGAUUGACAGUUUGUUAAACAGAUACCGACUAUAUCAUCUGAAGUUCGAAACACAGUCGCUUUAUAUUUCUAGUUGAGCUCAUUACCGCUUUUUGCAGAACUAACUUUUUGGCCUUAAGAUUUUCGGGGGGCGCCCAAGUGUUGCAUGCUCAAGCCAACCUCUUCAAGUCUUUAGCACUGACACCUCUCCAAACUUAAAAUCUAAGCCAGCCUCUUCAAGUCCUUAGCAUGGACAUAUCUCCAAAUCUAACAGCGAAAGACCAAUUUGAACAUUUUAACCAAGCAUGAUUCCUCGUGAGCCUUACUGGUCAGCGCCACACUUUACAUUGAAUCUCUCGUCGGACUCCACAAGUUCCCAAUAAACAACCCCACUAUUGAGGUUGGCUACUAAGCUGAAUACAUUAUCUCAUCAAAUAAACUCUUCUUGAAAGUGUUACACAACUGAAUGCCUCGUUGCCCUCCGAGCUAGCCAUAAGGACACACAAGUUUUCCCCAACUUAGCCCUAUUCGAGUAUAGCCUAGUAUCUCGCCCCUACCCGUCUCGCUUUCACUGUUAAAUAUAAAAAUAUUUAAACACUGUUCCCUACCAGCUUAAGUUUUUAGGGUAUAACGAUUGUUUCGUAUUAUUUCACAUGGUGUCAGAGUAGAAAGUGUUGAGUUCGAAUCACGUCAGACUCCUAGUAUUACUAAUUUUCUCCUAUUUAAUUCAAAUUCACGUCACGGGCCUAGCGAAAAGUCUCGAGUCCAAAUAUGAGGAAAAAAUAUUAAAUAUAAAAAUAUCUAAACAUCUUUCUCUAACAUGUUAAGCUUUUAGAGUACAACGGUUGUUUCAUAUUAUUUUCACGCUCACGACUUGGUCCGCAUACUAAAAAUGCCCAAGCUCUGCAGCAUCGCAUGCUACGAACAACUUAAAAGAUAAAACCGAAUGAUAGUGAUUUCGCAAAGCGCAUAAUUUUUCUACAUAUGUACGUACUAAACAUCAGGAAAAUCUAACACCAAAACAAGAAUGGCUACUUAAUUAAGUAACACGGCAAGGAUCAAAUGGAUUGGGACACACCUCUUUUUGAACAAAAGUAGCAUGCAUGCAUGUUCCAUAUAUAUCUACAAUGAAAAGAAAAAGCAGCAAUUAAUUAAUUAACUGUCUCAGCAGAUAAUGAAAAUAAUUCUCAAGGAUGGCCAUUAGACCACAUAUAUGUAAAGUUUUAAUUUAAUCUCCACUAAAGGAUCGAGACACAUGGUUCAGAGAAUAUGAAAUUAAUAAACACGUAAUACUAGCAAUGUCACCCUUCAUAUCUACGUGUAGUCUACGUUGCACUUUUGGUCCUCAAAUUUGUGGUGCUAUUUUGGUCUUUAAAUUUAAUUUCUAGUAAAUUUUAGCUUAAGUUUUCUAAAUUGUUACAAUUAAAUUUUACAGUCUUAUUUAGUUGAUUAAAUAAUAAUGCUUUGCCGGCAUGAUAGUUAUGUAAUAUUUUAAUAAUUAACAAUAGCUAUAUUUAACCCAAUUGUAUUAUGAGAUUGACUUAUAAUAAUUUUAAAAAUUCAAGCUGGAGUUAGUAAAUUAAAGUCCGAGCACUAAAAUAUUAUAGGUCUAAAAAAUCGAGGGCAAAAUUAAAGCGCAUUUUAGCCUAUCUUGUUAGUAGCUUUCUCAUUUCUCUGGAGAGGUUUGUGGAUUAUUGCUUCAGCGAAAAGUGCUAUUUGUGAGAGUUUCCACAAAAAGCACUUAAUUUAGCUAGUGGUCUAAUUAAGAGCUUGUUUCUUUCUCCUCUUUGGCAAGCAAAGAUCAUGCAAAUUAAGGUCGCACGUUAAGCCUAUCAUGCUGCUUCUCCAUGCAUGCAUGGUUGGUAAAAGUGCUUAUGAGAUAAGCGGUAUAAGGGAGAAGCAGAAGCUGAUCCAUUAAUUGCUCUAUAUAUACAUGAUAUAUAUAUUUUGCUUUUCUUGGGUGGACUCUGCAUGGGCUUUUUCCAAUUCAGUGGUAGAAGAGUGGGGAGUGACAAAACGGCUUUUGCAAAAGAAGGUCAUGAGAUAAAAAGAUGGAGAAAGAGAGAGAGAGAAAAGAAGCCACAGCAGCAGCAGCUUAAUCCAACUUAUCCAAAACCUACGUGGGCGCUUUACACCGCAUCCUUAUGUUGCAUAGAUUGCUUCGUUGAUCCAUUUUGCUUUCCUAGGAAGAAUCACUUAUUAAUAAACUCAAGCUAUAUAUAUAUAUAUAUAUAUAUAGAGAGAGAGAGAGAGAGAGAGAGAGAGAGAGAGUUGAGGUAGAAUACUAUCGAUAGCAAACCGGCACUUUUGCCACCCAUUUAUUUUCGAUGAUUGAACCUCCAAAUCAACGAUCGGCACCGUUGAACAUGAUCUAUACUACUCGAAGUGUUUAGAAAUCAAAUUUUAAAUCUUUUCGACAUCAUUUGCCUAAUGAUCAAAGGGUUUCAAAAUUUAUAAUUGUAAUGGUCGAUAUGAGGCGUUUUCUCGUUUAACGGCGUAAAGAUAUCCAAAAUCAAUUGCAUUUUUGUUAGAAAAUUCUUUAAACUAUUUAAAACAAGAUCUAUACUCUUAAUCUUGAUUACAAGACUCCUAUCAUCAUUUUUUUAAGAAUAUUCAUUUUCAGCCGUUCAUUUUUGUGUCCACUCGAUGGAUAAGAGAGCAAUAUCGAAAAUGUAUGAAAUUUAAUUUCUAAAUACUUCAAAUGGUAUAGAUCAUAUUCAACGGUACCGAUCAUCAAUUUGAAGGCUCCAUCAUCGGAAACAAAUGGGUGGCAAAAGUGCCGAUUUGCUAUCGAUAGUAUUCUAGCUCAACUAUAUAUAUAUAUAUAUAUAUAUAUAUAUAUAUAUAUAUAUAUAUAUAUAUAUAUAUAUAUAUAUAUAUAUAAAGAGAGAGAAAGAGUUAUGUUAUUAUGUUUUAGAAAGUACCGAGAUAUCAAAUUUGACGAUUAGUUCUGUUAGACAUGAUUCAUAGUGUUAAAGUAAGUUAUUUAGAAAUCAGAUUUCAUAACUUUUUGACUUCGUUUGUGAACAAGUAGUUUCAAAAUGAGCGACAAAAAAUAAGAAUUUUAUAAAAAAUACUGAUAAAUAAUUUAAAUUUCAAAUUGAAAGUAGUGAUCUUGCUCUCAUAAAUUUCGUAAUUUAUCAAUAUAAUUUACCUUAAUAAUCGAUUGACUUUUUGGCCACAUACACUCUUACUUAAGUGUGAGGAGAUGACGUCGCACAUUGCUUUGAAAAUAUUACUUCUAUGCAUACUCGUACUCUCACACACACACACACACACACAAAACAUAUAUAUAUAUAUAUAUAUAUAUAUAUAGUCCGGCUACUAUACUUUUAUGAGUAUUGGCUCCCUUAUACUUAUAAAUUUUCGACCCUUAGAUUUAUUUUAUGAUCAUUUCCAUCCGUUAGAUCAUACAAUUCAACCAACUACCCACUCAAUACUAGGGGACCACUAUCAUUCUAAGUGGGGACCAUCAUCAUCCUAACCACACAUCCAAUCAAUCAACGGUUAAAAAUUUAUGAGUACAAAGGGUUCUAUACUCAUAAGAGUAUAGUAGCCCUAGGCUAUAUAUAUAUAUAUAUAUAUAUAUAUAACACAAGGCACAGAUACAUUAAUAUUAAACAAGUUUUUAAAGGCUAUCUAAGGUAAAUAUCAACAAUACAAGAGCAUCUUCGUAACUUUACUACGUUGGUAGGAGUAUGCAUGCAAAAUCAAUCUCUAUUAUUAUUAAUUAUUUUUCCAGCGAUGAACGCAACGCUAUUUUACUCGUAUACUAAAUUGUGAAUAUCAAGGUAAUUUGAGGUAUUAAUUUGUGUACAUAAAUGAAUGAGAAAUGCUACAAUAAGCUACUUUAUUUUCUUUUUAAUAAAUAUAUAUACAAUUGUGCAUGAAAAUUAAUUCAUUCUAUAUUAUAAUUUCAAUAUUAUUAAAAGAAAAAAGUAAUGGUGCGCAAAAAAAUGAACACAUGCUGCUGUCUCUAGUGGGCCAAGAGCAACAGGUGAUAUCCUGCUGCAGAUCAUAGAAUCUGAUAUGUAGGAUAUGCAAAAAAAGCAUUGAGAAUCUUGCCCCCUGUUCGGCGGAUUUGGGAUAAUUAACUUAGAAAAAAAAAGAAAAUCUAGCAAAUUAUUAAGAAACUGUAUGCUUUUUUUGGGAUCACAGGGUUAUCAAAGUUCUCCAUGGAUCCAAAUUUUAAGAUUGAAUUUGUUGACAAAUUUAAGAAGCCCCUAGCAAGCUUGAAUUAGGUUCUUCGCAUUCUUUCUUUUUUCCCCCCUACCAUUGACGGGCUUAGGGCUAUCAAUCAUGCUUGUUGUUCACGAGUCAGCUCGUGUUCGAAUUAAAAAUGACUUGUACUCAGCUCGUUCAUUUAACAUGUAAGCCAAUCAUGAGCUAAUUCUAACCUGCUCUUGUUUGGCUCGAUAUAACAUAUGAAUUGUAUUUUUGGAUUGAUAUACAACAAAUUUAAAUGCUGUUUUAAAGUUUUUUUUGGGUUAAUUAAUUAGCUUUACUUUUUAAUUUAAUACUAAUUAAUAAUAUUAACAAGCAUCAAUGGUAUUAAUAAUAAUGCUAAUUAUAGUUAGUAUUAAUAUGUUAUUAAAGUUUAUUUUAAGCUAAUUAGAAAUAAUUUUGAGUCGGCUCGAAUUAAUCUUAAGCACGAAAACGAGCUAGAUUAUCCCAACUUAUUGAAAUUUCGAGCUGACUCGAAUUAUAUUUUUCGAGCCGAUCUCGAACCGUUCAAGCUCGUUCGUGUUCGGCUCGCUGACAGACCUACUGAUACACCUAUAACUGCUGCCAAUGCACUGUAAAAUUCUUUAACUAACUUUAAUAUUUUAAUAUGAGACUUACAAAGGAGGGUUUCAUAUAGCUGGUCUCCUCUACCACACUUUACCUCCCUACACAAGUCAAAAAUAUGAUGGUGUUAGUUAUAAGGUGCAUUUGGUAGUGGAGAAUAAUGGGAAUGAUACAUAUCGUUUAAAGUUGCACCAAAAGUUAUUCUUUUCCAAAAUUGACCAAUGUGAGAUUCCUUAAGAAACGACACGUGGAAAACUACGCGUGACACUUGGCCCUUUCAGGGGCCGUUUAGUUAAAUGUAAAUAUAAAUGCAGUAUAGAUUAAAAUACAUUCAGUUAAAAAUACAGUAGUUAUAAUUACAUAUAUUUACUGUGCUUGGUUAUGUACGGUUAGCAAACGUAUUUAUACUAUUUUUUGUGUUUUAUAUAUGAGAUAUAUAGUGAGAUUAUCUCUUAUGUGGAAAAAAAAAAUUAUUUUUUUAUUUGAAAGAUUAUUAGGAAGGUAAGCGUAUCUUUAUUUAAUGUUACUUUCUCCAACCACUGCAGUUAGUCAAUUUGGGCAUGGUUUCAAUUACUACAAUUGAGCAUCCUCGUGUAGUUUCAACUGCAGCAAUUGAAUUCAAAUGUACAAAAUCAAACUACGAAUUUGAAUUUAUAUGCAGAUGCAAUUACAGUAUAGUUACAAUUACGUUCAACCAAACAGCGCCAAAUCAUUUUGGUAGUGCAGUUCUAUUUUCUUUCCAAAUUGUUUCAUGCAUGCUAAAGCAUACAUGCUGCACAGCCGACCAAAUAAUGUCAUUUUGCAGUGACCCGUCACCAAAGAAGCCACCAACUUUGAAAGCUCUGACUGACUGUCCCUAGAGCAAGUGGCAAAGGACUUGGUGGUUGGUACCCGAGACCCAAGUUCGAAUUUUAGUUGAUUCACAUUUCCAGCUAAGUUUAUUUCUAAAUAAAAUAAACGAAGCGGGUAGCAUGCUACCUUUCUCUCAAAUAAAAAACUUUGAAAGCUCUGGUUCCAAUUGUGUUCAACGGUCAAAUACUGAAUUCAAGGCGGGGCUCCAAAACUUGUAUAGAAAAGAGCCGCGCACAUUGAAUGCAACUUCGUGCACAAAAAAAUUCUAUAAAUGAGAAAAUAUUAUAAUUUAUUAGUGUUCGAAUGUAUCCCGUAUGAUCGGAUGAUCUAUGUACAAAAUUUUUCUAUGCACAAAAUUGUAGAGAUAUAAGAUCAUCUUUGUCUUUGCUUUUAUUUUCCUCUGUAGUUAUAACUGUUUAAAGAACUGAGAUCGAAUCCGUAAAAGAUUAAUAAAUGCACCUUAGAAUUGAACCUGCUACUAUAUUAUUUAAAAAAUUAAUUAAAAAAUAAUUUAAAAACAUUAUUUUAUAUAAUUUUAUUCAACAAAACUAUAUAUAUAUAUAUUCCAUCCCAAUAAAAAAGACAAAUAAAACAUGGUAAUUUAAUAAGAGCGGCAUACUAUUUGUAUACCUAUAGCUAAAGUAUAAUUCUUACAUCUUAAUCAUCUGAGGACUAAUAAUUUACUCUCUUGUCUUUCCAGGUUAUAUUUUAAUACAAAAUUUUCUUUUAAAAAAAGUUAAACUCUUGGAUGUAUAAAUAUAAAUUUCUUUGUCAUAUCAGCUAUUUUUUUUAGGUAAAAAAUAUAUAGAACUUAUAUAUUGGAGCAUUUAGAUCUAGCUACUCAAUAUGUCAAAAUUUGGAGUUUACUAUCGAUUCUUUCGAUUUGUUUGAUUUGAGUCAGUCAAGUAUUUUGACCUCAAAAUUUGAAUACAUUGUUAAUCUUUACAGUUUUAAUUAGUAUAUCUCAUACAAUUUUCACAACUAUAAGUUCAUUAACAUAAAUAAUUAGCUUAAAUUUUAAAAUCAAAGUAUUGUUGACUAAAUCAAAUCCAACCAAUUGAAAGGUUGGUCGCUAAAAUCAAACAUUUGAUUUGGCUACUCAACCUUUCAAAAUUUUGAUUUGAAUCGGUCGAUGCGUCGAUAGUUCGACUUCAAAUUUUAAACUAAUUUCUUAGAUGAAAAUAUAGUUAUGAGAAUAUAUUGCAUGAAGUGUACUAUCUGAACCUAUAAAGAUAAAGAUAAACAACGUGUUCAAAAUUUUUAAGUCAUUGAUUGAUUCAAAUCAAGCAAAUUGAAAAGUUAAAUAGUAAAAUCAAAAUUUUAAAAAAUUGAAUACGUAGCUAACUCCGAGUAGUCUAUAAUUCAGAUAAGUUCUGUUCCUUUGUAUUUUUUUGCCCGCGUUGAGAAUGCAAUUCAACAGCUGCAUGCAAACUUCUUGCCCAAGUUUGGUUAAAGAAACAAAGUUCGUCUCCUUUGUGGAAGAACUUCAUCUCCUUCGUGAAUCAAAAAGGAAAAGAGAAAAGGCAAAGUGAGAGAGAGAUACGAAGUUUAAUUUUGAGCCAUGCUCUAGUGUGAGAAAAUAAUGUGUAAAAUUAUUCAAACCGUCUAAUUUAUUGCAUAUAUACAAUUACUCUUCCUAGGUGUUUUUUAUGAUAUAGCUGUUCCGUUAACGUGUGAUAAUUUUAUGCUAUUUUUUAAAAAUCAAGAGGUGAUUUUUUUUUUUUUUUUCUGUUUUGAAAACCUAUACAGGAUGGAUUAAUUGUCACAUAAGAUGAUUUAAAAUACAUGGGCUGUGACACUUUUUUUUUAGAAGGGUGAUCUUAAAUUAUACACGCUGAAUUUACAUAUAUGCAUUUAAUAUAAAAUGAAAAUAGAGGCUAAUGUGGAAAAAGAGACGGGCUUUUUUAUAAAAUGAUCCUCCAGAAAUUUGAAUUUGGCAAAAUAACCCUACCAAAAUUUUAUUUGUAAAACUAAUCCUACUUUCGCAACGUGGGCGUCACGUCAGGAAUUCCUCAAAAAUACGAUGAAUCGUUCACCGCCUUUAUAAUAUUUAUUGUGAAGACAAUGAAUGGUUUACCGCCAAUCCUUACUCUAAUAUUAAUAGAUAAAAUAAAGUUAAAAAAUAUAUAUAUAUAUAAAAAAUUAUAUUUCUUUGUUUUUUUAUGAGAUCGUAGAAAAUAUAUAUAUUAUAACUGUCUCGUUACGAUAAAAAAAUCUUAAUAUUAUGUAUACAAAUAAAUAGCAUAUUAUUAAUACUCAAUGUAAUCUCCGCAUAAUUUCAAACGAGAUCUUAAUAAAAUAUUUGCCAUUAUACAGGGCACUUCAAGAUUUAGACAAAAUAAAUAAAUAAUAUCCAAAAAAUGAGGCAUGUGAUAAAAGCUUAACUCAGUCAUGUAGAUCAAAAGGAGAGAGAGAAUGUGGACCCAAACCAUGCAUGGACCCAAAAAAGAGAGAGACCUAGAGAGAGAGAGAGGAAGACCAAUAUUGACCCAAAAAGAAGAGAGAGAGAGAGAGGGGGGGUUAGAGAGAGAGAGAGAGAGAGAGAGAGCACUCCUCUAUAAAAGGUCCAAAGAUGAGAAGCAUUGAAUUAAGUCAAUCCCCUUCUAACUUAUGGGUUGUGGUGACAAUUACCUUCUCCUCCAUUUCUCCUCCCUUAUCAUAUGUUAUCACCUUCACCACUAUUCCUCUUAUAAUUCCCUCGCCUCCUCCUCUUCUCUCACUUCUCAAACCCCUUCUCACCACCAACCUAAACACAUACUAUGUUAUAACCAGUUCUAACUUAGCACAUCUUAAGCAGUAGUAGUAGUAGUAGUAGUAGUAAACAAUUUAUCUCCUCUUCAACUGAUCCGAGUUUCAUGGAUUAUUCUUGUUAUUCUUUCUCGCUUCUCCUCCUCUUCUUAUUUGGAUCAGGUACAAUUAAUUAUACACUUUACUUAUCAUUUGAGUUGGAUUUUAAUUGCGAUAUGUAUUUACGUACGUGCGUGUUGUUGCAGGGUCCGUGAGUUGCACCACGUUCACGUUCGUGAACCGGUGCGGCGACACGGUGUGGCCGGGCAUGCUAUCAAACUCUGGGAGGUCGCCGCUCGAGACCACCGGGUUCGCCCUCCCCGCCGGCGGGUCCCGCUCGCUUCUCGCCCCGACCGGCUGGUCCGGCCGCUUCUGGGGGCGGACCGGGUGCUCCUUCGACCCGGCCGGGCGCGGCUCGUGCUCGACGGGGGACUGCGGCUCCGGCCAGGUCGAGUGCAACGGCGCGGGCGCCGACCCUCCGGUGACGCUCAUCGAAUUCACGCUUGCAGGUACCGAAUAUAAAAUAUCCAAAUGCCAUUCUCUGAUAGUUUAAGUCUAGAAUGUCAAAGGAAUAUAAGAUUUGUAUUAAGACAUGUUGGGGAGAAUUUUUAUCUUUUUAGAUAAUAUGGUAUCAAGAGGUUCUGAAUUUGAUUUCGUUAUUUUUAUGAUGUGACAUAAUUUAGUGAAGUGACUAGCUAUUAAUGUGUGGAAAAUGAAAAUGUUAUUGGUAAUUUAAGUUUUUAGAGUAAACGAUUAUUCGCUGGUCAGAAGGCUCCGACGGAAAAGACUUCUACGACGUGAGCCUGGUGGACGGCUACAACCUGCCGGUGGUGGUGGAGGCGACCACCACCGCCAUCAAUACAGCCUCCACCACCGCCGACACUGACACCGUCGGGUGUGCGGCGACGGGGUGCGCAGCCGACCUGAACCAGCGGUGCCCGGCUGAGCUGAAGGUGGGGGACGGGGAGGCGUGCCGGAGCGCGUGCGAGGCGUUCGGGACGCCCGAGUACUGCUGCAGCGGCGAGUUCGGCAGCCCGGACACCUGCCGGCCGUCAGUGUACUCGCAGAUGUUCAAGUCGGCGUGCCCGCGGUCGUACAGCUACGCCUACGACGACGCCACCUCUACCUUCACCUGCGCUACAGCCGCCGCCGCCGACUACGUCAUCACCUUCUGCCCUGACUCCACAGUCAGGUGAGAAAUAAAAACAAUCCCAUGACUCAUAUUUCUUCACUAGUCUUAUCAUUUUUUUAUUUUUUUUCCGCUAGUCUUCUGAGGGGUCUUCUUUUUUUUUAAAAAAAAAAAAAAAUUUUACUCUGAAGGGAUUUGAUGGAAAGGUUCUAAAUUUGGAUCAUUUUGUACUUAAGCUAAUUUGUUUUUGUUUGGUUUUAAUAUCUUAUAAUUUUUUUUUUUUUUUACUUUUGGUCAGUAUAAGUUUGACAAAUAAAAGAUUAAUAAUUAAUGAUGUAUAAGACAUACAUGACUCAUUUCAGGAACAAAAAAGAAAAAAAAAUGUUUGUGAACUUCUUAACUAUAUUUCAAUAAUUUAUUGGUAAAUGUUAUAAAAAAAAAAUCCCAUACUUUUAUGAGUUUUGUGAGUUAUAUUGUUCCCACCAAUAGGUGAAUAUGAGAUCUACUACUACUCUUGGCAAAAUCAAUGCUCAUCCAUUAGCUAUUACUUUCCUUUUUUUUUAGAUGCAUGCUAGUUGUACAUGUCAUGAUGCAUGUUUCACUUAAUUAAUAAAUAAGAGAAGUUUAAAAUAAAUAAAUAAAUAAAGAAAGAAAAGAAAGCCUGAAUAAUUGGAAAAGAUGGUGCAUGUAUGAUUUGGCCUAGCUCUUUUUUAUUUUUUGUUUUUUUAUUUGCUAUCAUGGAAUCUGCUUCUUCUGCCUCUACUUUCAAAUUGAGUAGUAGCAAAACAAGGGGAGGAUAAGAAGAACAAAAGAAGCUUUAUUCUCUCCCCCUUUAUUUCUUUUGCUUUGUUCUUUUCCCACCAUUUAUGAUGGUGCAUUGGUGCAUGGUUCUUGAAGCUAGUGGAUAUUGGUGGUUGGGAUAAAAAGUAUCUAUCUAAAGUUGGGAAAAAAAAAAAAAAAAGAAAAGAAGCUAAAAUGUGAUUUUUCUCUUCUUUUUUUUUUUCUUAAUUUUGUGAUCUAGUAACUUAGUUGAAAGUGGAGAGGGGCAAAAUAAUUUUCGACCGUAAACUUAUUUGCGUUGUCAGAUUCGCUGUAAAUUAAUUAAGUUCGGUCCUAACUCAACCUUUUCAAAAUGUUGCAAUCGGCUUUACUUUGAUUAACAGCAGAGUCAGUUAUUGGGAGCAAAGAAAAAGGAAAAUAAAAAAAAAAAUUAAUUGUUGUAACUUUUUAUAACUCUCUUGUGUGUUACUGUGAAAAUUUUGGGCGAACCAUCUAUAGGAAGUGGGAACACAUGUUUCAAAAGCCAUUGACUUGUAAACUAAUUUUCACGUAAACUUUAGUUCAUCUGAAAGUGAAUUUCAGUUACAAAAGCAGUUAUGAACUAAAUAUAGGCCCCUAAUUAAUGAUCUAACCUUCUAAAAUGGCAUUUAUAGUUUGAUAAAUGAGAAUCAAAUAUCAAAUGACUACUUUUAAAAGUCUCCACAAAAGCUGAUGUGCUUGUAAUCACAUGUGAUGUGUGCUAAUUAGUUCAUACGUAUCCUCUAAGAUACUCCUAAUACAUUAGCGGUAUCGGAGAAACCAUAUAAGAGUAUCUGAGCAGUUCUCUUAUUAAUUUAGCAGAUUAAUUUUUUAACUAAAUAGUAUAAUUAACCAUAAAUUUUUCCCUGAAUAUUGGCAGCCAAAAAUCAACAAAAAGUAGUUCACCAUCAAAACCAUCAGAAGCAGUGUUUGAUGAUGAUUCAUGGAUCGCAAGUUUGGCCACAGGGGGAGUAAGCGCAGCUACGAGGAGAAGAACAUUCUCAAUAGUGGAAGCUUCAUUAACCAUUGCAGCUAUUAUUUGUUUCCUACUCCAUUAAUUUACUUCUUAAUUUUCUUGGGGGGAAAGUUUGUUUGUAGUUUGCAUUAGAUAACUCUGUUUAAUAUAUAAAUAUAGUAACUUAGUGCACAAAGGUGCUAUAUUUGUGGUAAAAGUUUAUGGACUUCAAUCAUUUCAGCGCAAAAUUUGAAGGUUUAAUCUCAGUCGUUCAUCCUUAUUUUAGAAAACAAAAAAAAAAAUUAAAAUGAAAUGAUCGUAUGAAUGAUGAAGAUUAGUAACUUAUGGUCUCUGGAUCGAAUCGUGCCACAAGCUAGAAUUGGUUUCGCAAAAGUCAAUGUAAAUAAAGUGUUAACGGCUGACAUUAAGUCUUCAAUCUUUAUUUUGUUAAUGCGCAUUUUUAUAUUGAGCUGGACUUAGCGCCUUCAAGUACCGCUCCCUUUGGGGUUACGAACAGAUUGCAUUACUCGUGCCCGUAAAUAAUUAUACGUCCUCAUAUCGUACUAAUUCGGUAUUUAAUACGUAGUUCCGUUGAAAAACCAAAAAAGCAUAUUUCUGUACGCUCCUUCCUCAAUACCAAAUUGGCCCCACUUGUGCACAAGGAUUGGGGAAUCCCUGCAGUCUCUUUAUUUUCAGAGUUUGAUGCUUUCACAAAACAAUCUGACAGAUGCUUUUGUUCACAUUUGCUCCGCAGAGCGCUUCCAAAUGAAGCAUCUGAAUGAUGCACCCAGAGAUACAAAGAGGAAAGGGAGCAUAUAUUCCUGAAGCCUGUAUCGAAGCGCAAUUUGAUUCAGUCUUUCACUUCAACAUAUUAGUCUCUGUCCUCGCAAAUCAGAAUUCAUGUGGAUCUUAACUUUCAGUGCAUUUUUCUACCGAAAUCGCUAACUUUUGACAGGAGUCGAGCAAUUUAAACCAAACAAAUCAGAUUAAGAUUGCCAAAAUUUCAAUACACCACAGCAAACAACCCAGCAAAAGAUAAGAGAAAUUCAACAUACAACCAGUUUAGUUCUGAGAACAACAUCUUCAUUGAUAAAGCAUGCCUAAAAACAAUUUCUCUUCGAUCUGAUGACGAAUCUCAACAACCAAAGAUUAGACAAUUAAAUAAAGAAAAGUGAAUCAAUUAUAUAUAAUGUUUUCCCCAAAAACUUUAUGUGAAUAACUUGAUUUGUAUACACCAAAAGAUUAUUCGGCAAAAUACGUCAAGGGAAUCUCCUAUUUGCUUCGCGUACAAACAUUCUCCGGCAUCUCUGCCCAGGCCUCUUUAGACCAAACGGGCGGCUAAUUAAUUGCUAGAUAUAUUUAGAUCAAAUCUUUGGGGAAUCUCUUGCUGUGUCAAAAGUUGAGAGUGCACUAAUUAAGUUGAUACAAAAGUCAUAAAGCUACUAAUAAAACAAAUAAGAAGAGUAUCAUAUUGGUAGAUAAUGUACCAAUGGAGACCCAAUAUGAAGCACUCUUUAGAUGGAGAAAGAUAAGAUGAGAUUCCGAGAAGUUCACAACUCAUGAUUAAGCAUCUAAUAAUUGUCUAAGAUGACAAGAGGUUCCGAGAGCCGGUACUAAAUUCACAACUCAUGAUUAAGCAUCUAAUAAUUGUUUAAGAUGACCUUAGGGUAUUAAAGAUUAAGAGCUAACAAAACUUAAAAGCUCAUUCUAGAACGUAAUAAACAAAUCAAGAGACAAAGUUAAUCUUAUACUGUCGCACCGCUCUGACGAUAAAAGCCAGAAAUCUCACAAAAAAUUGGAAAAUAAAAAAAAAAAGUCAGGAAAAAUUAACAAUGUGCUGCUGCUUCCUUUCACAAGUUUCAAUUGGUCUCCCUGUGAUUCGACUUGGUAAUAGUGUCGUGGAAUUCAUUGUUAGUGCUCCAAAAUAUUAACCUACUGCAGCAAGAUGUAAUCAGCAAUCACUAUCCUUAAUACAUUCAUGCUCAGUUUUCAAUAUUUUAUCAAAAAAGAAAAAUACGUUCCUCUCCUGCUAAUCUACCGAAAUAAGCUUAGAAAGGAACCUAAUUCAUGGUUCUUUAUAACAUGAUUCCGGUCAAUAUCUUAAUACAAAUGCUUUCUUUCCCAGUAAUAUAUGUUCUCACUAUAGCGCAUUAAAGCAACAAAUGGAUAACAGACCGGAAUCAAUGGUCGGACAAAGAUAGUAGUUCAUAAACAACAUGCAGGCAUGAAGUGAUAUGUUACUGAGAUGAACACAAACAAAGUACGCAUGCUCUACGAUGGUCAGCAGUGGAAUCAACAUGCAAAAUAAGCUCAGAAGUGAUAUGUUAUUGAGAAGAACACAAACAAAGAACGAUCGGCUGCUUUUAAGAGCUUGAAAUGAAAAGCUUGUUUUGAUAAGCAACAACCAGAGUUGUUCGUCCAAUUACAUGCUGUUCGAAGAGUGCUGUGCAGUCUCCUUGAAUAACCAAGAGAGUUUAGCUACUCACUCAUUCAAAACUAGAGAAAACUAAGAAAAACAAUAUUUGGUUUCUUAGGUGUUUGGUUCCUCAGUAAUGUCACUCAAAUUUCCGGAGAUAAGAUGUUAAUGUGUUUGGUUCGACAACCUCUUGAUGAUAAUCGUGGCAAUACUACAGAAAAUUUCCCAAUAAUAAGCAUGACUAUUCAUAUCCUCGCACUGAAGCUAGAAUUCAAUAACAAACACACUAUUUACCCUCAUGACUAAAAAAUUUCAAAUAUUUUACCCAAAAUCAAACAAUUACAAAUGAAAAUUGACUUGAUACAAAAGUUCAAGGAAGUGAAUCUAGAGAUCUGAAAUAUUACAUAUAACAGAUUUCAACAGCAUGAAAAUCACAUAUAAUAGAAUGAACGUUACACCUUGCCAACAAGUGAAACAAUCAAAAUUACCAUCGAAAACAAACAAGCCAAACAAAUGGAAAAAAAAAAACACAUUAAAGUUUAAAAUAAUCAAUAAUAAACUUCAUUUCAAUAUAGAAAAAUCACACAACACAACAAGUCCAUGCAAUCGGUAACGCCAUCAAGAAACAAUAAGCCAAAACAAUAUCAUGCAGUGGUAGCAAGUUGAAACUAAGCACAAUGAUAUCCAAAAUUAGCAAGUCCAAGUAAAAAUAUUUACCUACAUCCACCUAUAACCUGAAGAACAAGUAGCCGAAAAGAUCAAAGAGCUUAAACAGUACCGUUAAUCAUUAUUCUAGCAAAUACUUUCACCUACGCGCACGCAGGAUUCGACUAACAUAUAACUUCCUAAGCUCCACGGGCACUAAGUAGAACACAUUCAUUUUGCUUGUGUCGCUCGAUAGGAUUACAACAGCAUCCAUGAGAUCCUCACGCGAAAGUCCAUCAAUCUUCGAAAGCUCAUCGAACAGCCUCUGCCCUCUACUCGCUUCAUCUGCCAUGUAUUGGAAACAGCUAGCUAACUUGGAGAUGCUUUCGGUAAACUUUGCAAAACUCCCUACAAUUGAGCGCAAAGUUGAGAUCAUGGUCCUGUCGACAUCAACAGAUUUCCGCUUCGUUCCUCUACGUGUACCAGACCCUCUACCUUGAGAUCGCGGGUUUGAGCAGGCUGCCGUGUUAGGCUUCGUCCCCGAGCAUGCAGAACUCUGCUCUGCACUCGCGCCAUCACUUUCAUCCGCGCCAAGGACAUCCUCCAUCUCAACCUGCAGACCGGAAGCACGCGCAGCCAAUUCUUCUUGCGCUGUGGCUACCACAGCAUUUGCCAAGGGUUCUACUGCAGCUUCAGUUGCAUGGUCCUUGCCGAAAACUACAGAUAACUCCACGUAGGGGAAGGAUUUCCCUCUUAAUCCCGCAGCACUAGGAUGACUCUGCAUAUGUUCGUGUAAUCAAACAACUUAGAGUUAACAUUUAUGUAGUUACAAUAAUAUAGUAGAGAAAUGUAAUACUAGCAUACCACGACCCAAUCGUCAUAAACGCUCCUCUCGCAUGUAAUCGUCUUAUCCUUGCCGUCCCAACCAAAGCCAUUCACGGCUGCUCCAAGCAUUUCUGCUAUAGCGUUAUACUGCCUUUUCCAAAGUUUUAUUCGCGAGGUAAUGUGGGGUCGCGCUGUAAGCCCGCAACCCGGCAAUUUCUCGCUCAUCAAUUUCUCCAACUGUUGCAAGAACCCACAUCGAAAGUUGCCGUUAUCGGCCCUCCAGUGACCUGAAUUUGUGAGACCCAAUAAGCACUCGAUAAGCUUAUCGUCUUCCUCCUUAGUCCACUGAUGUUUGAUGCCUCUAUUCCUUGGCUUUCCUUGCGGAUUUCUUCGAGCCGCCAUCCUAUCAAUGAAAAUGGCAUAAAGUAGACAUCCGAAAAAAAAUUCUGAGACAUGAACUGAAUUCUAAUUCUUUAAAACCAAAUAUUCGGCGACAUAAUCCCCGCAAUUGGAAACAACUGAUCAACGCACAGCGGUUGAUCUCAAAAUCGAACGGGUAUUCCUGCAACAUCAAACGUCAAGUAGCCACCGCGUAUUCGGAGAAUGUAUGACGGCGAUCUUACCGACUUAUGCAACAUUGAUCGAAUUACCAAACAAACAUGUUAACAUGUAAAACAACAACAACCUGUAGUUCACAUGUUUAAGCAGCUGACGAAGGAGUGGGACCUGCUUAAUCCAGCAAGGCGAACCUCGGUUUAAGCAGAUCACAUGUUUUUUUUUUCUUUUUUCUUUUUUUUUUCUUUUUUUUUUUUUUAUCUCGCCCCCCGGCCCCCCAAGGCCUUUACUGCCUCACCUCUGUAGCCUAGUUCAUAUUCCCAAUGAAUGAAGCGGGUAGCGUGCUACCUCUUUCUCAAAAAAAAAACAACAACCUGUAGCAGGAUUCGAACCGACGAGUUCUCGUGCGAGCACGCCAGUAAUGACUGCAAAAAUUACGGGCUAGGUUUAUAGCAAAACCCAACAUAUUCUAAAUUAGAACAAUGCAUAAUCUACAUAGUUAUGGACAUAACAAAAGGAGAAUUACUAUGCAUCUAUAUAUUAGGAUUUGAAGCACCAUCACAAACAUAUAUGCAUCUUUUAGUUCGCAACUUGGAUCGAACAUAGAUCUUGCAUCAAACGGAUACCUGCGACAGGAGAAAGCGCUUUCGCCUACCGAGCUCGCUCUCGGGUUCGCCUUUGUACUGUGCCCUAGCUCCCGCCCAAAUACGAAAUAGAAUUAAUGAAUUACGCAAAAAUGUGCGGAUGGUCCCUGUACUAUUCCGGAAUUGUUAUUUCGUUCCUGAACUUUCGCAACGGGCCGUGUGGCUUAGUGUGAUAUAUAUUCGUGAGGGAAUGGGUAUCGGCCCAAUAUCGGCCCAUUAUUAGCCCAAAAUUGCUUUCCUUUGUUACUCAUUUUUUGCUUCUAUAUUUUAAAUAUUGCUCCUAUAUAUUAUUUUGAGCCUCUUCGGUAUAGCGUAGCGUGUCUCUCUAAAUUCGCCGUAACUUUUCUUUCAUUUUUAGGAGUGGGCUCCAUCCCAAAACAGCGCAAGUCCACAUACUUUUUUUUUAUUUCGCUCGAACCGAAUCGAAUUUUUCUUUCUUUGCUUAAAUCGAACCAAUCAUUUAAAUGCGGGCUCCCCCGACCCAGCUCAAGUCCUCCAUAUAUAUAUAUAUAUAUUUUUGCUUGAACCAAAUUGGGUUUUCCUCUUUUUUUUUCCUUGAAAAGAAUCAAGUCACACCUCUGCAUUGCAUUGGACCAAACUGUUCUUCUUCCAUUCCCUAUUUUUUUCUCUUAUUAUCUAACCGUCGAAUCACAUGGAUUACUAUAGUAGUAUAUCAUAUAAGCUGUAGAAUGAGAAGGUUGUUGCAUAUUAGAGUAAGGCUCUAUUUGGGAUUAUAAAAAAUUACGUUACGGAUAGUUAGAAAGUGCGAUAAAAAAUAAUAUUUAUUUUUGUAGCGUAAUAUUACUUUCUGCAUAACAAAUGAAUUGAUUAAUAUAUACUUUCUGUAAUCCCAUUGAAGAAAGAAGUAUGUUCUUAUAUAUUUUUAUUCUAAUUCUGUUUUUCCUACUAAGCACACUAAUACAUACCUAUAUAUUUAAGUUUCGAGCAUGUUAAAUUAUACAAAACAGACGGUGUUCUUCAAAAUAUUAAACUAUCAGAAAAUAAUAUUAUUAAUAUUUAUAUUUAACAGAGUAGUACUAUAGAAUUAUCAUUGAUCUGUGACUCAGUAAAUAUCAUUGAUGAGUUAAUAGUUUCACAUAAUUUUGACUGAUUAGUGCUUUACCUUUAAACUUAUGAUCUUAUUAAGGUGCCACAAGAAAAUGCUCAAUCAUCAGCAACAGUUCGAAAUUUUCAAGCAUAAAAUUAUUCCAUAUAUGGCUAUUGAUAGCUUCAGCAAUUGUUUUAUAUAAAACACAUGGCAUCAGUAGCAUCGUACAAGAUAUUCUACAAAGAGAUAAAAGAGCUUUUUUCUAAAUAGUUAUUUUUAUUUUAUGUAGAAAAAGCAUAAUUCACAAAAAUAUUUUCAUAUUCCUUGCUCAAAUUAUGCAUACCCACUGUCACAUCAUGGCAAAAUAAAAUUAGUUUGCUUUAUACAUUUUGUGUGAAUAUGCUAAAAUGGAUGUGGUAACAUCAAUUACAAGAACUCAAACUUGUACAUAUCUUCUAUGCGACCCCACCUUGCUGAUCCACCCAUCCGAGGAAGAGAUUGAAAAAAAAAGAAAAAGAAAAAAAAAAGUGUAAACUUAUUUUGGCUCUCAUAACCAAACUUAUUUCACAAUCCAAUCCCACUUCACCUCUAAACUAAUUUAUUACUAGCAUUCGAAAAGGUUGAAAAAUUAAGGGGCAAUUGUUUGUAUACUCUUGAAAAGUUUUCAACUUUCUAAUUUAAUUUUCUUAGAAGGUUAAUAUUGAAAAAAAAAAAUUUACGUUCAAACCUAUUUCAAAUAUGCCUCUAGAGUUAAAUUUUAUUAAUAAAUUAUUAAUAAUAGCUGUUAUCUAUAUAAAAUUACUAUUUUGUCCAUUCAAAUAUACCCUUUUAUCAUCACUGACUUUUCUUAUUUGCCAUUUAGUUAGGGGCAUAAAAGGUAUUUUGAUUUUUGCUCUUUUCAAAUAUAUCCUUCUACUAUUACUAAUAUUUCUUAUUUGCUCUUAAGUUAAGGGCAAAAGAGGUAUUUUAAUUUUUUAACUCUAAUAGAUAUUUAACUCACGUUUAACUCAAAUUAACUUAACGAGUAGCAACUGCUGAUGUUUUUUAUUUGCAUUCACGCCUUUUGGAAAGAGCCGCUAACUUCGAUCCAAGCAGUUUAUGUACCUGCGGAUAACGGAGGGUAUAUAUGAGAAGUAUAUUGGAAAGGAAAAAAAAAAAAAAGAAAGAUAUUUUCAAAAUUUUGAGAGAUAUACAGGUAAUUAUUCUAAAAUUAAAAAAAUGUAGAUAUGCACGUGAGGGAUUAGAAUCUUGACCUAUAUAAAAACCUCUCGAAAUAAGAAUUAGUGUACUAGGAAAUGGUUAUGAACCAAACAUUGCUUUGAUGUAGACCCAUUCAUCAAAUGUUUCUAAUUUUAUAAGUUAGGUAAUUGGACAACUCAAUCCAAAAAUAGAAGUGUGAGAAAAGCACAUCAGUAACUUAAAUUCCUUUUGUUAUGUGGUCCCAUCAAUUAUUCAUUUGUUGGGUUCUUUAUAGUUGCAUGGUAGUAGUGAUUCCUUGCACUAUAACUUGGGAAAUUCCUUCCCCCAUCACUUCCCUCUUCUGGAGAAUAUGAUUAUUCUUAAGAAAACACCAAAUACAUAUAAAAUAGCACUUUUGGUACACCAAAUAACUAAUUCUAUUUAAGCCCCUAUAUUUUAAGUAAAUUAUUUUGAGCUCUUGGUUUCUCAAGAUCUCAUUAUAAAUGUGGCAAAAAUUAAGGGGUAGUAUGUAAACUGUUUAAUUUUUAUUUAAUUAAAUUAAGCCUCUAUAUUUAAUUUUUUUUUAUUUGAGCAUAUGAUUUCUCGACCUAACACUCAAGACGCGGAAUGCUUCAACACAAACAUUCUAUAUUGUGCAUGGGAUGAAAGUGACGACAUUGAAUAUGAUGAGAUUAAGCCUAACACAAUGAAUAAGUAUAAAAAACAAAAGACUUGAGAAAAAGCAAAUUAUCCUAAAAAUUAAAAAUGUGAUAAUAAAAAUAAAUUCAGAAUUUAAAAUCUUAAAAAAAUCAGAUAAGAGUUAGCAACUAACUGUAUAAUUAUCCGUUUUUUGAAAAUGUGACGUGGAAGAAUGUUAGCUAUUUUGACAUUUUUGUCCCUAUCCAUCUCGUACCUUACGUGGAACAGAAACACCACCUUUUCCCUCUCCCUCAACUCCUCGAUUCCUCUCUCUCUCUCUCUGUUUUAUAUCGCUAAUCCGUGGACUCGAAGCGAAGGCACAUCGUGAGAAGCACGAGAAAUAAAAAGAGAGGGGGGAGAAGAGAGAGAGGAGAUGGACUUGUACCAGGAGUUUCUCCUCACCGCGCUCGUCUCGCUCCUCCUCGCCUUCCUCCUCGGCAAGCUCGCCGGCGCCGGCGAACCCGAGAAGGUCCCCGCCGUCGCCGCCGACGGAGGGCUCGACCGGGUCGAGGAGAGCUCUCCUUCCCUCGACGAGGCAGGCGACGAAGCUACCGAACUCAGAUUGGGGGGAACCCUUGCGAAGGCGAUGGAUUCGGUGGUGGAGAUCGAGAGGAUCGGCGCGGAUCCCGCCGCGGAUGAGAUCAAAGAGGUGGUGGCGGAGGAGGAGGAGGAGGAGGAGGAGGUUCGGGAGGAGAAGGGGCGGUCUCUGCUCCACGGGGAGGACGAGUGGGAGGGGAUCGAGAGGAGCGAGCUCGAGUUGCUCUUCGAUUUCGCCGUCAAGUAUGCGAGUAGCGAGAGCGGUGCGGAGGCGGUGGCGAAGCUCGGCAAUGGCGCUCGGAUGCGGUUGUACGGGCUUUGCAAGGUCGCGACGGAGGGGCCGUGCUACGAGCCGCAGCCCAUGGCGUUGAAGGUCGCCUCCCGUGCCAAAUGGUUGUGCUUCUCCCUAUCCUUUAACAAAUUCCUCAUUAUGUUUACAAGGUUCAUUGUUUUGCUCUGAUUUGAUUUGAAUCUUCUGUUCAUGCUUGAUUCAUUUUUGUCUCUGAGCUUGUUUGGUGUUUAAUUGAGGUUUUGAUUUAAAAUUUUAAGCAUUGUUUGCCAUUUGGAUCAUCUCCAAUAGAAACAGCUGAACACAAAAAUCAGAAAGCGUUUCUGAAGAAUGAACAGUUAUUAGAGAUGUACAUGAUGAGGCAUCUAGAAAAGGAAAGCACAAAAAAUAAUAUAGUGAAUUUCAAUUUGACCCGUACGUGUAGGGAUGUCGAUGGAUAUAGAUACCCGAAAUUUUAUCCAAACCCGAACCCGAACGGGGUGGAUUUACCCGAUGCUAAAUGGAUAUAGUUUUGGAUAUGGAUAUAAAAAACAAAAAUCCGACGGAUUUAGAUUCGGCUAUGGAUUUUGAUUGUAUCCGACCCGAACCCGAACUCGAAGUUAUUUUACAUUAUUUAUAAUAUAUAUGUUUGAUAUUGUACUUAAAUUUGUAUUUUGAAAUUUUGAUUUAAUGUAAUAUAUUUUGAAAUAUUGUAAAGAGAAAUAAUUGUUUCUGAGUUCCGAUUUUCAUGUUUGGACUCGGGGUCGGAUUUUAGAUUUUUGGUCGAGUUCGAGUUUGGAUAUGGAUUUUUUUAAUUCGUCGGAUUCGGGUUCGGUUUCAGGUUUCGGGUUUGGUAGUUGGGUUCGGGUUCGGGUUUUUGAAAUCCGCCCCGAAUCCGACCCGUUGACAUCCCUACCUUGUGAUUUAGCGCAUUUUACUUGUCAUACUUGGUUUGAAAAUUUGCACUAGCUACUUUGUAAUUUUUUUUUUAUUUCACCAAAAAACCCUUGCCAUCAAAUUGGAUAGUAAAUUGAAAUUUCUUGAAAUCCACCGGUAUCAUUUUUUCCAAUAGAUCCUUACAGUGAAAUAAAAAUAAAACAAAAAAAUAGUUAAAUGUAACUUUUGAACCAUCAGGGUAUCAAAAUGAAACCGUGCUAGAUCAUAGAAUAGUUAAGUAUAACUUUUUGAAUUACAGAAUGAUAAAGUAAAAAUAUGUCAAAACCAUAGUGGGAUAAAUCAAAGUUCACCCAAAAAGAAAAAAGAGUAUUAGGGGACAUCUAGGAUGGAUAAUGUCAAUAAGAUGAAUCUAGGAAAAACAAAAAAAUGUAGCUAUAGUUUGACGAUAAUCGUUCAUGAUGCUUUGUAACUCAUAUUUCUUGCUGCUUUCGAUAUGAGACUUCCCUAUUUUUGCUUUCCCGGCAUGAGCGAAGACUAUCCGUGAUCCAUGUUCUAUCAAGUGCUAAAGGCUUCACGCAUCUACUACAAGGUGCCAUGCUGUGUAAAUUUGAAAAAAAAUGCAAAACAGGACGGAGCAAUGAUUCUGUGUAGAUCUAUACUGUUAUCAGAUAAGCAGAGUAUGUACUGUUGUUGACGACUUAACCGAAGGCUCUCUUUGGUCUCUAGGAAUGCUUGGCAGAGACUGGGUAACAUGAAUCCAGAGACGGCUAUGGAGCAAUAUGUCACUCUUCUUUCUGAAAGCAUUCCUGGAUGGACGGGUGAAAAAAUCAGAGUAGGUUUAUUCAAAUUCUUGUUCAUAGCUUUGAGAUGGAAAAAUGUUUAACUUUCUAGCAACACUUGUUAGGAGGAUGCCACAAACUCUGAUGGCAAUGAUUCUUUGUUUACGGUGGUCUCUGCAACAGAGACACCUGUUACAAGUUCAACUAUCCACCACCAUCCAGAGCCUGCUGUUGAAAGGUAACUAACAACGGAACAAAUGUUUAAACGAACUUAAUGGCCAGUUGACUAGCGAAAUGCCUUACAGAUUACUAGAAGAUUCUUCUUCCAUUGGAAUUGAUAAUGCAGGCAUUGGUCAGAAAUUUUCCGACCAAGGUAUGGUGACUUCUUUUUUUUUUUUUUUUAUCUGUUUUGGUUUUAUAUACCAUAUUUCAUAUUUCAUAUUUCAUAUUGCAUGUAUGUAUUUCCUAUUGUAUGUACCUGAUAUGAUGUUUUAGUACAUUUCAUUUGCAAAUGCCAGAUUAGGUUAAACACAUUGCGUUAUCUGGGAGUUAUUCUCUACAUUGUGACAACACUUAUGGUGUAUAACAAAUUUUUAUAACAAAUUCUUAUUUACCCCUAUGCAUUAAAAAUUGCGCUAAUUAUCUCCCUACAUUUUGCCUUUGUAGAUUUGGGAUAAAUGGUGACUUAUGUUGAAAAACUUCACUAAAGAGAGUUUGUUUAUCAUAUUAUUCUACAUCUCAAAAAAUUAUAAAAUAUUAAAUAAAAUAGAUAUUUUAUUUUGCUAAUAUUAUCAAAAUCAAUAGUUUAUCUAAUAAUUUUAUUAAAUUUAUAUGAUUCUACUGCAUUAAUUAAAGCUAUGUCUGUUUCGACAAAGUUUUACAGUUGAAUUCAAUAAUUAUCUUAAUUUUUUUGAAUCUAUUUAAAGGAAUGGUAAAGUGCAGACCGGCACCGGCACGACCACCGGCCAGCACGACCACAGUACGGAUGCUAUAGUACCCGUGCCGGUUAGGCCCGAUCCGGCCCGUUACACUUGGCUGUGCUGGACCGCUGCUCUUGGGCCCGUCGGCCCAGCAUGGCCCCGCCGGAAACAGGCCUAGGUUGUGCUGUGCUGGGCCAAGGGAGCGUCCUGCGGCCCAGCACGACAUGGCCCACUUGGGUCUUGCCAACUGGGCCGUCAGGGGCCUGGGCCCUAAGGCUUGCAUUGGGCCUCGGGGUGUAAUCUCCUUGUGAGAAGGGCUUGGCUCCAAGCCCUUUUCCCAAGGAGCUCUCUUUGAGUAGUUUUGGUCCAAUGGACCAAACCUCUUUUGGUCCAUCGGACCAAAACCCUCCCAAUUCACCUUCUUUAAAAAACAAAAAUAAAAAUUUAUAAUUUUUUUUAAAAAUUAAAUAUUUGUUAUUUUAUAAUUAUUUUUAUAAAUUGUAAAUUCUUUUGAUCAAAAUAUCAAUUUAAAUAUGAAUAAUUUAAAUUUUCAUAUUUCUAAAUUUUAUAUAUUUUUAAAAAAAUAAAAAAUUAAAGUGGCCGGGGUGGGCCAGGCUAGCCGCUAGCCCAUUUUGGCCUCGAGUAAUUGACAUAAUUUUUAAUACAGGGAGGUGAUUGAGACAAAGGGCUAAAGUGCAACGGGUUUGUUUAAAAUUUAUUCAAGUGUUAACCACUUCAAGUCUUUAGAAUAUUCUUUGUUUCCAACUUAUAUCUUCCAGAGGGCUGGUUUUGUGCAUGCCAACAUGUGUGUGCGCAUUUUCCUUCUUGCUCUUUUUUCUUUUUUUAAAUUCUCAGCUUCAAAGUCAUUACAUGUCAGACAUAUUAUUAUUCAGCAUAGAAUUUCUUCACCUGAAUGUUGUCUGGAGUUAUAGAUGAUACAUUAUAUACAUUUGCAUAGGGCUGUACUUGGUUCAAUUUGGUUUAGUUUACGGGAAAUGUUUAAACCUAACCAAAAUUUUCAGUGUGGAGAAAUGCAGAACCUAAUCAAAUCCUAAAUGCUACUUCGUCUGGCGCAGGAGGAAUUGCAUAAUUAAUUGAAAGCAUGUUUUCUUUUCGAGUAAACAAUUAACCGAAAAUAUCACAUGCUCGCCUAUGCUUCUAUGUUAUUGAGAAAAAACUGAAACAAAAUUUUGAUUUGGAAAUCUGCUUCAAAUACUGUGCUAUGCAACCAUUGAUUUUACACCCCUGAUGUUUGAUGUGUGUCUCAUGACUUCCAUAUACGUCAAUUGUAACCACUUCUUUACGUAAGCAGAUGGUCUUUUUCUUCCUUUGCUUUUAACUGUACAAAAUUUCAUACUUCAUCUCAUUUUUUCCUUCUUUUAACUCAAAUAUGCUAUGCAUCAUCCACUUCCUUUUGUUUCUUUUGCUUUAUGGGCCUACAUUUUGUUGCAGGACACUCAAAAAUUUCCUGUUUAACCUGCACUCUCCGACAAGAGCUACAUUCUUAACUUUUCGUCCGUAAGAUGGACUUGUCCUGCUUCUGAGGAUUCGGAUAAACUGUGCUGCAGCUUUCCUUAGAAGAAGCACUUCCUAAUUAUAUCAUUGCAAUGCUUGUUCGGCAUGUAAAUUAUAUAGCAUUUUAGAUGCAUGUACAUAAAAUGUUCCCCCGUGCGUAUUGCAUUCUUCAUUUUACUGUGUCCAGCUUCUCUCAUUAGAGAAAUUAUCUCAGAUGAUUUCUACGAGUUCUGUGAAAUAAAAAAGAAGAAAUGCUUCUUAACUUACAAUGCAAGUGAUUUUUCCUGCUUCAAUGCUAUUUCUCUCUGCAAUGUAAGAAGCUUGGCCUUGUGCAUUAUUAUUUAUUCCAUCAAUAGUGUCUUAUCAAGUAACACGAAAAAAUCCUUCAAGAAUCAACACAUGCAGGUGAAGAAAGUAUAUGUAGUUACAGAAGCCGUAAACCAAGAUUAGCUCUUAACCGUCUGAUCUCCCGCCGCCGCCGCCGCCGCCGCCGCCGCCGACCUCUUUGAAUUCUUGUUCAUGUGGAUUCUCAGAUACACCUUCUUUGUCCGGACCGUCAAGAGCACGUCCAAUCCGAACCCGACGAGGCACGCGAACGCCAUGACGAAGAACACCAGGCGGUAGCAGUGGGCGCCGACGCAUGUGUUGCCGCCGCCGGCCGUCUUGGUGGCCUCUGCGUCAUAGAGGAGGCCCGCGAGGAGGCCGGAGAAGAGGAAGGAGCCGAGGGGGAGGUUGAGGAUGAGGAUGUUGUAGAUGAGGCCGUAGUACUUGAGGCCGAAGAGCUCGGAUGCAGCUGGGACCGUGAUGGCGAGGCGGAAGCCGUAGCAUACUCCGACGAUGACCGAGCCGAUGUAUAGAGAGCCCGGCAGGGCCAGGGCCAUCACGACGUACCCGACGGCCAUCAGGAUCUGCGAGGCUGCGUUCCAUAACGGCCGCGGAAUUGCGUUCUUCCUGAGAAGAGGUGGAAAAGGUGAGAGAGGUUAGGAGGAAAAAAUUCUUGACCAACUACAAUGCAAUCAAGAGAUAAGCUGCAGUUUUUCUUAAAACCUUCUCAAAAGACAAAAAAAAAAAAAAAAAAGGAAUCAUAAAAUUGAAACUAGUAUUCUCAAUAUUUGUAGAAAUAAGGAAUACGCACUUGAGGAAGUACUCGGAGAGGGUUCCCGAGCCGAUGCGGCCGAAGAAGCCCCAGAUGCUUAUCAAAGAUAUGAAGACGGAGACGUCGGCGUAGCCCAUCGCCGCGCCGAUCUGGCCCAUAUUGUUCAUCACCGUCAGCCCCGUCCCGACGCCGCAUAGGAACGAGAUGAACAGCACCCAGAAAUCCGUCGUACUCAGCGCCUCCGCUAUCGUGUGCUCAUCGCCAAUCCUUGGCCCCCUCCUCUUCCCCUCUGCCUCUGCCUCUGCCGCCGCCGCCGCCGCCGCCGCUGCCGCCGCCACCGCCAAUACUACCGCCUCGUCUCCCGCUACAGCCACCACCUCCUCCUUCUCCUUCUCCACCUCCUCCUCCUCCUCCUCUGCAUGCAGGAGUGGCUCCGAACGUUCUUCCAAAUCCAACUUACUCUGCUGAAUAUAAAAUAUUAAUUCAAGUACACGUCUUAGAUUUUAUUAAACAGUGUCAGAAUAUGAAAUAGUUAAGUAACGGCAUAACUCCUCAGCAUUAUGAAACAAGAGAUUUUCAAAUUAUGCCCUUUCAUGCUUUUAUUAGAUAUUAGAAUCUUUUAAAAAGUUAUUUUGAAAUAUAAACAUUGAGAAAAGAUGUUAAAUAUAACCGUUAGCUUAAGUUUUUAGAGAAAUUGGUACGCACAUUCCGUGCAAUUCUCGCCUUAACCGCCACGUAGACGGGCACCGCCGCCGGCGCCGCCAGGAGCAGGAAAAGCACGGCCACGAAUGCGGAGAUGGCGGCAACACCGGCCCCUCUCACCACCCCAGGGGCGAGGUCGAAGGCGAGGAGGUACACCGCGAUCACCACCGCGAUGGUGUUGAUCGCUGCGAAGCACCGCCCUUCCUCCUCCUCCUCCUCAUCGCGACCGCUGUCGCCAUCGGCGGGGGGAAAAUCGCGUAGGAAGAGCAUGGCAGCGGCGCAGAUGGCGGCAGGGGCAAUGGCGAGGAGCAAGAGGAAGGCGGCGGGGUUGUCGGGAAAGAGGGCAGCGGAGAUGUCGGUGAAGAUGGCAGUGCUGAGCCCGACGUAGCCCUUGAGGAUGCCCGACACCGGGCCGCGGUUGCGCCGGAAGUUGCGUAUGCACGUGACCAGCACCGCCGUGUUCAUCCACGUCGAGCUGUUCCCCCCCAUGCACAAGAACACGCACAUCUGCAUAGAGUUCGGAUAAAAAUUACUUUCUUUUCGCUAUAACUUUUUGUAUAAUUGUGAGGCUGAAGUUCCUAAGAUUUUACUCUUAUUCGGUAAAAAAAUAAACAACGUAAAAUUGAAAGCGUAAAAGAUGAGUUAAUAUUUAGCAUGUUCGAGGAAAUGCCUCAAAGAAAGAAACAGAGAAUGGAGACAAGUGAAGCGAAGCAUCUUCUCAGGUGUAGCUAGAUUGCACUUUUUCUGUUAUCUAAUUUAUGAUUAGCAUUUUCUCCUUUCUAUGAUUGCUAUUUUGUUCUUGCUGCAUGCAAUGAUGAGUUUUUCAUAGCAAGUAGUAAAAUAAUAUAUUUUAUAAACUGCAUAAUACUAAAAUAAUAAUAAGUUCAACUCAAAUUAAACAGUAAUAAUAUAAAGGGAAAUUGUCGUAAUUUUUUAAAAAAAUUAAACCGUUAUACCAUAAAAUUCAAAUUUAAAAUACCAUCGAGCAAUAUAGCACAAGAGUAUGUAAUUCAACGAGAGGCUAUGCUUAAUUUGAAAAUAAAUCGGAGACAAUAAAAUUUAUUCGUGCUAUUCUGCACGGUCUUUAAAAAUGGUCCCGACAAUUUUUUCAGUCAAAUCGGAUUAUUCUAAAUAAUCCUUCAAUAAUCAAAAAUAAUUAUUUUUAUUUUUUUUAGUGGAGUAACUAUUCUCAUGCUUAUAUCUGGCUAAUUUAAAAUACAAAUAAAUAAUAAUAAUUUUUAAGUUUAUAAUAAUAAUAAUGAUAAUAAUAACUGUUGUUAUUAUUAGUAGCAAUUGUACCACAACUAUUAUUAUUAUAAAUAAAAUAGGAUGUAUUAUAACCUAUAAUAAUAUGUUAAAAUAAUUAUUUUGUAUUAUUUAUAGGUAGGAGCAAUGUCAAAAGGACCCCUCAAAAGUUAUAAAAUAUUGUGGGUACCACAUCAAAAUUGUGAAUAUCACUAUCACUUUUGCCCCUGUAAAGUAAUAAAUUAUAUUAGAAAUACAUUUCAUCACAUCGACUAAAAAUUUUGGACUAAUUUACCCUUAGCUACACCUAAUUAUAAAUAAUUGUUUAGCAUCAUGUAGGGCUAUAUAAUAAAUUUAUUUUUUAACAGAAAAUAACUUGGUUUUCUUUUAUGAUUCAAUUUAUGAACAUGUUUUUUGCACACUUAAACUAAUUUAUUUUUUUAUCAACAUCAUAUAGGUCUUAUGUUAAUCAUAAUAAACAAUUAACUAUAACUAAAAAUAUUUCUACUUUUUAGUGAAUCUAAUUUCUUCUUUUGUAUAAAUUAAUAUGAUUUUUUAAUUCACUAUUUGUAUAGUAUAAUUUGCUGCAAUUAAUUACUUUUAAUAUGGUAUACAUUCAAUUGUACUUACAAUAUUUUCAAACAAAAUAAUAUUUAACUUAAUUAAAAAGGUAUUUACAAUAGAUGAUGGGCAAAAUAAAAUUUUAUUUAGUUUUUUAUGAAUUAUUGUUGAUCUAGAUAUUUACGAUAGUUUUUCUCAAUUAGAAGGGUAUUUUCUAUAUUGACACUUUUAUAAGGGAAUCUAUAUAAUUCAAGAUUGGAAGAAGAGUAUAUAUAAAAUUUGCUCUAUUUAUAUAUAUUUUGUUUAUUAUUUUAUAAUAUCUUUGAGAAAACUACCAAAUAAAUUUUUAAUUAUUCUUAAAUAAAAUAAAUCUUUAAUCAAAAAUAAUUUUAAAACUUAUUUUUCUAUAUUUCAGAAUAGUGAUAAUAUCUAAUAUGUCCUUUAAAAUUUUCAAAAAUAUCUUAUUUAUUUUCGGAGGACCAAAAUACCGGUAUUGAUUUUAAAAAAUUCUUUUCAAAUAUCUCUAUUUCUUUUAGAAUUUAAUGAUAAAAUUGAAUUCUACAAAGAUAUUUUGAUAAUUUCAGUUUAAAUUUAAAAAUUUUGAAUAGUUAUAAAAAGUAAGUAAGCAUAAGUGCUUUAAGAAUAACUAGUUAUUCCAAAAAAUUAAAAAAAGAAAAUAUUUUUAUGAAUAUUAACCCCCAACGAAACAUAAGUCAAAAAUUUUACAUCUUUAUGUAGGGGUAGUAUAUCUAAUAUAUCCUACAAAACUUUAAAAUACCUUAUUUAUUCUUAAAAGACCAAAAUAUCCUCCAUGAUUUUANUUUUUUUGAGAAAGAGAUAGGUAACACGCUACCUGCUUCGCUUAUUUCAUUUAAAAAUAAACUUAGCUGGAAAUAUGAAUCAACUAGAAUUCGAACUUGAGAGUUUGCGUACCAACCACAAAACCUUUUGCCACUUGCUCUAAGGAUGGUCGAUUUUUUUUUUUUUUUUUAGUUUGGAAAAAUAUUUUGAUAAUUUCAGAAUAAAUUUAAAAAUUUUGAAUAGUAGUGAGGGAUAAAUAAGCAAAAGCUAGCUCUCCUACCUGCCAGUAGGGGAGCGGCGCGAUGGCUCGGCGGACGACGAGCCACUGGGCGCCGUAACCGAUGAGGCCUUCGAGGGAUCCGAUGAGGAGUAUGGCGGGCAUGGGCAGGCGGUCGGAGGCGAGCCCCGCGAGCAGGCCGAACGCCUUGCCGACGUCCUUCGCCACCGACAGGUUGUUCAGCUGCAGCUGCGUCAGCCCCAUCAGCGACUUGAGCGCGUCCGAGUAGUUCGAGAACGUGUAGUUGUUCCCCGACACGCACUGCACCCACACCGCCGUCACGAACCCCAGCCACUUCCACCACGUCCCCCGCGACAACGACGACGUCACCGUCGCGGACGCGGUCGCCGCAUUCUUCGCCAUUUUCGACGUUGAUAACUUUGCUUAGAAGACGAAGAGGAAAGAGUUGUGGGGUGGGAACGAAAAGUGAGAGAGAUAGGAGAGAGGUAUUUAUAGACACUCUCACGAAACAAAUAUCUUUGAUGAUCACCAAGGGAAUCUAUCUAUAUUCUAAUAAUUAUACUGCAUCGUUAAUAACCAGACAAUUAUAUAUUUUUUUUUUAAUAAAUAAAAAUAAAAAUAUUUUUUAAUAGUCAUAGCGUGAUGGGUGUUGAACUCAAUAAAAUAAUCUUAUUAGUUGGAAACGCUACAUCAAUAAUAUAACUGUUGCAUUCUAAACUUUUUUCAUUGUAUAUGAAUAAAAUUAUACAAAACUUAUCUGAAUUUCGGACUAUUUUAAAUCGGCCUGGUAAAUUUUUUAAAUUUUAAUUUAGCUACUCAAAUUUUUAAUUCAUUUAAUUUUAACGAGUCAACGGCUUUCUAAUUUUUAAAGUUAAGCUAAUUAUGUACCUUACGAAUUAAGUAUACUAAUGAAAUUUGUAAAGAGAAAUACAAUAUUUAAAUUUUGAAGUCAAUAAAAAAAAAUUGAAGGAUUUGAUAGUAAAAUAAAAAUUAUAAAACGUUGGGCAACCAAAUUAAAGUAAUCCAUGAAUGAUUUGACUCCAAAUCCAUUAUUUGCGCCCCUAAAACUAUAUACUUGAUUAAAAAAUAGGUAAGAAUUGUGAGAAAGUCCCCUAAAUAAUAGAUUAUUUUUGAAUAUUUCUCUAAAUUUAUUACUUAUUCAUAAAUAUUUGUUUUAGUCAAAUUAUUCAACAAAAUUACUGCUUUUCAGCAAAAAAAAAAAAAAAUGUAAAACUCAUAAUAUAGUUAAUGAUCAAUAAUAAAUUUAAAAUCAAUUAUAUGCCCAACUAAGUAAUGUAAUUUAAAUUUAAGAAAAAUAAAAAUAUUUUAAAAAUAUUAAUAAAAAUAUCUCUAUUUUUUUACCUAAAUUUAGAUAAUUUUUGUAGAAUUCUGAAACAGUUAAAAAGACAUGAAUUAAGGAAGAAAGGAACAAAAAUUUGCGUGAAUACAGGAUCGGAAAAAGACCUUUUUUUUCUUUUCUUUUUCUUUUUUUUCCGCUACUGUAAAAAUCGUGCUCAGAGAGAAAAGGAUAGAGAGGGAUUAAAUAAAAAAUAUUACAAAAAGUAAGGAACCAAAAAAGAAAAAAAUGAGGAAAAAAGGGGGGUUAUGGUGGGGACAAAAUAAUGGUGGAAAAGCGUGUGAGAUUUGCUUCGGCCGUUGCUUCUCAGCUUCCCACCGCAGCGGUUUACUUAAGCCACUGAAACUUUGCCUACAUAGCCGGCGCAGAAAUUCGUGCUUGUUCAUGGUCCCAUUUUCCUAAAAAUGGGACACAUUGAAUGUACGUACAUUGACCAAAAGCGUGAUUUUUUCUGAUAUUAAUUUUUAAAAUCAUUAUUUAUACUGGUACCGAUAUUAAUUAUGUGAAAGAUACAUUGAAGGAGAAGGAUACCUAAACUAAUAUUUUAUCUAUUUUAUUAACAAAAUGUAUCUAAUUACAUCUUCGUUGACACCCUUAGCCAUAUACCGUCAUGUCUAUUGUGGCUAAUUCAUCUAAUUAAUUGACGUCUAGCUAUAUAUAUAGCUACGAAGUGAUAACUGAUGAUAACUUCAAUUUUUAUUUUAGCUAAUUAUAAAUUUUACUCUAAUUACAUAAAUUCUUAAACAUAAUCGAAUCUAUAAUUUGGAUAAGUUCUAUCUUCGGCUAAAUUUUUUAAUAUUGAAUUAAGAUGAAAAUGCAAUGUAACUAUGUCUUAAACUUGAGAUCUAAGAUAUCAAUCAUCAAAGACGAUUGAUGAUGAUAAAUAAUUUAAGAGUCCAUUAAGUUGCUAAUAACUCAGAAUGGUUAUAGAAUGAAUGGUUAAAUUUCUGCACCAGUGUGGUCAUCUCAAUCUACCCUUUGAACUUGUCUCUUUUGGAAAAAAAAACACACAUUUUAAACUAAGAAAAGCUUCCCAUGGUGGUGUUUGGGAAUUUCAUCGUUUAGUUAGGCUUCGUUUGGUUCGGAUAUAAGUAAGAACUAGCUGAUAUAAGAUUAGAACUGCUCGAACAAUAGUUCUUCUUUUUCUAGAACAAGUUGAUAAAAGAUUAGAACUGCUAUUCCAUUUCUUUCUAGAACAAGCUUAUUCGGGAAGAAGGUUAAUUAAAAGCUAAAUUUAAUUUUAAAUAUGAUAUUAAAAAUUAUUAAUUAAUCAAAUUAAUGUCUAUAAAUCAUUAUCUACUGCUUAAAUAAUAAAGGAGUUAAUUAAUUUAUUAUUUAUAAUUAAUUAGCUCAUUAAAAAUUAGUAAUUUAAUAUAUUUAUUCAUAAACUAAUAUUUAUAUUUAUCAACACUACUCUGGUUAAUUUUUUUACUAAUAAUCUAACUAAAAUAAUUUACUAACUACUUAAAAAUUAAAUUAUUUUUUAUAAUCAAUUAAUUAAUUAAUAUAUUUUCAUGAUCUUAUACAAUAUUCAUAGCUAAUAAAUUGAUUAAUUUAUUAAAUUAUUUUUAAUUUAAGAUUAUAACUUUUAUUCCUUCUAUUCCAAUUUAACCAUUCAAAUACUAUUUUAUCUUAUUCUCGGAAACAAUUCAAUUUUCAUCCAAAUAGAAAAUUGGUCUAAUUUCUACUUAUGGCUGAGCUGUACUUAUCUCUGAAAUAAGCAGUUUUUAUUUAUACCCGAACAAAACGCAGUCGUAAGAUACAAUUACAUUUCUUUUCUAUUAGAAUAACACUAUCCAUACGCUCUGUAGUUAGGUAUAAAAUUUACACCCCAAUUUCUUUGUAGCCUUUAUUUUCUCACUUAUUUUAUCAACUUUUUUAAACUCAAAAUAAAAAAAAAAUGUAAAUCUUUGAAUUUAAGGGUGUAGGACUUAUUCCCUAUAAAAAGUGUAUAAGUAAUAAUUUUCUUUCAGUUAUGGUUACUUCAAGUGAUAAUACCAACAUUCCAUAAAGUUCCCAACAUUACACACAAGUGCAAAACAUAUAAUACAAAUUUUUAAAAAAAACUGUAUCAAUUGCCAUAUAACCUAAGUUUAGACCUACUGCCACCUUACAUGGCCCAAAAACAUUGAUUUAAAGUUUAAAUGUGUUUUGGGCACCUGCUGUUUUUCAAUUGUGAACUUUUUAUUAUCAUUAUCAUAAAAAUGUUAAUGGCUAAAAAAAAAUUAAAAAUUAAUUCAGCAAUAAAUUUUUUUACAUUAUAUUUUUACUAGCAUGGCUAUAACUGUUGUGGUGGAUAGGAAUACAAAUAGCCUGACUUUAUCAGUUAUAACUGAUCGGCACAUAUUUAAAAGUUUAGUAAAUUAAUUCAGUCCCGAUCAGUUCCAAAUAGGGUUACAAGUAAGAACUAAAUAAUAAGAAAAAAAAAAAUCAUUCCGAAUUUAUUCCGAUCUGUUAAGAAAAAUGAGUGGGCAGUAAAAGACCUCUAUCUUUUCUUUAUUUGUCCUCGUCCACAAAAAAUUUAUCAAACGUUUCUUCCAUCACAACCCACCCUGAAGGACAAAAGACAUGAUAAGAAUCGACUCAUUCUGAAUCAACCCCGACCUGCAGAAGACACUAUUGGCUAUUUACACUACAACAGAAUUAGGUUAUAGGGACACAUGUUUGGGAUAUUUUUAUGUAAGUAUCUCAUUUAUGUCAAAACUUAAAAAAAAAAUCUAAUAAGGCCUAAAUAUAGAGCACAAUCCAAUCAAAAAUAAAAGGUUACUCUACUCAACCCACCCCAUCCAGUCCAUUCAGUCCGAUUACAAAUAAAAAAGGAAAAAAAAAAUCGAUCACCAUCUUCCCUUCUCCCCUCAUUCAAUCCACCGAAACUUUAGAGGAAGAGCCCUUCGCUCUCCUCCUCUUCCGCCAGUGCAGCCAACAAGGUAAAGUUCCGGUGAUUGCUAAAAGUUUAAAUAAGUGUUGGUAAAUUAGCAGUACUUUUUUUAGCUUAUACCGACACUCUUAAACUGUCACUAUAUGCCUAGUGAUCCCACAUAUAGCAACAAUUUUAAAAGUGUCGAUAAUUUAGCAAGCAGCAUUUUUUUUGACCUAUACCGACAUUUAAAAGUGUCGCUAUACACUGUUUUUUUUUGUAGAGUUAUCAUUUGGCUAAAAUAUGUCCAAUAUUUUGCUCCAUAAUAAUAGAUCCAAGAGACUAAUAAGUUGAACUGAUGAGUGUAAUAAAUUGAGUGGGAUUACGAUCCAACAGUGGACCUAAUAUCCAGAUAUGUUUAAUCAGGUCGAAACUUGUGAAGUGUUAUAACUAAGCCUUUAAAUACAAUAUAAAUACACUUAUUUUAUCAGCACGUAUUUUUUGAAUAAUUAUUCAGCAGUAAUAAUCCACAGGUAAGAAGGAAUCCAUUGGCCAUCAGAGCUGCCCUACUUUUCUUCCUUGUGUAAGCAAUAAUUUUCCCCCAUUAAAAGGCAAAAAUUGACAUGCCGUGGAAGAAUCACCUUUGGUGCCCACUUGCAAGUUGCAAGUGCUCGACCUUGUCACCCUGCUUUAUUUAUUUUUUCUUUUUUAAAGUCUUGCUUCUUUUGAAUUUUGAUUGGGUGUGGAAUUUCGAAAAUGAUGCACUCAAAUUAUGACACAGUAAAUAAAUUAGAGAUAAUUGCCCACGAUUAUCUCUAAAGUUAUUAAAUAACAAGUAUAUUCCGACCACACUUAAGUUAUCAUAUUUAUUUCUCUAAAAAUCGUUCCGUCUGUAAAUAUAUCAUUCUGUCAGCAAAAUUUAGAUAACUAUAAAUUAAAAAAUAUAACCACGGUUAGUUAAGAAGUAAAAUAAACUUUUUAUCCCUUACAUUUAUAAUUUGUAUUUCAAUAUUGAGUCAAGUUAUCUUUCUCAUCCUCUCCUCUUUAUACAUGGUGACGGCGAGAUAAACAUGAGAUACGUCGCAUGUACUGCAAAAAAUGCGAGGAGAGAGAGAGAAAAAAAACUUUUUGCAAGAAUAAACUUAUAAGAGUAAAAUAGUUAUUUUAUGCAUCCAUCGUUAAAAAAUUAACGGUGAAUCAAACGACAUGAACAUAAAUGAAUGAAUCAGAAUUUUUGAAAAAAUAUAGUUGCAAAAAAAAAAAAAAUUAAAAGAUAAAUAUGAUAAUAUAAAUUUUAUAAGAAUAUAUUUACUAUUUCAUAUGUUUGCAUCAGCAUGUAGGAAAUUAACCCAAUAAAUUAAGUGGCUAAUCCAAACAUUGACAAAAUCACAUAUGCAAUUAAUUUAAUAGUUAACAUCCAUGUCUCAAUCAAAGUGAAUUAUAACCUUGUUUUUAUUGCAGAGUGAAUAUAUAAAUCAAUAGUCACAUCCAUGUCUAAAUCAAAGUUAAUUAUAACUUUGUUUUUUCUGCAGCGCAAAAACAUAUAAAUUUAAUGAUUUGUGCUAGUUUAAAUGAGUCAGUAUUUUGUUCUUUGACGAAAGGUCAAGUGGGCUAAGUUAUUUCGAAAUAGCAUUAGACUGGGUUGGGUCGAAUCAUAUUCAAAGUGACAUGAGGCUAGUUGGACCGAGUCACAAUCGAGAUCUGUGGAUGCUGUAUUUAUACGCUUUAAGUGAAUUGGAUGUGUAUUUCUAACAGCUCAAGUUUUUGGAAUUAAUGGUUAGCGCUAACGACCUGACAGCUUGUUUUAUAGCUUCAUGUUGAUUUUAUUUUAUUUUAUUGGAAUCAUGUUAAGAGAUUUUAACUCUAAUAAGGCUUCAUGCAACCUGUUAUAUAGAUGAAUAGAACUCGUGUGUUAUAUAAUAAUACACUUGGAAUUUUGGCUAUGCAAUGUACAAGUUAAAUUAAUUCGAAUAACAAUAAUAAAAAAUUGACCUUUUAAAAUUAUUUGAGCAAUUUAAAAAAGAUUCCUGCAGAAUAUAUCUAGUUGGUAGAAAAUAAUCUAAAUUUUAAAUUUAGAAUAAAUCUGGAUCACAAACUUUUAAUAAUGGAAUAUAAUUUAAAUUUUAAGUUUAGAAUAUUUAUGAAUUAACCAUCACGAGACACUACUUUAGUAUAAUACGAUUAUGUGACCUAUUUUAGCAAUUUUUGAGGUAUUUAAUAACCUGUUUAAACACAACCUAGGGGUAAAUUGGGAUGUUUCGAAUUUAAGUUUUUUUUUUUUUUGAAACAAAAUUAUUUAAGGAAUCAUAGAAAUUUAACAACAAACCAAAUAACUGAACUAGUUGUUUAAAAUUGGCAACUAAUAUACUGAGUUGAAUUAAAAAAUAAUUGAAUUAAAAGGCUCAUGUUUAACGCAAAAGCUUAAACUAAUAGAUGAAAAACUUCUUAUGUUCUAUAAAUAAUGCCAAAAUUUUAGUUUAUAUUUAAUACAGGGUGAUUUUUUUUAACACUAGCAAGGUAAAAGGGAAAAAAUAAAAAUAAAAACAAAUAUUUUUUGUUAGCACGAAAGAUUUUUUUUGAGAGAUAGGUAGCACGCUACCCGCUUCGUUUAUUUUAUUUAGAAAUAAACUUAGCUGGAAAUGUAAAUCAAUUAGAAUUCGAACUUGGGUCUCGGGUACCAACCACCAAAUCCUUUGCCAUUUGCUCCAUGGACGGUCGAUUGUUAGCAUGAAAGAUGAAUCAAUAUUUGUUCGAUUUGAGAGGUUGGGGGCAAUAAUUAAGUUAAUUUCAUGAGUGUUCCUACAAAAAUAUCGAAUAUCAGAUAUAUUAUUAUAAAGUUUAAGUUAUCACAUUUGUUCUUUUAAAAAUUCUAGCACAUUCAUAUUUGUCUCCAUGAUUUGCUGCUAUUAGUUUACUGUUUGUAUUCAUAAUUCGUAAGUGAAAUGAUAAUUUUAUUAUUAUAAAUUUAUCUCUUCAAACAUUUCAAUAGUUAUAAGUGUGGUCCUUUUCUCUAUUAAAAUCAACUCAACUCUUGAUGGGAGGGCUCCGCGGGACGAUAGAAAGCUUUGUCUACGAGCAGCAUAUAUCCUUUUUGUCGCACCUUUUGAGUUUACAGGUCGCUUAGAGCACAUUAGUUAGUUAAUAAGAUUUUUUAUAAGAGGGAUGAAAAUAUGAUUUUAUUUCUUAAGUAACUAUUGUUAAGUAUUUUAUUCAUGAUUAAUUAAAUAUUUUCUAAUAAAGACUAACGGUAGGAAUAUACUUGCAACAAUAUUAAAUAUUGAAGGAGAAAAUCUAAUAUCUUUGUAAAAACAUAUAUGAAUUAUUACCAUAUAUAUAUAUAUAUAUAUAGAGAGAGAGAGAGAGAGAGAGAGUUGAACUGGGCUACUAUUAAAAACAAAAUUCUAUUGUUGCUACCAGUUUUUUAGUCUUUGGAUCAACUCUUUUCAUUAUUUCUAACCAUUGGAUUAAAUACUAUAACCCAGUGGGGACCACUCAACUCUAACCGACUAAUAUCAUUCUGAUCCUACAAUUUUUCAUCUAAGGGUUAAAAACUUGAUAGCAAAAAAAGCGUUUUACUAUUAAUAGUAUUCCAGACUAAUUUUAUAUAUAUAUAUAUAUAUAUAUAUAGAGAGAGAGAGAGAGAGAGAGAGAAAGAGGAGAGGCUAGGCCUGGUAUACUAUCGGUAGCACAGAGGCUCCGUGCUAAAGUGUUUUCAAUGAUGCGGCUUUCAAAUCGACAAUGCGCUUUAUUAGACUUGAUCUACACUAUAAAAGGUAUUUGGAAACUAAAAUUUCAUAAUUUUCGACAUCAUUCUGCUAGUGAUCAAAAGGUUUGCAAAAUAACAAUUUUAAUUGGUAGAUAUGAUGCGUUUUUUAAGUUCAGCGGUGUAGAAGUAUUCAAAUUAGAUGAAAUUAUAAUAGAAAUUCUACUUAAACAUCAAUAGCAAGACAUACUUCCGAUCUGAAAUUUGAAUUCUUUAUCAUUGUUUUUUAUGAGAUUUUCAUUUUCAGCCGUUCAUUUUAAACUACUCGUUUGAAUUGGUAAAUGACGCCGAAAAAUCAUGAAAUUUAGUUUUCAAAUAUUUUCAAUAAUGUAGAUCAAAUCUAACGGAGCCGAUCGUCGAUUUAGAAGCCGCAUUAUUGAAAACAACUUGGUAGCACGGAGACCUCUGUGCUACCGAUAGUAUACCAGCCUAGGCUCUACUCUCUCUCUCUUCUCUCUCUCUCUCUCUCUCUCUCUCUCUCGCUAUAUAUAUAUAUAUAUAUAUAUAUAUAAUUAUAUAUAUUAUAUGAGUAGAGCUACUAUACUAUCGGAAUCAUAAAGUGGUUGCUGCUUCUGAUUUUUUAGCCCUUAGAUCAACCCCAUUGAUCAUUUUUAACCAUUGGAUUAAUAUUAUUAACCAAUGAGGACCACUCAACCCUAAGUGAACCGCUAUCAUCCCAACCGUAAAAUCUUUGAUCCAACGGCUAAAAAAUCGGAAGCACCAACUACUUUAUGCUUCCGAUAGCAUAGUAGCUCUACAUUAUAUAUAUAUAUAUAUAUAUAUAUAUAUAUAUAUAUAUAUAUAUAUAUAUAUAUAUAUAGCAAACAGGCUCCGUUGCCAUCCAUUUGUUUUCGAUGAUGGAGCUUUUAAAUCGACGAUCGACACCGUUGAACAUGAUCUAUAUCACUUAAGGUAUUAGAAAUCAAAUUUUAAAUUUUUUCGACAUUAUUGACCUAAUGAUCAAAGAGUUUCAAAAUUUAUAAUUUUAAUGAUCGAUAUGAGGCGUUUUCUCGUUUAACGCUGUAAAACUAUUCAAAUCAAUUGAAUUUUGGUUAGAAAAUUCUUUAAACUAUUUAGAACAAGAUCCAUAUUCUCGAUCUUGAUUAUAAAAUUCCUAUCAUCACCUUUUAGAGGAUAUUCAUUUCAGCCAUUCAUUUUGAUGCCCACUUGAUGAACAAGAGAACAAUAUCGGAAAAAUAUAAAAUUUGAUUUCUAAAUACUUUAAGUGGUAUAGAUAAUUUUCAACGGUACCGAUCAUCGAUUUAGAGGCUCCAUCAUCGAAAACAAAUGGAUGGUAACGGCGUCCGUUUGCUACCGAUAGUAUUCCAGCUCAACUCUUUAUAUAUAUAUGGUAUGUAAUAUAUAUGGUAACAUGAAUAACUCCUAUAUUAGAAAAAAGUGAUAUGUUGGAUCAAAUAUGAAUAACUCCUAUAUUACAUAGGAGUGAUAUGUUGGAUCAAAUAUUCUCACAUGACAAAAUUUUAGAUUUUUGGCUUUUGGAUGAAAGGAUGUGCGGUUAUGAUGAUAGUGGUCCUCUAGAGUUGAGCGAGUAGUUAGUUGAAUAGCAUGAUUUAACGGAAAGAAAUAGUAAAUGAAUAAAUCUAAUGGUAGAAAAUUUAGUGGCGCACCAGGUGCCUUGGUACUAUUAGAAGCACCUCGACAGGACUAUAUAUAUAUAUAUAAAGAGAGAGAGAGAGAAUAAUGUUACUAUACUAUCGAUAGUACAAAACGUUUGGUAUUAUCAAGUUUUCGGCCGUUGGAUAAAAGGAUGUGGGAUAAUAUUAUGAUAGUAGUCCCCUAUAAUUGAGUGGGUUGUUGUUAAAUAGUAUAAUUUAACGGAUGAAAAUGAUCAAAGGAUAGAUCCAACGGCAGAAAACUUGAUAGUACCAAAAAUUUGGUACUAUUGAUAGUAUAGUAGCCGGACUAUAUAUAUAUAUAUAGUCUGGCUACUAUACUCUUAUGAGUAUAGUCUCUUUUAUACUCAUAAAUUUUUUGUCGUUAGAUCUAUUUCUUUAAUUAUUUCUAUCCGUUAGAUCGUACUAUUCAACCAACUACCUACUCAACCCAAGGGGACCACUAUCAUCCUAACCGCACAUCUCUUUAUCUAAUGGUUGGAAACUUAUGAGUACAAAGGAGGCUAUACUCAUAAGAGUAUAGUAGCCCUAGCCUAUAUAUAUAUAUAUAUAUAUAUAUAUAUAUAUAUAUAUAUAUAUAUAUAUAUAUAUAUAUAGAUAUGAAGAGAGUAGAGAGAGGAGAGAAGAGAGUAGUGCUAGCUGUAUAGCUUGGUAGUAACAAGGCCUCCGUACUACCAAAGUGUUUCUACUGAUCCGAAAUGUCCAAAUUGACGAUCAGCUACGUUAACUUGAUCUAAUACUAUUGAAAGUAUUUAAUAAACUAAUAUAUAUAUAUAUAUAUAUAUAUAUAAUAUAUAUAUAUAUAUUAUAUAUAGUCCGGCUACUAUCCUAUUAAUAGGAAGAUUGGGACCUGUUUGUGAUCCUAUGCAAAGUCGAUUUGAAUGAUCGGCUAAGCUCAAGAUUGAUAAUCAACACCUACGUUGAAAUUGAUCUAUCAGCAAUUAGAAUGUUUAGAAACCAAAAUUUUUGUAUUAAUUAAAAAUUCAUUAUCAGGUUCAUCUAUAAAGAGUUGAAAAAUGAACGCGUCAUAAAUGAAGUAAUCUUCUAAAGAUCAGAGGUUAGACUUUCUCAGUUCGUAAUCAGAGUUAUCAAACAUUAUCUAAAUAGUAUAAAGAAUUUUUUAUCAAAAAUUUAAGCAAUUUGGAUUGCUCUACACCGUUAAACAAGCAAACGGCUCAUAUAGGCCGUCAAAAGUUAUCGAUUUUACGACACUUUGAUCACCAUGUAAAUCAGUAUCAAAAUUUAUGAAAUUUAGUUUCUAGAUAUUUCAAAUACUCUAGAUCAACUUCAACGGCUCCGAUCAUCGAUUCGGAAUCUCGAUCAUCAAGAACAACUUGAUAGGACCAGUACUCCUAUCCUAUUAAUAGGAUAGUAGCAUUAGCCUCUAUAUAUAUAUAUAUAUAUAUAUAUAUAUAUAUACAAGUCUAUAGGUUAAUUUGAUGUGAAAAAAUAUAAUACAACAAGUAUAUAUAAUAUCUUUGACUUUAUUAAUGAGCAUAUAAAAAUUGAGCUUUGUGGUCAAUACUGAGCUAAAAUAACGGAAAGGUUAUUAGCUAAUUAUAGCGAAUUGAAAUCCAAUAAAAAAUAAUUAUAUACAAUUUUAAAGUCAAAUUUUGGAUUCAAGCAUUUAAGCCGUACUAACAAUGAUUAAAAGUUCAACAAACGUACAAAUAAAAUUGUGGCCAAUUUGUUCUCAACUUCGUACUGAUAGGAAGGAAAUUGAGAUCGCGUAUAUGUCUAGCUAUACUAUAUUUCAAUAAUUUUUUUAUGUAACUGACCGUUUCUAGAGCAAGUGGCAAAGGACUUGGUGGUUGGUACUCUAAAUCUAAGUUUGAAUCUUAGUUGAUUCACAUUUCUAGCUAAAUUUAUUUCUAAAUGAAAUAAACGAAACAGAUAGUGUGCUACUUAUCUCUCAAAAAAAAAAAAAAUCUCUUAUGUAAAAAACAAAUCAAAUUCAAAGAAUUUACUGUCCCUUUCCAUCAAUUUAAUUUAUGAUAAAUAAGACGACACGUUGUUAGUCCUUUUUAGAACGCACUGUCUCUUUCUAUGAAUAAAUUUACGAUAAAUAAAGACGCCACGUUUCUCUUAUUUAAUUCCAUCAUCAACUUUAUAAAGUUAUGCUGUGUUGGACAGCUAUUCUUGCCAAAAUGUUGUUGAAUCGAAAAAUAAAAAAUAAAAAAAAAAUCUUCUCAUGUUACAAAAUUUUAUUUUCUAAAAUUUAAUUAAAAGAUUUGUCAUCGAGUUUUAAAAAAAAGCUUUGCAUUUUCAUCUUUAAUCGCACACACAAAAUUAUAACAAUAACAGUUGUUUUAUAAGCAAAUAAUAAUAAUAAUAAUAAUAAUUAAAGUGCAAUUGAUUUAUUAAUGAAAGGGGUUUAUUCUUAUUUACGCCUGACUACUAUUCGAAUUUUUAAAUUUAUCCAUAACUUAUCAAAAUAUUCUUCUAAACCCAAAUUUCAUUAGGAAUUUAGGGAUAUUUGAAGGGAUUUUAAAAAUAAAAAAAAUAUUUUGAUCAAUAAGAAAUAUAUUAGAUAUUUUUAAAAUUUUAAAGGGUAUACUAGAUAUAAUUCUAAAUAUUUAUUUUAACAAUUGGUCUAAUAGAGAGUUUCAAAGUCACAAUAUGAACAGUCAAAAAAUAUAUAAUUAAACUUUAGCAAAAAUUAAAUAUAAGUAAUUAGUUAAAAAUAAAGGCCAAUUUGCAUAAAAAUCCAUAAAUUUUGAGCAUUUAUAAAACUGGGCCGUCAUUUUCGAUUUUACAGAUUCGGACCGGAUUUUUAAAAAAUUGAUCAAAAUAUUCUUAUUCUUUUCUCCCUGUCUCCCUUUUUUUUUCCUCUCGUUCUUUCUUUUCCUUCUUCGAGAGGCGGAGGCGGAGACGGAUGCGGCCCGCCUCGCCUCUACCCCCCACGCCCUCACACACGUCCACGCACCACCCGCCCUCCUAGCCGCUAACCCCACCAAAGCUGCACUUGUCGCCACCCUUCGGGACACCCCUCCUCGCAUCCACCCCAUACGCCCUCACUCACGCCCGCUCACCCCCCACCCUCUUCGCCUUCGACACUGCCGAGGUUGCGCCGUAAUACUAUUUUUUCCUCCUUCCAAACCUCCUCCACCGCCUCCGCGGCCCUUCGCGAUGCACCUCCACCUCCACCUCCACCCCUACUACAGCAGGUUUUUCACCCACUAAAUUCACUUCUGGGAACCCGCCGUCCUCACUACCGUCAAUAGCGACAAAGAGGAAGAGCUUUUCGGCGCUAAGAAGCUCGCUCGCUAGGAAGGGGGCAUGCAACCCAUAGGGCCGAUGACAAGCGAGGUGGAGAUGGAGGAGAGCGUGACAAGGCUGGAGAAAAAGGCGAGGCUGUGGCGAGCGCGGCAUCCCAGAGAGCAGCGGCGAGUGCAGCCUCGCGGGGUCGGAGGCAAGGAGGGCGAAGGGUGCAUGAAAGCAUCUCUACUCAAGCACUUUUGUUUGCUUAAAACAAAAUAAAUUAGCUAUAAUUAAAAAUUAGAGAAUAAAAAAGAAGAAUUAGAGAAGAAGGAAAAAGAAGAUAAAGUUGUACUAUUAAUAUAAAGUUACACUAUUUUAGAAGAAUGUUGUAAUAUUAUAGACGUAAGUUGCACUCUUUUAGAUCUAAAUUGUAUCCUUUAAGAGAAAAAUUAUACUCCUUAAACGAAAGUUGCACUGUUUGAAAGAUAUUUAUACUAUUUUUUUCUUCCAAAGAGUUCAACUUUCGUUUAAAAAAUACAGUUUUUAUCUUAAAUGGUGCUCUUUGAAAAAAAAAUAGUGUUAACUAUCUUCCAAAUAGUGCAACUUUCGUUUAAAGAGUAUAACUUUUAUCUUAAAUAGUGCUCUUUGGGAAGAAAAAUAGUGUAAUUAUCUUCAAAAGAAUGCAAUUUUUUUUUAAAGAGUGUAACUUCUAUCUUAAAAGGUACAGUUUAUAUCUCAAAAAGUGCAACUUAUGUCUAUAAUAGUGUAACGUUCUUCUAAAAUAGUGUAAUUUUAUCUUAGCAGUGUAACUUCAUCUUUUUCUUUCUUCUUCUCUAGUUUUUCUUUAUUAUUAUCUAGUUUUUGGUUUCUAGUUAAUUUUUUUUGUUUUAAGAAAACAAAAGUGCUUGACCAGAGAUGCUCUCGUGCACCCCCCGCCCUCUUCGUCUUCGACCAAGUCGAGGCCGGGCUCGCCGCUGUCCUCUGGGAUGCCGCCGCCCCGCCCUCUUCUCUGGCGUCGUUGCGCUGUCCUACGUCUCCACUUCNCUGUGCUCGCCGCUGCCCUCUGGGACGCCACGCUCGCCGCCGCCUCGCCCUUUUCUUCGACGUCGUCAUGCUCUCCUCCGUCUCCACCUCACUCGUCAUCGGCCUCGAAUGGGCGCGAUGAGUCGCAUCACUCCUCCCCCUCCAGCGAGCUUUUUGAUCCCAAGAAACGCUUUCUUUUCGUCGUCGUCGGUGUAGUGAGGACAGCGAGUUCCCAGAAGUGGGUUUGGUGGGUGAAAAAUCUACUGUAGUGGAGGUGGAGGUGGAGGUGGAUUGCGAAGGGUUGCGGAGGCGGUGAGGAGGUUCGGAAAGAAAAAAAAUAAAGAGGACCGCGACGCAGCCUUGGCGGGGUCAAAGGCGAGGAGGUCGGGGGGUGAGCGGGUGUGGGUGAGGGCGCAUGAGGCAGAGGCAAGAAAGGGCGUCCUAAAGGGCGACGGCAAGGGCAGCCUUGGCUAGGUCGGAGGCGAGGAAUGCAGGUGGUGUGCAGACGCGGACGAGGGCGCUGGUGGCAGAGGUGAGGCCGGCCGCUUCCCUCCUCCGCCUCUCGAAGAUGGAAAAACAAAGAACUAAGAAUAAAAAAUAAAAAAAAAAGGAGAAAGAGAAUAGAAUAUAGAUAUUUUGGUCAGUUUUCUGAAAAUCCAAUCCGAAUUUACAAAAUCGCAAAAGACAUUCUAAUUUUACAAGAGCUCAAAACUUAUAAAUUUUUUAUACAAAUUGGCCAAAAUAAAUAUUUAAAAUCAUAGGACAUGACAUGAUAUGAUGGGAUGAGAAGUCGAGCUCCUUUCACUCCGAGUCAUAACAAUAAAAUCAUAUAAAUUUUAUUUUCACUAUCAUUUAUUUUCAUCGAAAUAUUUUAUAUUUAAAAAAAUUUUAUUUUACUAUCAAAUUUUUAAUUUAUUUUACUUUAGUCAUAACUUCAAAAUUUGAACGGACUAUUUAUCUUAUGGAUUUAAUUAAUAUACUUUUAUGUAAUGUACGUAACAAUAAAUUUAUUAAUGUAAGCAAUUAGUUUAAAUUUAGUAUCAAAAAAAUUAUUAGAUUCUUUAAAUUAAAUAAAUUAAAAAAUUAGAUAUUAAAGAUAAAAUUUUGAAAGGUUAGAUAAUCCAAUCAAAAUAGACUAUAUAUAGUUCAAAUAAAUUUUUUAUAUUUUUACCUCUUUUUUUAGAUGACUCAAAAGAAAUACGAUCCAAUUUUACUACAGGUGAGAGAAGAUUGGACCGACAUUAAGGAGUUGUUUGGUUGCAUGUAAUUGCAACUCCACUGUAGUUGCAACUAUAUACAAAUCCAAAUUCGACAUUUGGUUUGAUGUGUUUGAAUCCAACUGCUGCAGUUGAAACUGCAUAAGAGAGCCCAACUGCAGUAGUUAUAACUGCAUCUAAACAGCAGUUCCAACUACAGCAGUUGGGAAGAGUUAUUUUCAACAAGAGAUAAACUUACCACUUUAUAUAUUGGAGGUAAUUUUAUUACAAUAUAAAUAAAUGAUAAAAUUUUAUAAACACGCUUAUCAACUACAUGCAACCACACAAAUUUUUUAUAAUUGAAAAUUUUUCGGCUGCAUCUAUUUAAACAAGACAUAUAUAGUUAUAACUGUUGUAUCUCUAACUAUAUGUAUCUAUAACUAUACUAUAUUUUUAAUUAUAUCAAUCCAAACUGUUCUUAAGAGAUCACAAAAAUUCACUACACUACCACAGAAUUUUUGUCAAGAGAUAAGCGUGCUUUGAUUGUGCUCAGUUUCGGAUGAAGCUCGAGCUUCUUCGGUUUUUGUGGCCUUUUUUUUUUUUUUUUUCCGGCGUUUUUGUAUCCCUUUUUUUCUUGAUUUAUUAAUGUUUCUUUCUUUCUUCUUUUCUUUUUAAUAUAUUUUUACCGUGACUAACUCCCCAUAUCUAUUUUUUGAACUCUUGAUUUAAUUUUUUAGCUUUCAUCUCUUGGAACCAUGUUGUUUCACAUGUCUAUUUAUUCAUUUACCCAAUAAAUUCACUACUUUUCUCAAAAACAAACGAUUUUCUUUAGAAGCUAAAAUUUUUCCUUUCCAAAUUCUCAAUUUUUUUUUUAGCCUCAAUUAAUUCAGCUGAAAAUUAAGGUCUUAGAUUUUUUUUUUUUUUUUUUAUGACACAUGGAACAUACUAAAACUCAGAAACUCGAAACUCAGUUUAGUUGACUCAACGUAGCCAGAUUUUGAGGCUAAUUCGCUACAAAAAUAUGGCAGCACUAAAUUCGGAGUCAAAUAUAGUCAAACUCACCUGGCUCAAUCUAAUUACUUCAAAUUCAGAUGGAGUUCGAAUUAUUUAUUAAAUUUCACAUGAUGAUAACGCAUAAUAAUUUUCUGCUUAAUAGUUAAUAUAUUACGCCACUUGGUAUCCAGAGGUAUGAAACAGUAAUAUUAGAACAUUUUUAUUAUUAAUAAUUAAAAUACAAUAAAUAAAUAAAUAAAUAAAUAAAUAUAUAUAUAUAUAUAUAUAUAUAUUUGUUAGAGGAUUUGAGGAGGAAGGAAAAAAAGUGACACAUCUUCUCUGAACCCUUAGACUAUAGCAAUGAAAAUUUGUAGCUAUUGUCGCGUCCUAUUUAAUGUAGCUUUUAUUUUAAAUUUGUACUCUACCAAUUGUUCAAAUUUUUUUAAAUUUGAAAUUUAAUUGUACUUUUAUUUCUCUCCAUGGCCAAUUUAUUAUCUUUUGGCCAGUCACAGCAUACAUGAUAGCUAGGUACAAAUGCAGGUCCCUGGGCUUAACGAGCAAUUUCGUUUGUUGCUUUCAACAUCACAAAAUGAACUUUUUAGGUAUAGUGCAAAUUCUAUUUACAUUAGUGGAUAUUUUAGAAGAGAUUUUGUAGUGUCUCGGGAGAUUAGUUGUUGAACUCACUGCAGCACCAGUGGCUUGUCGUUAUAUUUGUAAAGUGUUGAGACGAGUUAGAGUCGUUUUGGUGCGAAAGAGAAGCAAAAAUGGACUUGGAGCUGUAAGAGUUGGUAUUCGGACACUGAAAUCUGCAAAAAUAGAAUUUUGAGUGUUGAGUACCAGUAUCUGAGAAGUGUACCGGUACUCCAGAAGGAUUACGCAAAGGGGAACCCUUGGGUUUGUGCAUAUCUGUGUUGAGUACCGGUACCUAACCGGUGAGUACCGGUACUGCACUGAGUCAGUACCGGUAGACGACUGCAGUCCGUGUGCGGGGUACAGGUACCCAAAUUGAGUACCGGUACGUACCCAGGCGGUAGAUUUGAGUUGGUAAGAAAUCUUUUGGUCAUUUUUGUUGUUGGGAUUAUUCCAACCGACCCCAGCUUGUAUAUAUGUAUAGAGAGAGCUUGGAGAACGGGUAGUUCUCUCCUUUUUCUCUGUCUCUAGCUGGUUUUUCCCAAGUUUAGAGGAAUUUGAGGAUUAAACUCAUUUCGAUCUCCUUUGCUUAGGAGGAUCGUUCGCGCGUCGUGGGGUUGCUUCCGGUUGAAGCUAUUCCGGUGCGGGGUUUCUUCUAUCUACUUCUAGCCGGUGUUGGACGAGCGUUCGAGGUGGGUUGAUAUUGACCGAACACUUUGGAGUUCCUUCUUAGUUGUCAGCAUGUGUUACUUGUUGUAGAACCUCAUAUUAGUAGUUCAAAUUUAUGGAUUUACAUGUUUUAUAUGAAAUUUGAAUUUGGAGCAUAGUUUAUUGAUAUUAGAUAAAUUUUUACAUACUGAACUGUGAUUUGACUUAGGAGAAAACUCGGUAAACCUACACCUGUCAGUUUUCAAAAAGUUAACAAUAUUAGCUUUACGAACUGCUUUUCUUUUGUAUCGCUGCUCUUAGUGUGCUAUGAAUACUUAGAUUAGUGUAGGUUGAUAUUGCGCUCAUGCUAAGGGGCUGAGCUGAUGGUUAGUAGAGUUGGGUUGUUCCGUACUGUCGGGUGCCAUCGAGGCUGACGAUGGAUCCAGAUUUCUAUACCUUACGUUAGAUUAUGCCGAGGGCACGUGAGCCUUGAUUGUUAGACCAGUUUAACCCAUUUGCAUUGACUAUAGCCUGAGUGAGCCUCAUUGAGCUCGACACAGAUACGCUUGCAUACUCGGUUGGGUCCCUGCCACGAAUGCCACUCCGAAGUGAGACUUUACUUGCGUUGAUAUCGCAGCAGUCCUGUUUGGACAGUUUUGGACUGGCCACCUCCGUGGGUGGUGUGCGGUAUAAUAGGGUACAAGCUGUACUGGUCAGUCGGCGGUCCUUAAGAUUCGGUCAGUGUGAGUGAUUUGUGGCUAAUGAUGCAUUUUUAUAUUUAUAGAAAGACUGGUUUGAAUAGCAGUAGUAUGGUAACAUAUAGCUGUAGAGUUAUUUUCAGCUUAUUUACUAUCCAUUAUCUAAUUGUUCAGAUUGGUACUGUAGACUUAGUGAAUGGGCCGUUGGGGUCGAUAAUGGUACCCGCUGUGAACUACUUUAUUUUGCAGUAGUUCUCACAUCCAAUUAUUGCCACCAUUUUGCAGAGCCGUCCACUGCUACUGCUGAUUCUGACCGCAGUAAGGAAGUCGCGAACUAGAUCCCUACCUUCCUUGGUUACUGUACUAGAGUUAGUACCCCUUUUAGAGAUAGUUUUGGAAUGUUACCAUGUACAUAUUGUUUUGUUCUGUUGUACUCUCUGAGUCGAGAUUGUAUUUUGGAUAUUAUAUGUACAGUGAGUUUAGUAUAUAUAUAUAUGUGUGUGUGUGUGUGUGUUUGUUUAUGUUUUAGCAGCUCUGUGCUUUGGUUGUAACUCCUAUUUAUUUACAGGUACAGUUAUCGUUUUGUAUACACAAAAAAUUUUUUGGUAUACGACGGAUCUGUUGACGGGCCUGAAAAACGUAGUAAUUCGAGACGUGAUAGAUUUAAUAUAUCAAAUAUCAAAUAUCAAACAUAGCAAAUGAAUCUCACGGUACAACAAGUUUGAGAAAGUUGACCGUGUAGUUGGCUAACUACGUACGUACCAUAAAAUAUAUGCAAUAUAAUUUGAGAAACCCACUAACAAGUAGAUAAAUGACAAGAUAAUAAAGUACAACAAGAGCACAAGUAAUUUACAUUAUUGGACUAAUAAUAUGUCGGUCUAUGUUCAUGGACAAGACCUUCUGAAUACGUUGUUGUUAUUAUUAUUAUUAUUAUUAUUAUUAUUAGUUCACCUCCUGAAUAAAUUUUUUUUAUUAAUUCACAAUAAAUAGAAGGAAUAGUUUUGGAUACAAGUAUCUCUCUUAUAAGAUUCUUCCAUGUUUUCUCUUUCAACUACCAUUUUAUAAUGAAGCUCCGAAUUCUAAAACAAGGAUCACAAUGGUUUAUAAAAUCUAGAAAAUCCAAAACAAGUAGAAAACGAUCACUAGUGUUGAUAUAAGCCUCCAAUUCACCUCUUGCCAUCUAUUUUCGCUUAAAUAAAUUUCUGACAAUUAUAAUUACUACUAAAUAGUUUUGUGGUAAUUAUAAUAAUUUUUAUUAUUUGUAGAAUCGGUAAACAUUAUUGUGACAUUAUUUCUGACAGUUGGUAAAAUUUUAAAGAAAUACCGUUAUAUAAUACACAAUAGUAAUUAUUAUAAAUGUUACUAUAAUUAAUUAUAAUUGUCACAAAAAACAUACUAAAGGAUUGCUAAAUAAGACUUAUAGCGACAAUUACAAUUAGUAUUAAAAUACUCGAUCAACAACUAAAUACUCUAAUGAACUGAAAUAUUAAGAAAUUGUAAUAACCAAAGAGUAGUAAUAAUUCGUAUAACAAAUACUUUUUACUCUCGAAUUAUAAUCUCGAUUUUCAAAUUAAAUUUCGAAUAUGAGUUCCAACAAUAAAAUAUUUGUUUGAAUUUUAGCUAAACAAUAAUAACAAAUUCUAAAUGAUACUAAACACCUAAAAAUUUCAAAUUCUAAAUUUUUAAGUCUCGUUGUUUCGCUUCGAAAGUUUACUCAGAUCGAUGAUAAGGAGUGGAAGAACCUGCUUAGAAAGUAACAUUUGCAAUUAAUACUAAAAAUAAGCGAUAUUAGUAAUAAAAAGUAAAUAUGGAUUACAAAGAUAAUCAAAUUGAGGAUAGAAUCCAAACAAAAUCAAAGCACCAAAAGUUUGCAAUAGUCAUCGCCCUCUUUGAUCACAUUAUAAUACUUCAACUGGAAAUUUAAUCUAGUUAUCGGCUAUGAAUUCAUAUAUAAAGUAAUGAGAUUAUCUCCAACACAAAAAAAAAAUGAUACUUAAAUGGUGAUUAGAUAGGAAUUGUAGUUCUUGUUUAAAAUUACUCUCUCUAACUACUAUAAUUUAAAUUAGCAACCAAUUUAGACAUAAUUUCAAAUACUACAGUUAAGUUUUCUUAUACAGAACUAACUACAACAAUUGAAUUCAAUUACAUCAAAUUGAUGACAUCUAAUGCACAACUAGUUUUUUUUUUUUAAUAAAUAUUAAUAAGUCAAGAGUAAUUUAAGUAUUAAAACUAGUGACUCAAAUCAUGCCAUCCUCAUAGGCUCAAAUUGAUGACAUCUAAGUGCACAACUAGCAUUUUUCUUAAUAAAUAUUAAUAAGUCAAGAGUAAUUUAAAUAAUAAAACUAGUGACUCAAAUCAUGCCAUCCUCAAAGGCUCCAAUCAUGUCAUCCAGCUCCUAUAUCUAGACCUGGCAUAUUUUCUUAAUUAAAAUAUAUUUAUUUAUUUAUCCAUUAUAAAAAUUUUAAUUCUAAUUUUUUAUUGUGUCUUUUAUAUUAUGAAAUUUUUUUACUUUAAGAUUUUAAAUAUUUUUAUUAUAUGUUAUGAUAUUUUAAAUAAUAAGUUAUGUUACACAUUUAAAAUUUAUAUAUAUGUAUUUUGCAUUUAAAAAAAUAUAAGAGCGGAAAUGAAAAAAUUUGCUGGUAACCCGCAUACCCACUCGCCCAUCCGUGGGAGGGCACGGAUAAAAAUGUUGGCUACCCAAAAAUUUAUGGAUAAAUUUUGUCUUGUCCAAGUAAUCUGCGGGUAUAAUGAUUCGUCCGUGGGUUAUCCAACCCGCCCGUUUAUCAAGCCUAUCUAUAUCUGUUAAUUCUCCCAAUACUCUAGCAGAAUCUAAACCUACAGCUUUGAAAAGAGGAAACAAGGGAUUAGCUGCCAAAACAAGUGCUCUAACAAGGCAAGAGAUUCCGAAAAUAACUCCUGUUGCUAAAAAAAAGCCUAAGGAUAAUUACUUUGAUUCGUAGCAUACUGAACCAUUAUAAUUUGAUAUAAUAGUUUAAGCUAGAAAAAUGGCGGAAAAAAGUUGAACCCCAAUCCCCUUUAGUCAUACAGAAGACUACCUUCUCUAUAUUGGGGUUCUACUGUGCUUUAUAAUCUUGAUUCAUUGUAUAUUGAAUCAUAUACGAGAGAGCUAGAGAAAGAGAGAGAGCAGAACUACUUACUCUUAUAAGUACAGAGCCUUUCAUACUCAUAAAUUAUUUUUGAUGAUGAAGCUUCGGAAUCGAUACUGCACUCCGUUAAAUAUGAUCUAAAGUAUUUGAAACCUCUAAAAAAUAAAUUUCGUAAUUUUUCAAAAUCAUAAUAAAGUCCAUCAAACGAGUAUAAAUGAACGGUCAAAAUCAAACGAUAUUCUAAAAAUAGAUGAUCGGAUCCUUCAAUUUAAGAUCGGAAUUGUUGAUCUUUACCUAGAUAGUGAAAAGAAUUUUUUACCAAAAAUUCAACCGAUUCCGAUUUUUUUACACCGUAAACUAAAAAGUACAUACCGACCGCUAAAAAUUAUCAAUUUUGAGAUCUUUUGAUCGUAAGAUAAAUAAUAUAAAAAAUUUAUAAAAUUUAAUUUGUUUAAGUUUUAAAUAAUUUAGAUAAUAUUAACGGUAUGAAUCGUCAAAUCAAAAACUAUAUCAUCAAAAACGACUUAUGAGUAUGAAGACGAUAGUGCUCAUAAGAGUAUAGUGACCGAGCUCUCUCUCUCUAUAUAUAUAUAUAUAUCCGCCUUAAUUAAUUCAGCUGAAAAUUGGGAAUAAAAUAUUAAACACGAACUCCAAUUAAAUAAAAAGGAAGAAGACGAGCAUCAAAUAUAAUACCAGUAUUUAUUUACUUUACUUUUGUUAUACAUAGGAACAUACUAAAACUCGUAGACUCAAAACGCAGCUGAGUUGAUUCAACUCGACCAGAUUUCGCGCUAAUUCACCAUAAAAGCUUGGCAGCACUAAAUUCAAAGUCAAAUAUAGUCAAACUCAACUGGUUCAAUCUAAUUACUUCAAACUCAGAUUGAUUUCGAAUUAUCUAUUAAAUUUCACAUGAUACUAAUGCACAAUAAUUUUUUGCUAAAUAGUUAAAGUAUUAUGCCACUUGCAUGUUGGUAUUGAGAGGUAGAAAACAGUAAUAUCAGAAUAUUUUUAUUACUAACAACUGGAAUAUAUAUAUAUAUAUAUAUAUAUAUAUAUAUAGUUGAUCUAGGAUACUUUUACAAGUAUCAUCACCAUGUUGCUAUCAGGUUUUUAGCCAUUGAAUCUACUUUUUGAUUACUAAUAGCCCUUGGAUCAAACACUAUUCCACCUACCACCACCUACCACCACCUACCACCACCUACCACCAUCAUCUCAGCCUCACAUCUCUCCAUCCAAGGGCUAAAAAUACACAAGUAUCACUUGGGUGAUACUUGUAAAAGUAUUCUAUCCCUACUCUAUAUAUAUAUAUAUAUAUAUAUAUAGUGCGUCCGGUAUGCUUCUGGAAGCACGGAACUCUCCGUGCUUCCAAGUUAUUUUCGAUGUUCGGACUUUCGAAUCGACGAUCGGCUCCGUUAGACUUGAUCUAGAGUAUUUGAAGUAUCUAAAAAAUAAAUUUUGCGAUUUUUCGAUAUCAUUUGCCUGGUGAUCGAAGUGGCUCAAAAUUAACGGCUGAAAAUAAAAAUAUUACAAAAUAUGAUGAUAUGACAUUAAAAUUUUAGAUCAAAGUUAUUGAUCUUGUUUUAUAUGAUAUAAAAAAUUUUCAAUCAAAAUUUCAUGUGAUUUGGAUAUUUUUACACCGUUAAACUUGCAAACGGCUCACCACGGCCUUUAAAAUUAUUUAUUUUGAGCCCCUUCGAUCAGUUGAGAAAUGAUAUCGAAAAUUCACAAAAUUUAUUUUCUAAGAACUUCAAAUACUCUAGAUCAAGUCCAAUGGAGCCGAUCAUCAAUUCGAAAGUCCUUACAUCAAAAACAACUUGGAAGCACAUAGGGCUCCGUGCUUCCAGAAGCAUACCAGCCCAUUCUAUAUAUAUAUAUAUAUAUAUAUAUAUAUAUAUAUAGAAUUAGGCUGGAAUACUAUUAAUAGUAAAACGUUCUUUUUGCUAACAAAUUUUUAACCCUUGAAUGAAAAAUUAUAAGGUCAAGAUGAUAUUAGUCGGUUAGAGUUGAGUGGUCCCCCUAGGGUUGAGUGGUCCCCACUGGGUUAUAGUAUUUAAUCCAAUGGUUAGAAAUAAUGAAAAGAGUUGAUUCAAAGGCUAAAAAACUAGU
rnacentral:lncRNA from 1 species